GCAUUUCAAUGUUCACAAUUUUAGAUGUUGUCUGCUCUUAUUUCUUGUAUGUUAAUGAUUUAUAUGAACAACAAAGGUGUGGGAAUUGUGGAGAGAAGAAAAAGCAUUGGAGAUAGUGGAUCCAUCACUGACGGAGUUGUAUGAUCCGCGUGAAGCCUUGAAAUGCAUACAGAUUGGUCUACUGUGCGUGCAAGAAGAUGCCACGGACAGACCAUCCAUGUUGGCAGUUGUUUUUAUGUUGAGUAACGAAACAGAGAUUCCUUCUCCAAAACAACCUGCAUUCCUCUUUAGAAAAUCUGACAAUAAUCCUGAUAAAGCAUUAGACGUAGAAGAUGGAAAGUGUUCCAUAAAUGAGGUGACAAUCUCUGAAAUUGCUAGUCGCUGAAGCUGUGCUGUCUGAAAAAUUGCUAAUAUGAAGUUCCAUUAGAUUUGUAAUGAGAAUACUUGUUGCUAAAUUGUGGAUUUGAGAUUUAACACACACCACCUCGAACAAUCCAAUUCAAUGAAAAGUUAAAUGACAAAGAUUUUUGACGAUGCAUUGGAGAUAGUUGAUUCAUCACUGGAGGAGUUAUAUUUUCCCCUAAAAGCCUUGAAACGCAUACAAGUCCGUCUCUUGUUCCUAUGUCAAGUAGUGAAACAACAAUGCCUUCUCCUAAACAACCUGCAUUCCUUUUGAUGCAGGAGCUAGAACUGUACUAGCUUUCAUAUAAUUAGAAUUUUUCUUUUAAUAUUUUAUUUAUGUAAUAUUUACGAAGGUGGUUUGGACGGCUAAGAUUUGUUGUUUCCAAGGCUCGUUUUCCAUCCAAGUAUCUUAAUUAUUAGAUUUUUCAACUCCCAACCUGAUUCUAAACAACUGAUCUUUUCUGCCUAGUGUCAAGGAAGAAAUCUAACAGCAUCAUCAAAUGGAAUGCUAUAUGGGUGGUGUUCGUCAGCUAUUCUUUUAUGGAUAAUUACUCGAUCUACCUUAUGUUAUGAUGCUUGCUUUGUCUUACCUUUUUCUCCUCUGUUCCUGAGCCACAAAUAUGCUAAUGAGCAGCCAUGAUGAACCCACAGUUGGAAAAAGAACGGUCACAAUUCCUUUUCAAGAGAGCCAUUUGAUCUCCUCCAUUCCUUGCAUUCUUGUGUCCAUUAAUUCUCCAUAUUAUCCAAUGCAGUAUUUUGCUCUUCCUCUUCCUGGAGUAAUUGCAAUUGCGCAUGCUGCGCGUGAUUUUUUUUUUUGGAUAAGAUUAAUUAUAUUGAAGGGAAGAAACUGCACAGAGUAUGAGGGGUACACCCAAGAAGUAGAAAAGCUUGUUACUCUGGUUCAUCAGACCAAACUUGAAAAGGAAAAGAAGCAAAAGUUAAAAAAGAAACUGAAAAACAUUGUGAAGACAAACAACAGUUGAUCUGGUUGACCAGUUUCUGAAAUUACUUAACCAGUCGACCAGCUAAUUAUAUAUGUGCUUAACAAAAUCUCGAAAUCAGCAAGAACAAUGAUAUCUCAUAACUCUCGGAGACGCCAAAUAAAAAAAUAGUUGAGAUGUGAAACUUUGGUUCGAGUUCUACUAAAUAGGACCAGGCCAAAUGAAAAACAUAUUUGCAAAUAUCCUAUGAGAACAGUAAAUCUAAUGAAAAACUUGGUUAUUUCUCAUAUAAUAAAUGAAGUAAACCAAGGUUAAAAGGGUUAGCCGAUCAAGUAGAUACAUAAUUUUUUUUUUUUUUAAGUAUUUGUUUGUCCACGGAAGUAAAUGAUAUCAUGUCAAAGAAAGUCAACCUAUCAAGGUCAUGCUUGUGAUAGUACCUUAAACUAUAGUAGGGAAAUGACACUGAAAGAAUAAAUGUUCAUCCACCUUUAUUUUUUUAUUGUUAUUUUUUUUGCUUGGACUAAUUUUUUUAUGAUGUUUUUUUUUUAAAUCUUUCAACAUUGAAUUGAGUUUUUUUAUUGAGCCUAGAUCUAGGAUUUAAUAGGUUAUGAAUUUCAGAAGAUUAACUAAGUUUAGAAGAUUUGCUCUAGUUCAAUUUUUUUCUUUUUUUUAAGCUUUUUUUUUUUUUAUCCUGCAACAUUUGAUUUAAUUGGAGAUUGAGUUUUUUUUAUUAUUUUAUUUUCUAUCUAUAAAGUUUUUUUUACUAAUUUUAAAAAUAACUUAAGUUAUCCCAGUUUCUUUUUUAGUUGUUUUUUAUUAAAUUAAACUUUUUUUAAAUUAAGUGAAUUGCUUAUAUAUAAACAUGAUAUUUUGUUUGGUAUGCUUUUAGGGUCAUUGCUUAGGUAAUGCAUGUGACCUUUUUUUUUUUCUUUUUUAAUUGGCUUAUAGAAAACCAUUUUUUCUUAUUUAACUUACAAAAAAUAAGCUAUCAUUUUGUGCUACGCGCCUUUCCUAUUUAUUUUAUUUUUAUUUUUAUUAUUUUACUUAACACAAAAAAACAUCUUGCAUCUUGAUUGUUGUGUAAAAAAUGAAAAAUAACUUAAUAAAUAAUAUGAUAUUAAAUUUAAUGGGAUAUAUGAAUCAUAUCGUGAGUAUAACAAGUAAACUCAGGUUCAUUUCUAUAUUUUUAAAAUCAUUUUUUUUUAUCAAGUACUUUUAUUUUCAAUUCCUGUUUUUAUAGGUAAGGUGUGUGGUUCAGGUGCCUAAAUUGUUAAUUUUUUGAAAAAUACCUUUUUUAUUUUUUACUUAAUGCAUUUUCAACCCCCUAAAGAUUAAAAAGAAUAAAAAAACCUUGGUUAGUUAAAUGCCUCAUAUCUAUUUAAUAUAUUUUUAUUUUAAUAAUCUCCUUGUCUGAAAUGAUUGAUUUAGGUUUACCCAUAUUUAUUUAAUAUAUUUUUAUUUUAAUAAUUAAAAACUAAAUUUUAAUAUAUAAUAUUGUCUUAGUAUUAAAAACAAUAUCUUCUAAUAUGUGUCAAAUCUUAUAUUAAUGAUUGAUUUUUUUUCCUUAAAAAAAACGAUAUCAGUUCUUAAAAAACUGUUUUGCCCGAUAGAUAUUUGUUAGUUUUGAUGCUUGUAUCAUGUUUAUUUUUUCAUGCUGCCCACUUGAAAGAAAACCCUAAAGACUACAGCUCAAGUGAUGCAGUGCAUGGGGAAAUUAAUAAAUCAAAGUUUCUUAAAUUUAAAAAUUGUAGUUAAACAAUAAAAAUAAUUCUGAUUUAAUAAAUUUGAAAUAUCAAUUAUGGAAUGCCACUAAAGUAUAAAAUUGUUUUAAAUAAUAAAUUAAGUUGACAUAACUAAUAAAAAUCAAAUCAAAUAAAUAUUAAAAUAUUAAAUAAAUAUUAUUUUUAUCGGACUCAUAAUUGGGAUUAUGAUAUUUUCACUUAUCCUAAGUAAAAGGUCUCACAACUAUACAAAACUUGAACUGAAAAGUGAAAAUAGAAAAAACACCAUAAGGCAAAAAUUCCAACGGCUAUGGUCUCUGCCAAAUGAUGCGUUACUUAAUUCAUUUAAUUAAAAAUAACAAAUUUAAAAAAACCUUGAAAUUCAAUUUGUAACUAAUCAAAUAUUAAAUGAUAAAAUUUUAAAAAAAUAAUCAAAAAUAAAAAAAUAAAAUAAGAAAACAAUUAUAAACCAAAAAACUAGAGAUAACCCAUUUAGAUUUUGUUAAUUGUUACAAUUAUACUAGAAACAUAGAUAUAAGAAUGAGAGAAAAAACACAUGCCUGCUAUCCACUAAAAAUUAUAAAAAUAUCUCUCCUCUUUAAAAAUUAUAUUUUAAAUUUUAUUUCUUCUUAACAUAUAUCUUUUUUUAUUUUAUACGUGAUAACAGCUUUAUCACUAUAAUUUUUUUUAAAUAAGUUUUUUUUAACAAUCAAAUUUCUGAGAAGAAACCAAAAGAUAAGCAAGCCUGGAUUCAAUAACAUGCUAGGAAAAAGGGGGAAUACUUGGUUAGUUUGAUGUAUUAUAAUUUUUUUUUGGGAUCAAAAUCAUAUCCAUGUAAGUAAAGCCUUUAAGCUAGCAGUCCAAGCUGCUGGGUUUGGUAAGAGUUUCUGUUCCCCCUCUUUUUGACAAUCUCUCUGUCAUUUCAAGAAUGUCUUGCCACAGGGUUGAAGCUAAACCUUCCAUCAACAAGAAGCUGUUUCAAACUUGUGAGUAUUUUCCUGUACUCUUGCCUAUAUCAUUGCAAGAUUCUAUGUUGUUUGUUGCUGCCUUUUCAACUUCCUCUAGAAGUUUCGAAAGAACUUUCGUUGUAUUUUUUCAUUGCUAAUGGACAUGGUUCUUGGAUGCCACAGACGUUCCUAUUUUGUCAUUAUGAUUUUUUUGACCUGAUCAUGCAUGCAGUGGUGGUGAAGGAAAAAUACCCUGAAAAUGAAUGAAGCCCAGAGAAGGUUCUUGCUGUUUUUGGCUUUUAUUUUGGUUGUUUCUAGCAUUAUUCUUCCUUUUGUCUUCCUCAUUUGUAUUUCUCUGUGUCUGUCCCUCAUCAUCAUAUAUUAAUUGCCAUUUAUCUUGGACUUUGUGAGUCAUAUGAUGCCUAGAUACAACCUGCAUCUCACUCUCGGUUCAUGAUCAGAAUUAGAAGUUGAUGAAACUGGACAAGACAAAUGAAAGUAUUUAGUAGUAAUAGUAGUUAAACGUUCGCCUUGGUGUCUGAAUAUUCCAUGAUUAAAUUAGUUCGAGAUUCCCAAUUGUCCAAUAGUUUUGCUUCCUUCCUCAUUCAUGGGAAGGGGUUAGAGAACCCAUAAUUGUCGGUGUUGAGUUGAACUUUGUAUUUAGUAAUCAGGUUUUGAAAGUAGCCAAGUUUAGCAGUCCUCUUAAAUAACAUCUAGAGUUCAUUAUUCUGUCUUGAAUGAAAAUUGAUUGAGGGGGCAAGUAUAUUAUUGAGUUAUGCACUACACUUGGCUUGCACCGAUGACUUAUGAAAUACAAAUGCAAAUGAUGAAAUUUCAGUUGUUGCCACUAGGAUCAUCCAUGGAGGUCUUUCUUUCGCUAUUCUUUUGCUUAGCUUGCACCACUUUUAACUUCAAGACCUCAACUGCCACUGACUUCUUAACUGUCAACCAGAUUCUCAGAGACAAUAGCAGUGAAGCUCUUGUUUCGACAAAUGGCACAUUUGCUUUUGGCUUCUUCAGUCCCUGGAAUUCUACAAAUCGUUAUCUGGGAAUAUGGUUCAACAAUGUUCCUGAUCAAACAGUUGUUUGGGUGACCAACAGGGACUCCCUUCUCACUGAUUUAUCUGGGGCAGUCACCAUAGUUGCAAACGGAAGCAUUGUCAUUCCUCAGAACUCAAUGAAGCACAUUGUCUUGUCUUCCAAUCCAUCCACAACCUCAAACAAUCCAAUCUUACAGCUCCUGAGCACAGGAAAUCUUGUUGUCAAAGAUAUUGGCAGUAACGAUAGUUCAAACAACUAUAUCUGGCAGAGCUUUGAUUAUCCAUGUGAUACUUUGAUACCAGGCAUGAAGCUAGGAUGGGACCUAACAACUGGCCAGAAUUGGUUCCUUGACUUCGUGGAAAAGUCUUCAAGAUCCAUCUGCAGGACUUUAUACCUAUAAAUUGGAUAUCAAGGGGCUUCCACAGGUACAUCUUCACAGAGGAUCAGAUAUAGUAUAUUGAAGCGGGCCAUGGGAUGGUGUCAUGUGGGAUGGUCUCAGGUUGGGAGGGGGUCUUCAAAUGAAAGGUCACCAGAUAUUCAAGUCUAUAUUCAUCUAUAACUCAAAUUACAUAUACUUUAGCUUUGACAACAGCGAUAAUAAUAUGACAUCACGGUUCCUUGUUGACAGUUCUGGCAUGCUUAAUUACUUCACAUGGAACCAAAAAUCCAAUGAGUGGUUUCUAAUGUUCUCUUUGCAGAAAGAUCUUUGUGAUGCAUAUUCAAGAUGCGGUCCAAGUGGUAUUUGUAAUGAAAACCAGGUGCCCAUUUGCGAUUGCCCAACUGGGUUUGUGCCAAAGGCGACAGAGGAAUUGUUUUCAAUGGAUUGGUCCAGCGGAUGUGUGCCAAGAAAACCACUGAAUUGUAGCACAAAUGAGGGAUUUAUGAGGUUUCCAAACUUGAAGUUGCCAGAUAAUUCAUAUGCUAUGCAGUCUAGUACAACUAAUCAGGAGACCUGUGCCACAACUGAACUUAUUGAUUGCAUGAUGUGGUUUGGGGACUUGUUGGGUGUUAGAGAAUUCAAUGAUGGAGGGGAUGAAAUGUAUGUUCGGAUGGCUGCUUCUGACUUGGUAUGUUCUUGUUCUUAACACAAAGCAGACUUUGCAUAAACUUUGCAUUCACUCAUGCAAGCUUUAGAUACUAAAAUCACAAUGUAAGAUACAUCAUUCUUUCUUUAUGCAUACUUUGGUACUAAAAUCACAAAUUAAGAUAUAGCAUUCUUUCUUUAUGCAUGCUUUGGUUACUUUUAUUUCGUUUCCUUGCUGGUCCUAGUGGGGUGUAUGCUCCAUAAUUUAACAUGGGCAAAGAAAAUUUAUUCAAAGUUGUUUUUGGGUUCACAUAGAUCAACUUCGAUGAUAUAUUCCCUUUUCUUUUCUGAACACAGGCAUUAAACUUACCAUACUGAAAUUUUAGUAUUUAUAGGUCACUUUGCUCUGAGACAGUACAAAUUAGUUGUAGUCGGUGUAUUUUUAACAUGCCUUCCCAGUUUGGGAAGACAACCUCUCAUGUGAACGAUGAUAUGAAAGCUUUUGCUGGGCUCUACAAAUUUGACCUUAAACUGGAUAGCUGGUCCUCUGUUUAUAGGAACAAGACCUUAAACUAAGAUUGUAAGAUAGUCUCUGCAAUGACUAAGUGGUUUAGUCAGUUAGAAGCACAAAUUGAUUUCAAAAACAAACUGAUGAUUCUUAUUUCUUACUUGCGGAUGCAUCUAGAAAGCAGUGCAAUGGACAAAGUGACACUGAUCAUAUUCUGGGCCUCAACAAUUUUAGCGGUUCUUCUGUUGGUUUUAGUUGCCUUGUACGUUUUAUGGAAGAGGAAGUCUGGCAGAAAGAUAGGUAAAUAUUCAACUACUUCUGUGUUAGAUAAACAUUUUUUUUUCUCAUCUUAGUUACAUUUUUGUUAUCAGAUGAAUGACUAGUUUAACAGUAACUAGACAUAAUAAGAAAAUGAUUUGUGAUGAUUAACAGGACUUUAAUUGUGUUGCUUCGAUGUUCCACCUGCCUUUGGUAAUCUAGUGUUUUUUUUUUCUUUUCUAUCCAUAAUAGAUGUUUGAUUUGCACUGUUAUGUGUGGAAUAACUUUUAUUUUUUUAACCGUACAAAGAAAAAGAAGUCAUGGAUAAAUCAACCUUCUUAGAGAUCAUAGGAGAUUAAUUUGAUUUUGAAGGUGAACUCCUAUGAUUGUUUAAAGUUCUAUAGUAGAAUUCUGAUGAAAACUAGUUGUAAGCUCUCUCAUAGCAAGAUAAGCUAAUUUCUCCAUCUUUUUCCAACAAUCCCUUUGCUUUAUAUUAUUUAGUCUAAAUAAUUUUUUAAAAACCAAAUUUAAAAAUCCCCACUAAUGGAUUUAUAGAUGGAUAUAGUCCGUCGGCAUUUUAUAGAGAGUUGAAAAAUAUUUACUAGAAAUGCCACAAUCAUCGACGUCUUCACAGACGGAUGGAGUUCGUCGGCAUUUUACCGAGAGCUAAAUUUUUUUUACUGGAUAUGGCACUAUCACCGACAGAAUAAAUCCAUCGGUAUAUUUCCAGCGGGAAUUUUUUUUUGUGCGCACAUUUUUCGUCUGCAAAACCAUAAGCAUUUUUUUUUUUACCGACAGAGUUAGCGAUGGAAUGUGGGAUUACCGAUGAAAGGCAUGCCGACAUACACUUUCCGUCGAUGAUUUAGUCGGUAAAAAAUUUACCAAUGGAGUAUGAAUCUCACAUCGACAGAUUCGGUUCGUCGAUAAAACUGUGAAAUCUUGUAGUGUAUAAUACAUGCUAAUAUAUAUUUUAAGAUAAGUGGAUAUGGUUACAUAAAUUAAGUAUAGAAAAAAAUAGGUAUAUCAAAUGUAUCAUAUCAAAAUAGGUAUAUCAAAUGUUUCUGUUAGCAGGUGGAGCUUGUUGAGUGUUCUUGCUUCUUCAGUUUUGGUCUGUAUGCCUUGCUUGUUUCGCGAGGCUUUCCUUUUAGUUUUAAUUCGAUGUCUUAGAUGCUACACUAUUACCUUGUCUUAAUUAAGUUUAGAUUUUGAAAAUGUAAUGAGUAUUAUGGUUUAAUGUUUUUGAUGUAAUUACCAAUGAGAAGUUUUGAAUUAUCAUUUGGUUUCAUUUGUUUCAAAUAAUAUAAUAUUUCUGAAGAUUAUGAAAUGUUGCAUAAUUUUAAAUAACAUGUUUUUUUAUAUGUUCGUUAAGAGGCUUAGUGUAGGUGGGAUGUCUUUUUUAACACUAUUUUUACGUUGCCGGUCAUGGACCUGAUAUUCGGGUCAUGAGAAAGGUGGUAUUAGAGCCUAGUUUUGAUAAAACCUCAUAAUUAAUUUUUGUUAAAACCCCUGUAAUAUAUGGAGCUUAAGAUCUAUCUUGUCUUGAUGUUAUUCCUUUUAUAAUUCUUCAAUGUUGUGUUUGCUAUGUCAUUCUUAAAACUCCUUUAUAGUUAUGUUGAUAUACAUGAGUUCUUUUAUGAAAUAUGCUGAGAGCUAGAUAUGUAGUUAAUACCACCAUAACGGUAAUGAUUAGGAGGACAUUCAUAUUGCUCAACUUAGGAAUGAGAGGUGCAAAAGGAUGGUUAAAACCCCUUUGCCCUAGCCAAUAGAGGUAGAAGUUCAGGAUGAGUUUGAAUAUGAGGGAGACUAUGAUUUGGAUGUUGGUCACAACAAGGAGCAGGAAUCCCAUGGUAGGAUGCCUUAUUCUGAUAGUGCUUUAUACAAAUUGGACAGGCUAUGUAGACCUUGGCUAAUAUUUUAUAUAAGAGAGAGAAAAAAAAGGAUAAAAAUGCAUCUUCGACUUCCUAUAUUGUGUAUGGGGUAAAGGUGCCCUUAUUAGAGUUCCUUAAGCUGGCACUUGCUGCCUUUAAAGGAGUUGAUAACUUUGAGGACCAAUAACCAUUUUUGGAUGUGGUGUGGCGUAGGUGUGAGGCAAUGGGGUGCACAGAUCAUCGUGCAGUGACUUUAGCAUCUUUUAGGCUAGAAGGUGAGGUGGUUGUGAACUGAUAUAAGUCUAAGAGGAGUGAAAGGGCAGUUAGUUCUCCACUAAUGGCAUGAAAUGAGUUCUAAAAUGUUUUUGGAGCGUUUUUUGUUGAAAAGCAUGAGGGAUGCCAUAUCAUAUGAAUUUGAGAAGUUGGUUUAGGGUGACUUGAUUGUGAUAACAUAUAAAGUGGAGUUUAAACAGCUGUCCAGAUUUGCUGGGUAUUUGGUACUAACUAAGAAGAGGAAGAUCAAGAGGUUUGUUUAGAAUCUUAAUAGCCACCUAUUCAAAGUUAUUAGGGCUCAUGAGUUUAAGACAUACUCGACCAUAAUGGAUCAUGCCCGAGCUAUUGAGGCACGAGAGUUAGAGGAUGAAUUAUCAGUGGGUUCGGCUAAGAUCCACUAUGGUGCCUAUAUCAGACCAUUGCUGGAAAUAAUAGGUCCUAACAGUGAACAAGGAGGUUGAUAAGGUUAGUUUAGACAGUCAAGGAAUUUCUCGUAAAGGUCUAUUGUCAGGGGAAAUAAUAGACAUAGUAUAAGUGGAGGUGCUAGAGUCAGAGUCAAAGUAUUGUUCAGUUAACACCAUAAGGUUUAGAUAGGAGGCCUCAAUGUCAGUCUUAUGGAUCUAGGCAUUAUGCCUCAGUUGAUUUUCGGAAUAAGACAUUGGCUUUCAAGCUUGAUGAGGAGAUAAAGUUUGUUUUUCAUAGAGAUGGGUUAUCAUCUCCAUUGAGUAUUCUCUCGGCCAUCACGAGAAGGAUAGUACAAAAGAGUAUGCAAGGUUUUUUUUGGCUUAUGUGCGAGAUGUGAGCAUGAAAGUCCUAAGGAUGGAAUAAGUUUCGAUGGUUAAGGAAUUCAUCGAUGUUUUUCCCUAUGAUUUACCUGGAUUACCUCCUAAUAGGGAGAUUGAAUUCUAUAUUGAUCUAGUUUCGGGACCAAAACCAAUAUCUAUGGUAGCUUACAUGAUGACGCUAAUAGAAUUAAAAGAUUUAAAAGAGCAGAUUUAAGAUUUGUUGGAUAAGAGGUUUUAUCUAUCAGAGUGUGUCUCCAUAAGGAGCACCUGUUUUAUUUGUAAAGAAGAAGGAUGGGUUGAUGAGGAUGUGUAUAGACUAUAGGUAGUUGAACAAGGUCACUGUUAAAAAUAGAUAUCCACUCCCUCACAUCAUUAUAGCCAAGUCUCGUCUCUGUUUGACUAGUCAGUCUCACAGUUAGGCAGACUUAUACCAUUACGCUCAUGAGCAGAAUCUUAACUUGAGCCUACCUUCGCACACCUCCGUUACUUUUUAGGAGGCAUCCGCUCUAAAUAAACUACCCACCUCGAAGUGUCCCGCCUCCGCCAAUGUUUCUCAAAGAUUGAUUUGCAUUCGGGAUAUCACCAUUUGAGGAUUAGGAAGGAGGAUAUUCCUAAAACUACCUUUAGGACUCAUUAUGAGCAUUACGAGUUCCUAGUGUUGUCUUUUGGGUUAACGAAUGCACUAAUGACUUUUAUAGACAUGAUGGACAUAGUUUUUAAGUUGUUUAUUGAUAAGUUUGUUAUUGUGUUCAUUGAUGGUAUCUUGGUGUAUUCAAGGAAUGAAGAGGAAUAUGAAGAGCAUUUGAGAUUGGUGCUUCAAACUUUGAGAGAUCAUCAGUUUUAUGGAAAGUUCUCGAAGAGUGAGUUUUGGUUAGAGAGUGUUGGUUUUCUGGGACAUGUAAUGUCUAGAAAUAGGAUAGAGGUUGAUCCACAAAAAGUGAAGGCAGUUAAGUAGUGUACUAAACUGAUUACGGUAUUUGAGAUUGAGUUUCCUGGGUUUAACAGGAUACUACAGGAGUUUCAUAGAGAACUUUUGAUGAAUUACUGCUCCAUUGACUAGGGACAUAGAAAAGUUUCAAGUUUCAAUGGUUAGAAGAAUAUAAAAAGAGUUUCCUGGAGUUAAUGGAAAGGUUUAUUACAGCUCUAAUUUUGACAAUACCUUUAAGGUCUGGUAGUUUUAUUGUGUACUGUGAUGUAUGCAAGAAUGGUUUGGGCUAUAUUUUAAUGCAGAAUGAUAAUGUGAUUACUUACGCCUCGAGAAAGUUGAAGAAACAUGAGCAAAAUUACUCCACUCAUGAUUUGAAGAUAGUUGCAAUAAUGUUUGCCCUUAAGAUUUGGAGACACUACUUGUAUAGGGAUACAUAUGAGAUAUUUUCAUAUCAUAAGAGUCUUUAGUAUAUCUUUUAGCAGAAGGAUCUGAAUUUGAGAUAGAGAAGGUGGAUAGAACUAUCAAGUGAUUAUGAUUGCACGAUUCAGUAUCACCCGGACAAGGUGAAUGUUAUUGCCGAUGCCUUGAGCAAAAAAUAUAUGGGUAGUGUCAUAACCCAAUUCUGGGUUAUUCCCCAAAAAUCAAUUUCUUUCUUCAAAAUAAAAAUCAAAAAAUAAAAUAAAGGCUGGCAACGUGGAGAGAGCAGACUGGGAAAUAAAGCUGCAAUUUUUAGAGGAAUUUCAAGGCCUAAUUGUACCCUAUUAUGCCCAAGAAUAGAAAAAUGCAAAUUCGAAGGUAAAAUUAAACGAUUAUUGGAUGAAUUUGCAUAAAAAUUAAGUCCAAUGACAUAAUUAAAUUUUUAAUGGGCCAAUUUGAUUUAAUCAUGGGCCAAAUUAAAUUUUAAUUAUGUUUAAGAAUUAAUUUAGGUCUAAUUGAAGGAUUUAAUUAAGUGCAAGGACUUAAUUAUACUUUAAGUGGGUCAAAUUAAUUUUAUUUGGGGCUUAAUUGGUGAAAAAUUAAAUUUGGGAGCCUGAUUUAGGCUUAAUUAAGAAGAUUGGAAUUUUAAGAGACCAAAUUUAAUUUUUACGAAGUGAAUUGAUUGAAAUUAGGGGCCAAAAUUGCAUUAAAUCAAAGGUUUAGGGUCAAUUAGGGGUUCCAUUGAACUAAUUUGAAAGAACGCGGACUAAAUUGAAAAACGAAAAAAAAACAAAUCGGCUGGUUACUGUUCACCUUCUUCCCCGCACAGCUGCCCGAGUGGCAGACUUCCAGGCGCAUUUUCUACCUCGUUUGUUCCCCAAAUCCGACAAAGCAUGCACCACCAUGUCCACCUACAAUCCCUCUAUCUCGUAGAGUGGUCCGGUCGGGUCGAACAACUCGAAAACGGCUCCGUUUAUUGGCCCAAAGUGGCACCCUCGGGCAGUCUGCAGCCUUGGAUGGCCAAAUUUGACAGUUCGAGGUGCACUCUUUGAACCAACGGCUUGGAUUCCUCGAGUCGAAUCAAGGGCUGAGACUUUUUCCUCGUUGAAGACAAGAUUACCCUCUCUCCAGCCCUAUAAAUAGGAGCCAAUGUCGUGCUCAGGAGGAGGAGAAAACUGAACUCAAAGUUGGCCGAAAAUCAGCUUUUCCUGCCCGGUUUUCCUGCAACCAGUCCUCUCUCUUUUUUUUUUCCUCUCCGCCGUGGCCUCUAGUUGCCACCACUGAUCUCGCCAUCAUCCUUCCCCUGAAACACCACAUCCCAUCCAUCACUCAGCAACCUCACCAAAGCCUGCAACACCUCUCUCUCUUCCCCUCUCUUCUCUGCAAAACCUUUUUUCUCUCCACCACCGCAACCCCAGCAGCAACAGCAGCGGCAACCACCCUUUCCAGCGGCUUGCACUCUUAUCAGCAGCAGCCCGGGUAGCGUUUCCCUCCUCAGCCACACCAACAGCUCCAGCCGUGAGCUUUCCCUCUCCUCUGCAGGACUCGUUUCCUUCUUCUUCCAGCCGGGACCCGUGCACGCCGCCGGCCUCGCCGCCACCAGUAACCGGUCGCACCACCCGCCAGGCCGCCGACUCUCUCCACGCCAGGUAACUCUCUCCUCCCUGCUCCACCCUUUUUUUUUCUUCGUUCUUGUAGCCGCUGCAUGCAGAAUCUAUUUCUGCAUGCAGUGGCUAAUUAAUUAGCCAUCUGCCGGGCCGGGCCUGUUCUGGCCCAGCCCGACCCGAAAAAAAAUAAUAAAAAAAAAUAAUUUUUUUUUUCUUCAAAAAAUAUUCUAAAAAAUCAUAUAAAAAUUUGUGGUUUUCUUAAAUAUUUUUCCACCGAGUUUGCACAAUAUCGAAUUGUAUAUUUACACUGUAAAAUACAAAUCCGGUAUUAAAAUACCCGGUUUUCUCCGAAAUAUUUCAAAAAAAUGCAAAAAAAAUGCAAAAAAAAAAAACAUUUUCAAAAGAAAAAAAUAUUUCAUUGCAUACGGCCAAAUCCUAAAAUUUUUCCAAGCAUAUUUUUUGUAAAAACAAAAAUUGCAUCUUUUUCAUGUUUUUUUAAAAUGGAUAUCGUAACUAGAUUAUGAUUGUCUAUUAGGAUUUGGCCAAAAUGUCAAAAACCUUUUUCCAACCUUUUUUUCUAUGAUCCAGAUGUAGACUUUAAUAUUUGUGGGGUGUCAAAUUACGCGAUAGUGUACAUCCUCGGGUAUUAAAGAUACAAGGUGUAAAUAAAAACAAAUUUUAAAAUUAAGACUUUAGAAUGGUUAGGAUUUAACCGAAUAAGGUAGAGACUUCCUCAAGAGGGGAGAUCUGCCUUGAACCUUAGAAAAGACCAGCGAAUAGAAACCCGACCUAGAAAAGCAAUCAAACAAUAAUGCAGCUUGCCUUAGGUAGGGUGCACUGGGGGUGAUGCGUCUUCCCCUUGCACAACCAGUCCCUUACUCAGACUCCCGUAGACCUUAGGUUCCUAGUGACCAUAAUACUAGGUGGCGACUCCAACGAACCAAGCAAAACACAAAUAAUAAAAAAUCGCCAGUCGAUGUCGUGCGGAAUUUUUCGACGUGCGACAGGUAGUUUGGCUCAUAUUCAGGAGAUGAGGAGACCCUUGAUUAAAGAGUUACACAGGUUGUUAGAUGAGAGUGUCAAUUUUGAGAUUUAUGAAUCAAGAGCAUUUUUUGCUUAUUUUCAGGUUAAGUCAAACUUGAUAGACUAGAUUAAAGUAACUCAAAUAAAUGAUGAUAUACUUUGCAAGAUUUGAGAUGAAUUGGAGUUAGGGAGAGCUCCGGGUUUUAUUAUCUAUAAGGAUGGUGUGUUGAGAUUUAGUUCCAGGUUGUGUAUGAUUUUAAAAGAGAUGUGAUGAUGGAAGCUCACCAAACUGCCUAUACUAUACAUCCUGCUUCUAACAAGAUGUAUAGAGGCUUGAGAGAGUGAUACUGGCGAAAUGGUAUAAAGAGGGACAUUGCUGAGUUUGUAUCUCGAUGCUUGACCUGUUAAAGGGUUAAGGGUGAGCAUCAAAAACCACCAGGGCUUUUGCAGCCAUUGUUGAUUCCUAUAUGGAAAUGGGAGAGGAUCACUAUGGACUUUGUGUCAGGUUUUCCUCGAAGUUAAUAGGGUUACGAUUCGAUUUGGAUGGUAGUUGAUUGUUUGACCAAGUCAGCUUAUUUCUUACUAGUAAAGUUGACUUAUGGGUUUGCAAGACUAGUAGAAAUCUAUGUUAAUUAGAUCAUAAGGUUGUAUGGUGUGCCGAUCUUAAUUGUGUCUGGCAGAGAUCCACAAUUCACUUCUAAGUUUUGGGUGAAGUUUCAGAAGCUUUUAGGACUAACGCUCAGUUAAGUACUACUUUUCAUCCUCAGACCGAAGGAUAGUUCAAGAGAAUUAUACAAAUUCUAGAGGAUAUGUUAAGAGCUUGUGUGAUUGAAUUUGGUGUCGGAUGAAGCAAGUACUUGUCUUUGGUGGAGUUUGCACAUAACAAUAGUUAUUAAGUGAGCAUUGAUAUGGGUUCUUAUGAGACUUUGUAUGGCCGAAAGUGUAGAUCACCUGUAUGUUGGUAUAAGGUUGGUGAGAGGAGAUUAAAGGGUCCCAAGUUAAUACAGAUUACUUUAGAUUAGAUUAAGGUGAUCCGAGAUAAGCUUUAAACAGCUCAAAAUAGGCAAAAUAAUUACGUAGAUAAGAGGAGGCAUAAUCUAGAAUUUUUAAUGGGUGACAACGUGUUCCUAAAAGUCUCCCUAACUAAAGGAAUAUUCAAAUUUGGGAAGAAAGGUUUGUUGAGUUCAAGGUUUAUAGGACCCUUUGAGAUCUUGGAAAAAGUAGGGGCAGUGGCAUAUUGGCUUGCCUUGCUGCCUAAUCUAUCCUCUAUGCAUUUAGUGUUCCAUGUUUCGAUGUUAAGGAAGUAUUUGUCUGAUUCAUUUCAUGUGCUGGAAGUUCAAUCAGUUGAGUUGAGGGAAGAUAUGUCAUACGAAGUUCAACUGAUGGAAAUAAUGGAUCGAUAAGGUGGAAAACUUCGAUCGAAGGAAAUCAUAUCGGUUAAGGUUGUGUGGAGCAGACACCAGCACGAAGAAGUGAUGCGGGAGCUUAAGGAGGAAAUUCUCAACAAGUAUCCAUACUUGUUUGAACUUGAUGGUAAGAUUUCGGUUCUUAAAGUUUAAAUUUAAGGAUGAAUUUUGUUUAACAUGGAAAGUAUUGUAAAACCCAACUUUUGGCUCAAAUCCAAGCCCAGGGCAGCUUAAACCCAACAUAAGUUAACCUAAGUAUAUAAGAAAAAAGUUGUAAGAAAAUCAUUUUUUCCUCUUCUAAUUCUUGUGGAUGUUGUGACCCUUCCCUUAUCAAACCAAGGAUUUUAGUUUUUGAUAUUGAGUUUUUAGGUUCAAGAAAGGUGGAAGUAGCAAGUGGUUCUCUCUCAUGUUACUUUUGAUUAUGGUUGGUUUAUGAAAGAAUUAAAGAAGAGAUUAGGAUUUAUAAGGAUUUGAAGUUUAUAUUGUUAAAAUUGAUUCAUGAUUAUUAGGGGUUUAAGGUCAAGUAAUGGAUUUUAAGUGUGUUGUUAAAAAUAAACAUUUGUGAGUUGAUUUGUUUAAAUUGAUUUUUAUGUGUUAAGAAAUUCAUUUCAACCCUUCUAGAAAAUCUGGACAAACGGUCUUGAGGUUGGAGAUGAUGAAAUUUUAUUUUAGUCCUUGAUUUAUAAAAAUUACAAUUUAGUCUCUAAAAUUUGAAAAAAAUAUAAUUUGACCCUUACAUGUAUUUUGAGAUUCUGAGUAGUGUUAUUAUGAGGUUAAGGAUGAUGAAUCUCGGUCUGAUAAUUGAUUUAGAAUAUUUUCAGUUUGAUCCCUCAAUUUUGGGAAUUUACAUUUUAGUCCAUGAAAUUUUAAAAAAUUACAUUUCGGUCCCUGAUUUGUUUUGGACUGAACUGAGGAUGGUUUAUAGGUGAAAUUUCAGUAUGAUUAUGUAUGUACAGUUUGGUCCUCUAAUUUUGAUAAAAUUAUGUUUUGGUCCUUAUUUUGGAAAAUGAUCGUUUUAGUCCCUAAACAUAGGAGACUAAACCUGAUUUUGUUUCAUGCAUUGGCAUCUUUAAAUUUUUUUGUGUUUUUAGUAUAUUUCGUAUAUUUAUUGUAGGUUCUCGUAACGAUCCUUAAUAGUUUUUUCGAGUCUUUUAUCUAAUAUUCCUUUUAUUUCUAUAUUUUCGAGUGAGUGAGAUAAUCUUUAAUAUACAUGUAAUAUAAAUAAAUAUGUACAUUGAUUAUAUGAUGAGUACGUCUAGUUAAUUUCUUGAAUAUUUAUAUAUGUUGUUUUAUUUUCAAUACUUAUAUAUUCUUGAAUUUACACUUGAAUUUUGAUUAACUAAAUUUUAUUCGUUAUGAUAUACAUUUCUUUGAUGAUUCUGCAAAUAUCUAAUAUGGUUUGAUAUAGGAUUUGUCAGUAACUCCAUGCUAACGGAGAGUAGUUAAACUAUGUGCACAUAGUAUUUUGUAUACCUAGUUGGUGAGAGAGAUAUUAACCUAUGGCGAUUAAUCCUCCCGAAGUGGUCGCCUUUGGGUAUCAUCUGAUCUCUAACAUAUAUUUCAUUACUUUAUGACUAUUUGCUUAUUAUAUAUAUGUAUAUCAAGAUAAAUCGACUUGCAAACUGUUAAUAUCUAAAAUAUAUAUUAAAUAUUAUUUCUUUAUUGAGUUGGUUGAACUUAUUUUUUUUAAUUAUUAUUUAAGGUUCUUAGUUUUUGUUAGUAGGUGGAGCUUGUUGAGUGUUUCUACCUCUUCAGUUUUGGUCUAUAUGCCUUGCUUGUUUCGCGAGGCUUUUAUUUUUUAGUUUUGAUUUAAUAUUUUAGAUGUCCAACUAUUAUCUUGUUUUAAUUACGUUUGGAUUUUGACAAUGUAAUGAGUUUUAUAAAUUAUUAUUUUUGUUUUAAUUACUGAUAAGAAAUUUUAAAUUAUCAUUUAAUUUUAUUAGUUUUGAAAAAUAUAAUAUUUUUAAAGAUUAUGAAAUAUUUUAUAUAUUUAAAUAACUUGUUUUUUUGAUAUAUUUAUUAUGAGAUUUAAUAUAAGUGAGGUGUUCUUUCCACACAAGUUAACUCUUGCAUUGCUAGUAAUGAACCUUGCUGAUGAACCUGAGAUUCAUAUGGUGACAGAUUAAUCCUGCCAAUUUACAUCCUCUCCAGGAACCUCUUUUUACCGUUGAACAUGACAACCAAUAACCCACCGGAAGGUGGCGGUCCUGUACUAGAAUGGUGGGACUUUGUCUCCACCAUUCUCCAACGUUAAAAGGUUGUCUAUAAAUUCAGGAGAAGAAUUUCAAAGUCACAUUAAUUGCAAAGUUUCACCGCAUGAACUUGUGAAGCUUCUAGGUUGUUGCAUUCAGGGUGGAGAACAUAUGUUAAUUUAUAGAGUUUUUUUAGUUAAUAAUAUAAUUUUUUCAUGAUAAUUUUUAAUUUUAAAAAAUACAAUAAAUAUUUAUGAUUUGAUUACCACAAAUAUAAAAUAUUAAAAUAAUAAUUAUAAAGUAUGGUAUUGAUUUUGUAGGAAAAGCAGUUAUAGUUUUAAGGUUAUUUUUUAGUGGAAAAAAAAUGUUUUUAUUUUCAACAAACAAACAUGUUUUUCAAUUAUUAUUUUUAAAUAAACUCAAAAUUAAUAAAUAAUUUUUUUUUUAUCACUAAUUACAAUUAUUGUGUCUUAUGUGGAGUACAUUUGAGAGUAUCUAGUAGCGGUUGUUUUACAAAAUAUUUUUUAUACGGAAAUAUAAUAAUUUUUUUUUUUAUUUUAAAAAAAUAUUUUUGAUAUAAAAAUCAUCUAAAAGCAUGAAAAAAAUAAUAAUUUUAAAUAAAAAUAAAUAAAUUUUGCUACGCAAUACCAAAUGAGGGUGUAGUAUAAAAAGGACCAGACAAGUCAUGGUCUAGAUCUUGAAGGCUGCAAAGAAAAACCCAUGAAAAAAAUGCCUAGUCAAGCGAAGUGGAUCCCAAAAUAACUUCUCUUGUCAGACUUUUCUGCGAGCAACAUUCCACUUGUCCAAAAGCCAGGGUCCAGUUUGCCUUAUCAUGGAAGCUGAAAAACUGUUCCUGCUUUUUUCUCUUUUGAUGCUCCAUUUCUCAUCUUCUACAUCCCUAGACUCCUUAAAGACGAACCAAACCAUUAAAGAAGGUGACCUUCUUUUCUCCAAAGGAAAUAUUUUCGCACUGGGAUUUUUCAGUCCUGGCAGUUCAACCAAUAGAUAUCUUGGAAUUUGGUACCAUAAAAUACCAGAACAAAUCGUGGUGUGGGUUGCAAACAGGAACGAUCCAAUCAUUGGUUCCUCUGGAUUUCUCUUCAUAAACCAAUUUGGUAACCUCGUUCUCUAUGGUAACGAUGACCAAAAGCUUCUAGUGUGGUCUGCCGAUGUUUCAGUGGAAGAAAAUGAUACAUGUGAAGCUCAACUCUUGGAUUCUGGGAAUUUGAUACUGGUCAGCAAAAGAAGCAGAAAGAUUGUAUGGCAAAGCUUCGAUUAUCCUACUAACACAGGGCUACCUGGAAUGAAACUGGGGCUGGAUCGAAAACUAGGAACUGAUCGGUUCCUAACAUCAUGGAGAUCAGCUGAUGACCCUGGAAUUGGAGACUUUUCAAUUAGGAUCAACCCAAAUGGCUCACCACAAUUCUUUCUGUAUAACGGUACAAAGCCAAUUACUAGAGCUCCCCCUUGGCCAUGGAGUAGUCAGACGGGUAUAUUCAAAACCGUUUUUGUAAAUGAUCCAGACGAAAUAUACUGUGAAUCAACAGUUCCUGAUGGUUAUUAUCCGGUAAGACUAAUAGUGGAUCAUUCAGGACUUUCAAAGGUGUUAACAUGGCGAGAAAGUGAUGGUCAGUGGAAGGAAUACUGGAAGUCGCCUCUGUUACAGUGCGACUACUAUGGAUACUGUGGUGCUUAUAGUACGUGUGAAAUUGCCAAUUAUAAUAAAUUUGGAUGUGCCUGUGUACCUGGGUUCGAGCCCAAGUACCCAAUGGAAUGGUCUGCGAGAGAUGGGUCCAGUGGUUGUGUCAGGAAGCGGCUACAGACAUCCUCGGUGUGCGAUCAUGGAGAAGGGUUUGUGAAGGUGGAAAAAGUAAUUCUUCCGGACACUUCAGCUGCAGCUUGGGUGGACAUGAGCAGGAGUCGUGCAGACUGUGGAGUGGAAUGCAAGAGGAAUUGUUCAUGCUCUGCAUACGCAGUCAUUGUGAUUCCCGGAAAAGGGGAUGGUUGUUUGAAUUGGUACAAGGAAUUAGUAGACAUUAAAUAUGAUAGUAGUGAAAGUCAUGAUCUGUAUGUUCGUGUUGAUGCAUAUGAAUUAGGUAACCUUUUUCUUCUCCUUAACAAUUUCAAAGGAUUGUGAUUACAAAUUUUGAUUUAUAACAGCUUUUCAAUGUUUGCCCCUACUCUAGGAUGAAGUUAAUAAGCUGUGUGCUACAUGAAAGAAAUCAUUGAUAAUGAUAUACUUAUUAGGUGCCGAAGGGGCCAGCCUUUGCCAUAGGAGAAGGGACAAUUUGUUUUGUUUUUAAGCUGUCAAAGCCAAUUUGUUUUUCCUCUGGAGUUAAUCGUUAUUGUUUUCAUUCUCAUGCAGCGGGUAAUACAAGGAAGCUCAAUGGUUCCCGGGAAAAAACGAUGCUGGCCAUUUUAGCACCAUCAAUUGCAUUAUUGUUGUUUCUCAUUAGCCUAUCUUCUUAUUUGCGGCUCAAGAAGAGGGCAAAAGAAGGUAAGACAAGACUCUCUAAUCUCUAUUUGGAUAUGACUUCCCAAGCCAUGCAUUUAUUCUGCUCUGGUUAUGAGGAGAAGCUCACUUUUUGAUUCAUGAAUAGCAAAACAACCAGGUACUGAGCUGCUGGCAAACAGAAAUUCUACUGAAUCGGAAUAUUUCAAGCUCAGCACCAUAAUGGCGGCCACAAACAAUUUCUCUCCAGCUAACGAACUCGGGCAAGGUGGUUUUGGCUCGGUUUAUAAGGUAGAGUUUCUCAAUUCAUUUUCUAGCUAAAAAUUAAAUAAUACAGAUUUGUUUUUCUGCAAUUUGCUUAAUUGUAGUUUAGAUGCUUAAUAUGUAAGAAAACUUUAAAAUUAGCACAAAACAUCAAUUUAAUAUCUAAGAAUAAUAAAAAGAAAAAUGUCUAGACAAUUAGCUAAAAGAAAAUAAAGCCAAACACUUAAAUCUCCCUUUUUUUUUUGUCUUACUCUUCUUAUUUAUAUUUAACAAGUUUUGUGCAAUUAUCAAAAUCUCUCCCAUUCAUUUAUGCCUAAUAUCUACUCAUUCAAGGGCAUUGUUGUCAUUUUUUAUUAAAACCUUUCUUUUCUUUCAAAAUAUUACACUAAGAAAGCUGAAAGGAAAUGAAAACGACAUCUAUUCAAGAAAUUAUAUAUGCUUUAAAGUUGAGGUUAUGGGGACUUUUAGAUUAAUUUUAAAAUCUAGACUUAUUUUGGAUUUGAAAAUUUUCUUCUAUGUUCCACCAUUUUCUAGAAAUUGGAUUUUUGUUUCUAAACUUUGUAACAUUGGUUAUGGAUUCUUGUUUGAUGAAAACAUUUUUAAUAUUUUAAAAACUAAAGUUUCUACUAGUGGUGGAACAUUCAUUAAUGAUCUAUAUAAAAUUAAUCUAGACUCUACUAAUUUUGAGCUCAAAUAUUUAUCAAUGCAUGUUGAUUCGAUAAUUAAAAGGAGCAAAAUAAAUGAGAAUUCCUCUAUGUUUUGGCAUAGAAGAUUAGAUCACAUCUUCAUUGAGAGAAUUAAAAGAUUAAUGAAUGAUGAAUUUUUAAACACUCUUAAUUUUAUUGAUUUUGGUACUUUUGUAGAUUGCAUAAAGGGAUAGCUAGCACACUAACAAGACCAUUAAAGAUGCUACGAGAAGCUUGAAAUUUUUUUAAAUCAUAUGUAUUGACAUUUAUGGAUCAGUUAAUACGAUAUGCUUAAAUGAACAAAGAUAUUGUACCUCAUUUAUUGAUGAUCAUUCUAAUAGAUUUAUGCAUCUUUGUCUUUUAUUAAAUAAAGCUGAAGAAUUAGAUGCUUUUAAGACCUGUAAGGUUAAGGUGGGAAAAAAAAUACCAUAAAGAUUGUAAGGUCAGGUAAAGAUGAAGAGUUAUAUGAUAGAUACAUAAAAAAGGAUAAAUAUAAGGUUUAUUUGCAAAGUGCCUUAAAGAAGAUGGCAUUAUCGCAUAAUAUAUAAUGUCUGACACACCAAUAAGAUAAUGUAGUUGAAAAAAGGAACUGUACUCUUAUAGACAUGGUAAAAAACAUAAAUAGUACUUUUAAUCUACCAUUAUCUUUAUAGAGUUAGAAUUAAAUAUUGUUGUGUAUAUUUUAAAAUAGGGUUUCAUCCUAAAGUUGUGUCUAAAACACCUUUUGAAUUAUAAAAUGAAUGGAAGCCCAAUUUAAAUCAUACAAAUGUAUAUAGUUAUGUUGUUGAGUUAAGGAUUAAUAAUCCUCAACUAUAGAAAUUAGAUCCAAGAACAACUAGUUGAUAUUUCAUUGGUUAUAUAGCGAACUUUAAAGUUUAAAGGAUAUAUGCUUUAUUUUUCUUUUCAAAAUACAUGAAUAGUUAAGGCAAAAAAUGCUAAAUUUCUUGAGGAUCUUAAUUUCAAUAGGAGUGAUUUUCAUAAAAUGAUAGAAUUUAAGGAAACACAAUAUUUAAAUGUGUUGUAUAAAGAUAAAAGAAAAUUGGAUAUUAUUUAAAAAAAAAUUAUUUAGAUAUUUUUGAGCAACAAUCAAUUUAAGGAAAACCAUUUCAAUAGCAGGAAACCUGAGAAAAUUUAAUUAAUAAGUUCUUUAAGAACAAGGAGACCAACAAUUUUUGAUGACCCUGUUGUAUAUUUUCAAGAGUUUGACUUUGAUGUUGGACUUAAAGAUACUCCAAACUCAUUUCAUGGAGAAAACUCUACUUUAAUACAACAUCUAGGAUAACAUCAAUAUGGCAUGCACAUAUACAUAAUAGAAAAUUAAUAGGAUACAUGCCUCCUAUAAUGAUUCAUUAAGUGUUGAAAUAAUUGUUUAAAAAUCUUUGUGGUAUUAAGAAUAAAGAGUCUUUUAAUCCAUGCGAAACUUUAGGUUUACUAUGUGGAUGGAAAACACAACUUUUCAUUACUAUUUUUUUGGAUGGAUUAAGAACCCUUUAUAUAGAACUUAAUUUUUGCAUCUCCAUUUAUCUUGGAUGUGUUUGGCCGUCCAAUGGACUUUAAACCUUAAUUGCUAUUGACAUAUGAAUCGCCUUAAAGGUAUUUUUUUACCAUAAUCUUGUAACAUGAUUUUAGGGUCUGCUAGCUAAUGGACUGGAGGUUGCCAUAAAAAGGUUAUCUAGAAGUUCAAGACAAGGAAUAGAAGAAUUUAAAAAUGAAGUUAUGGUAAUUGCAAAGCUUCAACACAGGAAUCUUGUGAAACUUCUAGGUUACUGCAAUCAGGAUGGAGAACAAAUGUUAAUCUAUGAAUACUUGCCAAACAAAAGCUUGGACUCGUUUCUUUUCGGUAAGUCUUUUUGAAGUAUUUAUUGCCCUGAUUUACUCUAGUUGUCAAAUUAUACCUGUCUGAAAAGUAAUUCUUUCAACAGAUGAAAGCAGAAGAUUGUUAUUGGAUUGGCGAAAACGCUUUGAUAUUAUAGUUGGAAUAGCUCGUGGGAUUUUGUAUCUUCACCAAGACUCCAGGUUGAGAAUCAUUCACAGGGAUUUAAAAUGCAGCAACAUUCUAUUGGAUGCAGAGAUGAACCCAAAAAUAUCAGAUUUUGGAAUGGCCAAAAUAUUUGAAGGCAACCAAAUUGAAGAUAGGACAAGGAGAGUUGUAGGAACAUAGUAAGUACCUUUGCCUAAAACAAAGACCGAGAGACAAAGUACUAUCAUUGAUUACCAGGAAUACUAAAACUUCAGAUUCUUGUUUUUCUGAUGCAGUGGCUAUAUGUCACCAGAAUAUGCUGUGCUUGGAAACUUUUCUGUAAAAUCAGAUGUUUUCAGUUUUGGGGUCAUGUUGCUAGAGAUUGUGAGUGGCAAGAAGAACAAUAGAUUUUAUCAACAGAAUCCUCCCUUGACCUUGAUUGGAUAUGUGAGUUAUAAGAGAGCUUUUAGUGCUCUUGGUAGAAUUGCAAUGUUCACAAUUUUAGAUGAUUUUAUCAACAGAAUCCCGCUCUCAUAUCUUGUAUGUUAAUGAUUUAUAUGAACACACAGGUGUGGGAAUUAUGGAGGGAAGACAAAGCAUUGGAGAUAGUUGAUCCAUCACUGAACGAGUUGUAUCAUCCGCGUGAAGCCUUGAAAUGCAUACAAAUUGGUCUACUGUGCGUGCAAGAAGAUGCCGCGGACAGACCAUCUAUGUUGGCAGUUGUUUUUAUGUUGAGUAACGAAACAGAGAUCCCUUCUCCAAAACAACCUGCCUUCCUCUUUAGAAAAUCUGAUAAAUUUCCUGAUAUAGCAUUAGACGUAGAAGAUGGACAGUGUUCUGUAAAUGAGGUGACAAUUUCUGAAAUUGCUAGUCGCUGAAGCUGUGCUGUCUGAAAAAUUGCUAAUAUGAAGUUCCAUUAGAUUUGUAAUGAAAAUACUUGUUGCUAAAUUGUGGAUUUGAGAUUUAACACACACCGCCUCGAACAAUCCAAUUCAAUGAAAAGUUAAAUGACAAAGAUUUUUAACGAUGCAUUGGACAUAGUUGAUUCAUCACUGGAGCAUACAAGUCCGUCUCUUGUUCCUAUGUCAAGUAGUGAAACUACAAUUCCUUCUCCUAAACAACCUGCAUUCCUUUUGAUGCAGGAGCUAGAACUGUACUAGCUUUCAUAUAAUUAGAAUUUUUCUUUUAAUAUUUUAUUUAUAUAAUAUUUAUGAGGGUGGUUUGGACGGCUAAGAUUUGUUGUUUCCAAGGCUCGUUUUCCAUCCAAGUUUUUCAACUCCCAACCUGAUUCUAAACAACUGAUCUUUUCUGCCUAGUGUCAAGGAAGAAAUCUAACAGCAUCAUCAUAUGGAAUGCUAUAUGGGUGGUGUUCGUCAGCUAUUCUUUUAUGGAUAAUUACUCGAUCUACCUUAUGUUAUGAUGCUUGCUUUGUCUUACCUUUUUCUCCUCUGUUCCUGAACCACAAAUAUGCUAAUGAGCAGCCAUGAUGAACCCACAGUUGGAACAAGAACGGUCACAAUUCCUUUUCAUGAGAGCCAUUUGAUCUCCUCCAUUCCUUGCAUUCUCGUGUAAGUAGACAUUAGAUAUGAAAGGAGUGAAAGUUAUGAUCUGUAUGUUCGUGUUAAUGCAUAUGAAUUAGGUACCCUUUUUCUGCUCAGUAACUACUUCACAGGAUUGUCUUUACAAAUAUUGAUUUAUGAGAGCUUUCCUGUGCUUGUCACGGCUCUUGACUGUAAUUAAUAAGCUCUUCACCAAAGAUAAAUGAAAAAUAAUUUAAGAUAUAAAAUGUUUUUUUAAGUUUAGUGGAAUAGAUAAUCCAGAUCACAGUUUAACAAAUUAACUUAGAAUUAAUUACUUAAAUUUUUUAACUUUUUAUAAUCAAGUUUUUUAAUUUUAAAUUUCAUUUUUUAUUAUAUGAUUGCUUUUGAAUUGAAUAUAAUUAUUUAUUUUAUUUUUUAUGGGGUUUUCGUAAUUUUCUAACCUUGAUAGCAAAUUUUAAUAAUUAACUUUAAGUUCAUAUUGUUUUAUUUAAUAUGUUAUUAUUUUAAUGUUUUAAAAAUAAAUUAUAAUAUAUUAUUAUUUUAAUUCAGAAAAAAACUGUACCUUCCAACAUGCCUUGAAUAUUACAUUAAGCAUUAAUGAUUGAUUUUGUUUUUCUUUAAAAAAACACGAUAUUAGUACUUAAAAAACAGUGUUGUCCGAUAGAUAUUUGUUAGUUUUGAUGUUUAUGUUCUCACACUGCCACUUGAAACAAAACCCUAAAGACUACAAGUGAUGCAGUGCAUAGGAAAAUUAAAAAAUCAAAUUUUCUUAAAUUUGAAAAUUGUAGUUAAACAAUAAAAAAAAACUGAUUUGAUAAAUUUUGAAUUUCAAUUAUGGAAUCCUCUAAAACGUAAAAUUGUUUUAAAUAAUAAAUUUAGUUGAAUAACUAAUAAAAAGAAAAUUAAAUAAAUAUUAUUUUCAUCAUACUCAUAAUUGAGAUUACGAUAUUUUCACUUACCCUAAGUAAAAGGUCUCACAACUACACAAAACUUGGACUGAAAACCUAGAAUAGAAAAAAACAUCCUAAGGCAAAAUUCCUACCCCUGUGGUCUCUGCCAAACGAUGCGUGUCACCUAGCUAAAUGACAAUAUCUUAUCCAAAACACACCAAUGUCUGCAAUGAAUUAAAAUACUUUCUCAGGAAUAUGGAAUUAAGCAUAAUGUUUCCUAAUCUAAAAAAUGAAAUUGCACCCUUAACAUUUAUGCAGUCCAGUCCUUCUAAAAUUCUUUAUUUUGAAAAAAAAAAUCAAUUCAACUAGAUGAAUGAUAAUUGAAAAAACAAAAUAAAAAAACUGAAAGUUAGCACAUAUAUCAAUUCUUUCCCUUUGUAAUAUUAGUAACAACAAAGUAUCAUUACUAAUUUUUUUUUUUUUGAAUUUUACAAUCUCAAUUAUAUGAUUUAUGGAGUCAUUUAAUUUAUUUAAGGCCUCCAAACUAGUAUUAGAAAUUACAAUUUUAAAAACUGUAUAUUUUUCAAGUUGAUUUAGAUUUUUUUUCUAUUUAUUUUAGAAAUAUUUUAUUAAUUGUUAAGCUUUGUUUUGGGUGUUUUCCUAACCUAUAAUAGUCCCGAAGAUCUUUGAUAUUUAAGUUUGAUUAGAAAAAUAUUGAGGAAUAAAAGUUUGAAUUAUAAUUAUUAUUAUGGUUGAUAUAUUUUUCGACACAAUUCUAUCUUUCUUUGUGUUUGUUGUCCUUUUUUAUGUUGUUUCUACAUAUUUCUAAAACAAGAGGACAGUAUCGUUUCCAAAAAAUAGGCACUUCCGUCACAUAACUUAUCUGGAGACUAGUCUGAAGGCAAAAUUUAACACUUGUCCAGAAGCCAAGAUCCAGUUUUCUCCAUCAUGGAAGUUGAAAAACUGUUCUUGCUUUUUUCUCUUAUAACGCUCCAAUUCUCAUCUUGUACAUCGCAAGACUCCCUAAAGACCAACCAAACCAUUAAAGAAGGUGACCUUCUUAUCUCCAAAGGAAAUAAUUUUGCACUUGGAUUUUUCAGUCCAGGUAGUUCUAGCAAUAGAUAUCUUGGAAUUUGGUACCAUAAAGUACCAGAACAAACUGUGGUGUGGGUUGCAAACAGGAACGAUCCAAUCAUUGGUUCCUCUGGAUUUCUCUUCAUAAACCAAUUUGGUAACCUCGUUCUCUAUGGUAACGAUGACCAAAAGCUUCUAGUGUGGUCUGCCGAUGUUUCAGUGGAAGAAAAUGAUACAUGUGAAGCUCAACUCUUGGAUUCUGGGAAUUUGAUACUGGUCAGCAAAAGAAGCAGAAAGAUUGUAUGGCAAAGCUUCGAUUAUCCUACUAACAUCCUGCUUCCUGGGAUGAAACUGGGGCUCGAUCCAAAAUCAGGAAUUGAUCGGUUCCUAACAUCAUGGAGAUCAGCUGAUGACCCUGGGAUUGGAGACUUUUCAGUUAGGAUCAACCCUCAUGGCUCACCGCAAAUCUUUUUCUAUAGUGGUACAAAGCCAAUUUGUAGAUCUCCUCCUUGGCCAUGGAGAAGUCAGUUAGGCUUAUACAAAAGCACUUUUGUAAAUGAUCCAAACGAAAUAUACUUUGUCUACACAGUUCCUGAUGAUUCUUUUCUGCUAAGAUUAAUAGCGGAUCAUUCAGGACUUAUAAAGAUUUUAACAUGGCGAGAAAGUGAUGGUCAGUGGAACGAUUACUGGAAGGGCCCUCAGUUUCAGUGCAACUAUUAUGGACAUUGUGGUGCUUAUAGUACGUGUGAAGUUGCCAAUCGAAAUGAAUUUGGAUGUGCCUGUUUACCUGGGUUCGAGCCCAAGUACCCAUUGGAAUGGUCUUCGAGAGAUGGGUCUGGUGGUUGUGUCCGGAAGCGGCUACAUACGUCUUCGGUGUGCCAGAAUGGAGAAGGGUUUGUGAAGGUGGAAAAUGUAAUUCUUCCGGACACUUCAGCUGCAGCCUGGGUGGACAUGAGCAAGAGUCGUGUAGACUGUGAACUGGAAUGCAAGAGGAAUUGUUCAUGCUCUGCAUACGCAAUCAUUGCAAUUCCCGGAAACAAAUAUGGUUGUUUUACAUGGUACAAGGAAUUAGUAGACAUUAAUUAUGACAGGAGUGACAGUUAUGACCUGUAUGUUCGUGUUGAUGCAUAUGAAUUAGGUACGCUUUUUCUGCUCAGCAACUACUUCAUAGGAUUGUCAUUACAAAUAUUGAUUUAUAAGAGCUUUCCUAUGCUCUUGACUGCAGGAAAGAAAACAUAGAUAUUGGUACGUUUUAUGUGCCAAAAGGGCUACCCUUUACCAUAUGUUUUUCCUAUAGAGUUAAUCUUUAUUCUUUUCACUCUCAUGCAGCUGAUAAUACAGGGCAGCCAAAUGGUUCUCGUGAAAAACCGAUGCUGGCCAUUUUAACACCAUCAAUUGCAUUAUUGUGGUUUCUCAUUAGCCUGUUUGCUUAUUUGUGGCUCAAGAAGAGAGCAAAAAAAGGUAAUGAACUGCAGGCAAACAGCACUUCUACUGAAUUGGAAUAUUUCAAGCUCAGCACCAUAACGGCGGCCACUAACAAUUUCUCUCCAGCUAACAAACUCGGGCAAGGUGGUUUUGGCUCUGUUUAUAAGGUUCAGUUUCUUGCAUUUAGCUAAACAGCACUUCUACUACAGAUUUGUUUUUAUCUAAUUUGCAUAAUUGUAAUUUAGAAGCUUAAUCUUGUAACAUGAUUUUAGAGUCUGCUACCUAAUGGAAUGGAGGUUGCAAUAAAAAGGUUAUCUAGAAGUUCAGGACAAGGAACAGAAGAAUUUAAAAAUGAAGUUACGGUAAUUGCAAUGCUUCAACACAGGAAUCUGGUGAAACUUCUAGGUUACUGCAAUCAGGAUGGAGAAAAAAUGUUAAUCUAUGAAUACUUGCCAAACAAAAGUUUGGACUCGUUUCUUUUCCGUAAGUCUCUUUAGGUUUUUAUUGCCCUGAUUUACACUAGUUGUCUGAAAAAUAGUUGUUUCAACAGAUGAAAGCAGAAGAUUGUUAUUGGAUUGGCGAAAACGCUUUGAUAUUAUUGUUGGAAUAGCUCGUGGGAUUUUAUAUCUUCACCAAGAUUCCAGGUUGAGAAUCAUUCACAGGGAUUUAAAAUGUAGCAACAUUCUACUGGAUGCAGAGAUGAACCCAAAAAUAUCAGAUUUCGGAAUGGCAAAAAUAUUUGAAGGCAACCAAACAGAAGAUAGGACCAGGAGAGUUGUGGGAACAUUGUAAGUUCCUUUGACUAAAACAAAGACCGAGUGACAAAGUACUAUCAUUGAUUACCAGGAAUACUAAAACUUCAGAUUCUUGUUUAUCUGAUGCAGUGGCUACAUGUCACCAGAAUAUGCUGUGCUUGGAAACUUUUCUGUAAAAUCAGAUGUUUUCAGUUUUGGGGUCAUGUUGCUAGAGAUUGUGAGUGGCAAGAAGAACAAUAGAUUUUAUCAACAGGAUCCUCCGUUGACCUUGAUUGGACAUGUGAGUAAUAAGAUAGCCUUUUGUGCUAUUGGCUGAAUUUCAAUGUUCACAAUUUUAGAGGUUGUAUGUUAAUGAUUUAUAUGAACAACACAGGUGUGGGAAUUAUGGAGAGAAGAAAAAGCAUUGGAGAUAGUUGAUUCAUCACUGAACGAGUUGUAUCAUCCGCGUGAAGCCUUGAAUUGCAUAGAAAUUGGUCUUCUGUGCGUGCAAGAAGAUGCCACGGACAGACCAUCUAUGUUGGCGGUUGUUUUUAUGUUGAGUAACGAAACAGAGAUUCCUUCUCCAAAACAACCUGCAUUCCUCUUUAGAAAAUCUGACAAUAAUCCUAUUAUAGCUUUAGACGUAGAAGAUGGACAGUGUUCUGUAAAUGAGGUGACAAUUUCAGAAAUUGGUUGUCGCUGAAGCUGUGCUGUCCGGAAAAAUUGCUAAUAUGAAGUUCCAUUAGAUUUGUAAUGAAAACAAGUAUGUACCCACUGCUACAACAGAUCAAGCUCUUCAACACUAGACGUACCAAGGAACAAAUCUAACAGCAUCAUCAUAUGGAAUGCUAUUUGGGCGGUGUUCGUCAGCUAUUCUUUUAUGGAUAGUUACUCUAUUUAUAAUGCUUUUAUGGUUAGAGAAUGUUUUUGGAGGAGGAAAGGUAGUCCAUUGAGGCUAUUCUAGAUGGGAGGUUUGGCCUCAAGGAAAAUGGCAUAGAGGUGGUGAAACACUUGGAGAGGGUUCCGACCAUCCCUUCAAACAUCCUAAUAAUGUCUUAUGAAAGCUACAAUCACCACUUAACUUUUACUAGACAAAUAACCUGUAAUGUAAGAAAUUAUCUUAUUUGACCUUAUAAUUUUAGUUCUUCAUUAUUUUUCCUAACAAUUAUUUGUUUUUGGUAGACUUUCAAGAUGUGCACACAUUUUAAAAGAUACUAGAUAAUUAAGAAAAGCCAUGUAAGGGAGGUUAUUGCUAAACACACGGUGGACAAGACUACCCUUCAAAGACUAAUAGAUGGGAAGGCUAUUGUAGAUGCUAAACCAAGAAACCUCAAGGUAGAUGAUGCCAUGUUGAAGGACGACAGAAGAGGUCAAGUCCUUCAACUAGGCUCAACUAGAAAAUAGGUUUUUUAAAAAGCAUUUUGAGGGCUUUUAUUCAGAAAUUUAUCUUAGAUCCCAUUGGUCAAAGUUUAGAGGGUUAUAUCCAAAUUGUAUUUCUCAAAUUAAUUCUCCCAUAGCAAUUCAUCACUCACAUUGAGUUAAACAUGUACUCCUCCUUUUUCAACUUAAUCACCUACCGAAACGACCUUUAGAUCAUACUUCAAAUAUUAUGUGGUCCUACUUGCUAAUGUGUCAGGCUGAUUGGACACUAACUAGACAUCUGUCGUGGAAUGAUGAUCUCAUGCUUACAUCAUCCUUUAGUUUGGGUCAGUUCAUAUGGAUGAGGUCGGAUUGAUGGCGGGUAUCUGGUUCAAUAGGUGAAGAAGAUUAACCAACCUCUCCAGCAACCACUUUUUACUGUUGAAAAUGACUACCAACAACCCACCGAACGGUGGCAGUCUUUUGUCUCCACCAUUCUCAGCCGUUAAAAGGUUAUCUAGAAAUUCAGGACAAGGAAUACAAGAAUUUAAAACUAAAGUCACAGUAAUUGCAAAGCUUCACCACAGGAACUUAUGUAGCUUCUAGGCUGUUGCAUUCAGGUUGGAGAACAUAUAUAUGUUAAUUUAUAGAUUUGUUUUAUUAAUAAUAAUUUUAUUUUCAUUAUAAUUUUUAAUUUAAAAAAUAAAAUAAAUAUUUAUAAUUUGAUUAUCAUGAAUAUAAAAUAUUAAAUUAAUUAUUAUAAAUUGUUGUAUUGAUUUUGUAUGAAAAGUAGUUCUAGUUCUAAUGGAAAAAUUGUUUUUAUUUUCACUAAAUAAACAUGUUUUUCAAUUUUAAAAAAAAUCAAAAUCAAAAUUAAAAAAGAAAUUUUUUUUUACUGAACAAUUUUAUGUGGAGUAUGGAUGUUUAAAAAUGUAGUAGUAGUUGUUUUGCAAAGUUUUUUUCUUGAAAAUACAUCAAAAUAAUAUAUAUUUUUUAUUUUUUAUAAAAUUAAUCUUAAUAUCAACACAUCAAAAUAAUUUAAAAACAUAAAAAAAUUAUUUCUUUUAAAAAAUUAAAUUUUGCUCAACCUCCUUUGAGAACAUAAUACUAAAUAGGGUUAACAACAAUACUAAACAGGGUGUAGUAUAAAAAGGACUAGACAACUCAUGGUCUUGAGUUUGAAGAUUGCAAAGACUAACAUUGUUCCACUUUGGACUACACUAACAUCUUUUUUCUAAGUUUAGCCCAUCUCUUUGUCCUUUCAAUUUCAGUAUUUAAACUCAUCAAUCAAUCCUUUUAUUUAUGUGAUAGGCUUGCAUUUAAGAUAAAUAUUUACCAUAAAUUAAAGGUAUCUUAUAUUAUUAGAUAUGUUAUUAUAAAACAUGCUUUACUUAAGGAAUUAUUGAUACUUCAAGUGCAAAAUGAUGAUAUAAAACCUUGAUAAAAAUACACUUUUAAGUACUAAUCACACCCCCCAACUAGCUUAUUACUAGUCUAUAGUAAUCAAAGCAUUAAAACAGAGAAAAAUAAUUUGCAAAUUCCACAAAGCAAGCCAUUCAUCAUUCAACUUCCAUUAAUCUAUCCAGAUAAAUAAACUCUCAUUAACUUCAUAUAUCUGCCUAAUACCUCUUAAACAAAAUAUUAAUAAUCCUUCCUUUUUAUGCGCUUAAUGUAUGAAAACAUAGAUAAUGGGGCUUUUAUUGGAAGAAAACAAUAUUCUGUUCUAAUGUUUAAGGUUACCUUUCUUGGGUUGGGAUUAUUAUUAUUAUUUUUUUUUAAUACAUAUACAUAUAACUUAAAACACAAUGCAUCUUUAACCCAUGUAAUGAGCUUUUGGCUAAUGACUCCUAGACUAGUUGGUCUUAGGGCAUUAGGUGUUGAGACACCCCUACGAGCUUAGUAACUCGGGUUGCAGAUAUUGAUACGUAGAUAGUGCAAUGUUUGAUUCCCUUAAGCUUUUCUCCUCAACCCAUGUAACAAUCAUUAGGCCAAUAGCUCCCAAGUCAGUUGACUUUAGGGUAUUAGGUGUUAAAACACUCAUUUGGGCUUAAUUGCUUAGGUUAGAGAGGCUACAAAACCAAACUUAUCUAUGUUUUUAUUUAUUUACAUUUAUUAUCAUUUUUUUUGUUUUUGGUUUUUUGCAAAUUAUAUACUAUCCCUUUCCCUUAGUUGUUACCUUUAACAAAAGAAUAUAAAUAAUGUCAUAAUCCAAUGUGUAACCCAUAAUUAUACGUUAAAGUGUGUGUGUGAAAAUAAAGGUUUAAAAAUACUUGAUAAAUGAGUAUAUAAGCAUAAUCAAUUGAUAAUAAUACGAGAGUUUGUAAGCCUGAAUAUUUCAAGAGAAGUAUGUGAUAGACCUUGUUAUGAAUAUUGCAAAUAACCAUUGGAAAAUGUUUACUGAGAUACGUCUCAAGAGUCAAUAAAAUUCUCUCUUACUCUACCAUCCUAGUAAUAACAGUUUUGUCAAAUGGUUUUAAUAAUAGCAAAAAUAGUUAGUAAGUUUUUUUUUUAAUGUCAACUACUACCCUCCCCCCUAACCAAAACGAGACAUUGUUCUCAAUGUUCUAAGGUAGAAACAUGGAGUAUAGAAGACAUCACCUGAAACAACGAACACUGACAAACCUGAAACACACUUAAACAAAUAUAAGAAAUAACAAAAUAAAAUAAUGUGCUAUUAACAAAACCAAAAGACAUAAGGUUUCACAAAUAAAGGCUCAAAUCCAAUUUAAGAUUUUUAUGGCUUUCCGUAGUUGACUAAUUUAUGCGACUCAUGGAGGGAUCAAUUACAGGGAUGAAAGAUUGUAGUUGGUCAAUCAAUUGUUCAGCAGUAGCAGCAAAGAUUAUGAUUUGUCGUGCUGAAGAUAGAAAUUCUUGUUCCACAGCAUGAUCUAGAAAAGACAACAACUUAUCAUAAAAACCAUUAACAUUUAACAAACCUAUAGGUUUAUGAUGAAUGUGUAGUUGGGCCUAAGAGGAAAUAUGAAAGAUCUCUUCCAAUGUACCCAAACCACUUGGUAAGGCGAUGAAGGCAUCAACGUGUUUAAACAUUGUAUUCAUUCGAUUAGACAUUGUGAAGACCUCUAAUUCCUCUCCAAUUGUUUUUCCAAUGAUGUCCCCUUAUCCAAUGUACCCAUAUGGAUACACAUAUUUCACAAUAAAAGGACCGCUCCAUCUUGAUCUUAGUUUUCCAAGAAAUAAAUGGAGUCGAGAAUUAUAAAGCAAAACUUUUUUACCAACAUCAAAUGUUUUUCUCAAGAUUCUCUUAUCAUGAAACUCUUUGAUUCUUGCUUUAUGAAUUUUUGAAUUCUCAUAUGCAUCAUUUCUUAUUUCCUCAAGCUCAUUUAUUUGUAAUUUUCGCAGCUGACUAGCAUCAUCAAGUUUUUAAUUGAAAGCUUUAAUAGCCCAAUAAGCUUUAUGUUCAAGUUCUACAGGUAAGUGACAAGGUUUUCCACAAACUAGUCUAUAAGGUGACAUACAUAAUGAUGUUUUAUAAACAGUUUGAUAAGCCCAAAGUGCAUCAUUAAGUCUUAAAGACUAGUGUUUCCAAUUUGGGUUCACUGUUUUCUCCAAGAUCUGUUUGAUCUUCCUAUUAGCAAGUUCUACCUGUCCACUUGUCUGAGGGUGAUAAGGGGUGGCAACUUUGUGUGUGAUUCCAUAUUCUUCAUUAAAGACUCAAAUGGCUUGUUGCAGAAAUGUGUGCCACCAUCACUUAUUAUGGCUCGAGGGAUUCCAAAUCGAAAAAUAUUUUCUUUUAAAAACUUUAUCAGUGUUUUGUGAUCAUUGUUUCGGCUUAGAAUUGCCUCUAUCCAUUUUCAAACAUAAUCCACUACGACUAAUAUGUACAAGAAACCAAAUGAUGGAGGAAAUGGACCCAUGAAAUCUAUACCCCAACAGUCAAAGAUUUCAAUGACAGGAAUGUGAUUUAAAGGCAUCAUGUGAUGUUUUGAAAUAGAUCUCAACUUUUGACAAUUUUCACAAGUCUUGCAGAAUGCAUGUGAGUCCUUGAACAUGGUGGGCCAGUAAAAUCCACUUUGUAAGAUUUUUACAGUUGUCUUUCUUGAUGAGAAAUGACCCCCACAUGCCUUAGAAUGAAAAAAUUUAAUGACACUACUUACCUCAUUGUCAAGAAUGCAUCUUCAAAAUAUUUGAUCAGGACAAUAUUUGAAUAAAUAAGGGUCAUCCCAAUAAAAGUUCUUCACUUCGUUCAAGAGCUUUCUUUUGUCUUGGGUACUCCAAUGAGCUGGCAAUUGUCCUGAAAUAAGAAAAUUAACAAUAUUAGCAAACCAAGGCAUUGUAGAGACAGAAAAUAAAGAUUCAACAGGAAAGUAGUCAUUGAUUGGUGUGAUGUCAAAUCUCGAAUCGGUUGUCAAUCUUGACAAAUGAUCUGCGACAACAUUUUUUGUGCCUUUCUUGUCUUUGAUUAUGAUAUCAAUUUCUUGAAGUAACAAAAUCUAUCGCACUAAUCUAGCCUUAGAAUCUUUCUUAAAGAGAAGAUAUUUCAAUGUUGCAUGAUCACUAAAAACAACAACAGGUGAACCAACAAGAUAAGAUUUGAACUUGUCACAUGCAAAUACUACUGCAAGUAAUUCCUUUUAAGUGGUAGUGUAAUUCAUUUGAGCAUUAUUUAAAGUUUUACUUGCAUAGUAAAUCACAUACGGUUUCUUAUCUUUUCUUUGUUUUAAGACAGCACCAACGACAUAAUCACUAGCGUCACACAUUAUUUCAAAAGGUAGUGACCAAUCAGGAGGUUGAAUGACAAGAGUAGAAGUAAGCAAGCUUUUAAGUUUAACAAAGGUUUUUUUACAUUGUUCAGUCCAUUCAAAAAUAUUUUUCUUUGUUUGAAGGUUACACAAUGGUUUAGAUAUUACACUAAAAUAUUUGAUGAAGCUUCUAUAAAAACCAGUAUGUCCUAAGAAUGAUCUAACAUCUUUAAUAGAUUUUGGUGUUGGCAAGUUAGCAAUUAACUCAAUUUUAGAUUUGUCAACCUCAAUUCCUUUCGAUAAAACAAUGUGACCAAGUGCAAUGCCAUUUGUUACCAUAAAGUGACAUUUUUCCCAAUUUAGCACAAGAUUCUUCUCUUCACACCUGUUCAAAACCUUUUCCAAGUUAGUUAAACAAUCAUCAAAUGAAUCAUAAAAAAACAGAAAAAUCAUACAUAAAAAUCUCAAGAAAAAGUUCAACUAUAUCACUAAAUAUGCUAAGCAUGCAUUUUUGAAACAUGGUUGAUGCAUUACAUAAUCCAAAAGGCAUCCUUUGAUAUGCAAAAGUACCAAAUGGACAUGUGAAAGUAGUCUUCUCUUGAUCUUCCAAUGCAAUUCAAUUUGAUUGUAACCUGAAUAACCAUCUAGGAAACAAUAAAAUUCAUGACCUGCAACUCUUUCUAGGAUUUGAUCCAUGAAAGGUAAAGGGAAAUGAUCUUUUCUAGUCAUUGAAUUAAGUUUUCUAUAGUCAAUGCACAUGCGCCAACCAGUAAUAGUCCUAGUUGGAAUUAACUUAUUUUUCUCAUUUGUUGUCACAGUGACUCUAGACUUUUUGGGUACAACUUGGGUAGGACUUACCUAUUUGCUAUCAGAAAUAGGAUAAAUGAUUCCAUUAACUAAAAGCUUAAUGACUUCAUUUUUCACUACUUCUUUCAUAUUAGGAUUAAGCCUUCGUUGCAUUUUUCUAGAGGGUUUAGCAUUUUCCUCCAAAUAAAUCUUGUGUGUGCACAUCAAAGGGCUAAUUCCUUUUAUGUCAGCUAUGGUCCAUCCUAAUGCAUUUUGAUUCAUUUUUAGAGUCUGUAAUAACUUACCUUCUUAAUGUGCAUUAAGUUUGGAAGACAUUAUUAUCGGAAAGGUUUCAUUUUAUCCCAAAAAUGAGUAUUUAAGAUUGCACGGUAAUGGCUUCAAAUCAGGUUUUGGUGGUUGAACACUUGAAGGUAUGAACUCAAUUGAUCGUUGUGACAAUUCUUCAAUUUAUGGUCUCUAAUUCUUUGACUUUGAUUCUUCCUGAAAAUAGACCAUUUACGAAUCGUCAGGUUCAUCAAUCUCAGUUUCACUGAAAGUGGUGUGAAAUUGAUCAUGAACUAAUUUUUCAAUAAAGUCCACUUCCUGUAAAUCAUUAUCAUCUCUAGGUUGCUUGCAAAUGUUGAAAAUAUUCAUCUCCAAUGUCAUGUUUCUAAAUGAUAGUUUCAUCAGUGCAUUCCUACAAUUAAUCAAUGCAUUAGAAGUUGCAAGAAAUGGACGUCUUAAAAUAACAGGAAUUGAAUUACAUGCUUCAAUAGGUUGUGUAUCUAAGACAACAAAAUCUACAGGGUAAAUGAAUUUAUCAACUUGUACUAACACAUCCUCAACUAUUCAUUUAGGCACUUUUAUAGAUCUAUCAGCAAGUAAAAGAGUUACAGAAGUUGGUUUUAACUCACCUAGAUUGAGACUUUAAAAAACCGAAUAUGGAAGUAAAUUCACACUAGCUCCAAGAUCAAGUAAAGCUCUUUCAAUUUUAUGUUCUCCAAUAAAGCAAGAACUUGUAGGACAACUAUGGUCUUUAUAUUUCAAAACAUUAUUGUUCUGGAGAAUAACAAUUACUUGUUCGGCUAAAAGUGCUUUCUUUUUCACAUUCAGUUUUCUCUUCACAGUGCAUAGAUCUUUCAAAAAUUUAGUAUAUGAAGGUACAUGUUUAAUAGCAUCCAACAAAGGUAUAUUGAUCCUUACCUGUUUGAAAGUUCAAGGAUUUCAAAAUUGUGAUUGACUUUUCUUUGUUUGGUCAUGGCAUGAGGAAAUGAAAGUGUUGGCGGAGAAUUAAUAUUUUCCUUACAAUGUUCAGAUUCGACCCCUUCCUUACCCUCAAAGAUUGACUCAUCAUCUUUCUCACAAGGUUGAAGAGUGGGUUUUUCAAUAACCUUACCACUGCGAAGAGUGAUGACUGCUUUGACUUAAUCCAUGUGUUGGCUUCCGGAACUACUUGCAUUUGCAUUGUAUUGUCCCUUUGGAUUUUGCUAUAGUUGAGAUGGAAACUUACCUUUCUCUUGAAAAUUGAGAGCAGAUGUGAAUUUUGUAAGAGUAUCUUUAAAAUUUGUCAUGUUUUGAGCAAGUUGAGUGUUGACUGUCUCUUGCUUUUCAAUGAAUGCAUGCAAUGUUUCCUCAAGAUUUCUUCUAGGAGGUGGAGUAUAAGGAGGUGCAUAUCCAUGAGAAUUUUAAAAAUUAUGGUGUGCUUGAAAUGGUGGCUGUGAAGUUUGUGCAUUAUUAUUAUUAUCACUCUUCCAACUUAAAUUUGGGUGGUUUCUCUAACCAAGAUUGUAUGUUUGUGAGUAUGGGUUAUGAUUGGGCCUUUGGAAACUGUUUAAAGCAUGGGCUUGUUCAUGGAGGCAUUCCUUGAAAGAAGGCAAAGUUGGACUGUCAUUAGUUGCAUGUUCAUUUGUUUCACAGAUUUAACAUAUAAUUUCUUGAACAGCUUUUAAUUGACCACUUUUUUUUCAAUUUUAGUGUUUCGACUUUUCUAACUAAAGAUGCAAAUUUGGCUUCAAGGUCAUGAUCUUUCCUAAGGUUGUACAUACUUCCACUAGAUGUAUGAGAUUGAGUUUUACCCGGUGCCUUAUCAGUGCCCCUAGUGUCUUAAUUUUGAGCAUUUUUAGCUAGCAAGUCUAGGUACUCCAUUGCUUCAUCAAGGUCUUUAUCUUCAAAAGUUCCAUUGUAUAUCAAUUCCACCAUUUGCCUAUCUUUAGGUGUUAAUCCUUUAUAAAAAUGUGAAACCAAUCUCCAUGUUUCAAAACCAUGAUGAGGGCAAGUAUUAAGUAAGUCUCAAUACCUAUCCCAACAUUGGUAAAAUGUUUCUCCUGGUUUUUGAGUUAAAGUGGUGAUUUGUAAAAUGAAAGAGUUUGUUCUAUGAGAUGGAAAAAAUUUCUUUAAAAAUUGUUAUUGCAUUUCAUCCCAAGCACGAAUGGAUCAUGACCUAAGAUUUUGUAGCCAUGUUUUAGCUUUAUCUUUUAAUGAAAAAGGAAAAAGCUUUAAUCUAAUGGUAUUCAUGCUACAAUUUAAUCAUUAUAGGUGUUACAAACUUCUUCAAAUUCUCUCAAAUGCAAGUAUGGAUUUUCUAGAUCUAAGCCAUGAAAAGAAGGUAAAAGUUGAAUAAUGUCUGGCUUAAAAUUAAAAUGAGAUGCAUCCGGAGGGAAAACUAUACAUGAGGGUGCACUUGUUCUUGUAGGAUUCAUGUGGUCUCUAAGUGCUCUAACUCGGUUAUUCUCAUUAUUCUCAUUAUUAAGCGACUGAUUAUCUUCUUUGGCCAUAUUUUCUGAAAAUGAUGAGGAUACCCUACAAAGUCUACCACUUAAUGUACGUGACCAAAUACUCAUGUAUGUGUAAAAAGAGAAUAAAAGGAAGAAGAAAACAAAACAAAAAGAAACAAAACAAAAGAAACAAAAGUUAAAUACAAGAAAAGUGAAAAGAAAAAAUAAAAUAAAUAUUAUAAUUUAUACAAGAAUUUACCUCCCCGGCAACGGUGCCAAAAACUUGACACGACCAAAAGAUUGAUGUCAUAUCUCAAGUGCAAGAGUGUCGAAGUAAUAAAUAACCCGGCAAGACCGGGGUUGAACCACAUGGAGGUGAACUAUAUAAAUUACAAAUAAUAUAUAUAUAUAUAUAUAUAUAUAUAUAUUUAUUUAUAAUAAAAUAAAGAGUUUACGAGAAUUUUAUGGGAUAUUAAUAUAAGGAUUAAACAAUGAUAAAACAAUUGUCAAGGUUAGAUGAUCCACUAAUGGUAUUAGAAAUAAGUAUAGUAUAAACUCUUUUUAUUAAUCAACUGGAAACCACACACAAAGGAGGUUCUAAUCGGAUGAUUUAUCCUUAAUAGUUCAUUAUAAAUUUUUAACAUGAUCAUAUUAAUUAUCUUAUUUAAGUAACACCAACCUUUUAAAUAUUAUCAAGAAUUCAUGAUGCUAACUUAUAUUAAUAGCAAAUCAAGUUCCUUUCAUAGCACAGGUGUAGGUUAUACCAUACGAUUGGCUAUGAAAAAAACCAAGCAUUUAUUAUACCAAGUGUUAUACAACCAAAAUCUAGAUUAACCAUUUAACAAGCAAGGUAUUAAGAAUUAGUAAGAUAAAAAGAUAAGACAUGUUAAUAACAAACUUUCUUAGAUAUAAACAUUGAAGUCCAUGUUGAGUUUAUAUUAUACCUAUUCUAAAACCAUUAGUGAAACCUUUUCACCUUGACAUAAUAAACUUAGCUAAACAUAAUAAAGAAGAUAAACAUAAAUAAACAACAUAAGAACAUAAGUAUAGUAAAGGAAAUGAAAAGCAUAAACUAGAGAUUAAGGAAAAUAUAACAUGAAAUAAAACUUAAACAUUAAAAAAAUAUAAAGAAAUAAAUAAAGAGCAUGAUCUUGAUCUAAACAACCAACAUGCCUAAAUGCAUGGAAAAUGCCUUUUUCUAUAGGCCAAAAUUUGGAACUAUUGAUUUGAUGACUAAUUGUUGAGUGGGUGACCAACUCUUGACCUGGCGAAAAUCCUUAUCUUCUUGUUUGAACAAAACAACAUUGCUAACAUCGGAAUUGGAACCAUAUGUACUCAUGAAAGUUCUAGGAAAUUGUCUUAUCUUUCCAUGAAAAAAAAUGAGGUCAUUUGGACUUCUAGAACUCGUGAUAUGGGCUGAACACUAAACAGUGUUUGGGCUGUAGGACAGAUCGGACUUCUCUGUUGUUGCUAUAAUUUGGACUUGAAAACGACCUUUUUAAAUCUUAGACUCCUAUGAAAGUUGUAGGCUUAUGUCUUACCUUUCCAUCCAUAUAAAGCAGAUCUAAAUCCGAGAUCUACAGCUUCAGAGAUGACCUAAUUACCAAACAGUGUUCCAGUUUAGACUGCACCAACAUCUCUUUUCUAAGUUUGGCCCUCUCUUUGUCUUUUCAAUUUCAGUAUUUAAACUCAUCAAUAAAUCCUCUCAUUUAUAUGAUAGGUCUGCAUUUAAGAUAAACAUUUACCAUAAAUUAAAAGUAUCUUAUAUUAUUAGAUAUGUUAUUAUAAAACAUGCUUUAAUUAAGAAGUUAUUGAUACUUCAUGUGCAAAAUGAUGAUAUAAAACCUUGAUAAAAAUGCACUUUUAAGUACUAAUCAAACUAGGUUCUCCUUCCUACAAAUAACUUGUAGCCUCUUGUCUUAGCUUUUCAACAACACUAAUCUCGCUUGAAAUAUAGUUCUAUAACUCUAGUUAUGGUUAAAAAUCUGAGAAGAGGUUGGAUAACAACAGUUUAAUUUCUAGACAGUAACGGUUGGACAAUAAUAGUCCAAUGUCUAGACAGUAACAAUUCGAGAUUUAAACAAUAAUAGUUCAAAUAUAAAGAAAGGAAUGAUAACUAUGAUUGGUCAAAAAAUGACAAUAUUAAUGGAUGUAAUGAGAAAAACAUAAAAUAUAAAGAAAGAAAUGAUUGAAAGAAAGAUAUGUUAGCUGUUGAUAUGAUUAUUAUAAAACAUAUCCUCGAAUGAGAAAAAUUUACGAGAUGAGCUUGUGAUUGCAAGAGGGACUAUCGAUGUGAUGCAACAGCAACAACAGGGGAGCACGAGUAGAGCUUCUACUGUAGGUAGGUGAUCCUCACCUAAGCUUUUUAGUUAAAUUCAAGAAUUUAAUAUGUUAAUAAUGUGAGAUGUGAAUUUGCAAUGUUGGAUAUUAUAUAAAAGGAUGGGAGUUAGUGUAAUGAUGUUAUUUCGGAUAGUAUUCUGAAUGUAUGUGUGUGUUCAAGGUGAACUACCCUUGUGUGCAUUGCCAAGUGAUAGGAGUACCACUAACAAAGAAAAUACGAGAAGUGUAAUAUGUGUUUCGACUAGCAUACAUUUUGUGUAUGUUAAGAUCUUGGGUAAGGGGAUCAACAUGUAUUGACUAGCAUACGUUUAGAAUGUGUUAGGAUUUCAGGUAAGGGGAUCAACAUGUAUUGGCUAGCAUACAUUUAGUGUGUGUUAGGAUCCCGGGUAAGGGUAUCACCAUAUAUUGGCUAACAUACAUUUAGUGUUUGUAGGAUCCCAAGUAAGGGGAUCACCUUGCAUCGACUCUUAUUGAGUGAUGAUGAUACUAGUGAAAUUGGUAUCAACAAUGUGUUAAGUGGAAAUGAUCAUGGUUAAUCUUAUGAAAUCUUGAAUUGAAGUUGAUAAUGGAAGAGGAAACGAUUUUUAGUAAUUGAAGGAGAAAGAGUUUCUAAUAUAAACCAGAAGGGAGAAGUGAAUAAAAUAUAAAUAUAUGUUUGUCUUUUAAAAUUGUUGGAUAUUUAUGUUGCUAUAUUAUUGUGAUUUUCAUGUUUUAAUAAUAUGUAUUUUGUUCCAAAACGAUUCGGUCGUGAUUAAGUUAUGAGAUGUAAGAUAUUAGAAAUAUAAACAGAGUAUAUGUCGAUAACUUUGGACCUUCCGGUAUAGGGGAGACUUUGUCAAAAUUUUGAUGGAAAUUUCGGUAGACUUUUAUAUGAGAACUGAAAAAAAUAAAUUACUCGUAUUUUUUUACGUAGCAAAUCAUAGGAAAGUAACUAUAAAUACAUAUGAAAGUGUGGGGCAUUACAUGCAUAUCUGUUUUCCAUUUUUUUAAUUUGUUUUUGUAUUUUGUAUGUUUAUGUGAGGUCCUAAAAUAAAUAACAACACAGGCUAUGCUCAAACUCAAUACAGAUGUAGAAAAAAAUAGAGUGCAACAAAAUAUAAUAAAUUGAGAAAGCAAGAUAUCCUUGCAAUAUUUAAAAACCUCUUAAGAUAAUGUAGGAAAGAGAGGAAUCAACAACAUAGCACAUGAAACACACAAAAAUAUAAGAAGAUAGAAAGCCAUAUAGCUUAGAUUUGUCAGACCAAACACAUGGAAGAUCAAAUCCUUUCCUAUUUUUUUGCGUAACACUGACAACUUUAACUAUUUCUCAAGAACCAGAAUCAAGUUCUAAAAAACUCAGAAACAAAACGAUCCAAGUGAAAAAAAAUAACAAAGAAAACUAAAAUUAUAUAUAUAUGUGUGUGUGUGUGUCAUCAAUGGUGUUCAUAUUGAUGGGUUAGAAAUUAAGUGUAAAUAGAACAUAGAAAAUUCCCAACAAAAUUAAAUUAUUGAUUUAGAUUAUGUUGAUCUUUUUAAUUAUAAGUUUAUUAUCAUCACAAAGAUAAAAUUAUUCAAGGGUUAUAUAGAUAAAACAUAUAUUAAUAAAGAACUAAAGUUAAUAUCUAGUAUUAUUAUAUACCUUAAGGGAAGAAAGGAAAUGAGUUUUAGAGCUUUGAUUGAGGUCAAAACAAGAACAAUUUGAACUUGAAGACAAGUUACUUCCAACAUGAGGAGACUGAUGUAGGAGAUAUUUAUCCAAUGCAUGACCUUAUAAUAAUGGAGAUAAUUUUGAUUCUAGAAGCCAUGAUCCCUAUGUAGGGUUUGAUUUAUGAAGUCAUCUAAAUUCAUUAAGGCCUCCAAACUAGUACUAGAAAUUACUAUUUUGAAAAUGUCAUAUUUUACAAAUUGAUUUAAAUUUUUUUUCUAUUUACUUUAGAAAUAUUUUAUUAAUUUUUAAGUUUUGUUUAUGGUGUUUUUUCUAGUACAUAAUAGUCUAGAAGAGCUUUAAUAUUUAAAUUUGUUUAGAAAAAUUAUAAUUUUUAAAAUUGUUUUUUCUAGUAUAUAAUUGUCUUUUUAUGUUGUUUUUGUAUGCGUCUGCAACAUACUACAUAUUUCUAAAACUAGAGGACGGUGUCGUUUCCAAAAAAUCUGGAUUGAUAUUUUAACAAAAACAAGCCAUUGCCUAGACUGUGAAGGUUGAAAAGAGUAAGUCAUUAAAGACCAACCAAACUUAUACGAAUGAUUCCAAAAUAACUACUUCCGUCACGCAACUUCUCUGGAGACUUGUCCGAAGGCAAAAUUUAACACUUUUCCAAAAGCCACAGCUUCCCACUCAUGGAAGCUGAAACACUGUUCCUGCUUUUUUCUCUUUUAAUGCUCCAAUUCUCAUCUUGUACAUCCCUAGACUCCUUAAAGAUCAACCAAACCAUUAAAGAAGGUGACGUUCUUAUCUCCGAAGGAAAUAAUUUCGCACUAGGAUUUUUCAGUCCAGGUAGUUCUAGCAAUAGAUAUCUUGGAAUUUGGUACCAUAAAGUACCAGAACCAACUGUGGUGUGGGUUGCAAAUAGGAACGAUCCAAUCAUUGGUUCCUCAGGAUUUCUCUUUAUAAACCAAUAUGGUAACCUCGUUAUCUAUGGUAACGAUGACCGAAAGCUUCCUGUGUGGUCUACAAAUGUUUCAGUGGAAGAAAAUGAUACUUGUGAAGCUCAACUCUUGGAUUCUGGGAAUUUUAUAUUGGUCAGGAAAAGAAGCAGAAAAACAGUAUGGCAAAGCUUCGAUUAUCCUACGAACAUCCUGCUUCCUGGAAUGAAACUGGGGCUGGAUCGAAAAUUAGGAAUUGAUCGGUUCCUAACAUCAUGGAGAUCCGCUGAUGACCCUGGGAUUGGAUACUUUUCUCUUAUGAUCAACCCAAAUGGCUCCCCGCAAAUCUUUAUCUAUAAUGGUACAAAGCCAAUUAGUAGAUCUCCUCCUUGGCCAUGGAGAAGGCAAGUGAUCUUACACAAAAGCAGUUUUGUAAAUGAUCCAGAUGAAAUAUACUGGGUCUACACAGUUCCUGAUGAUUCUUUUCUGCUAAGAUUAAUAGUGGAUCAUCCAGGACAUGUAAGGGCUUUAACAUGGCGAGAAAGUGAUGGUCAGUGGAAGGAAUACUGGAAGUACCCUCAGUUUCAGUGCGACUAUUAUAGACAUUGUGGUGCUUUUAGUACGUGUGAACUUGCCAAUCUACAUGAAUUUGGAUGUGCCUGUUUACCUGGGUUCGAGCCCAAGUACCCAUUGGAAUGGUCUGCGAGAGAUGGGUCCGCUGGUUGUGUCCGGAAGCGGCUACAUACGUCUUCGGUGUGCCAGCAUGGUGAAGGGUUUGUGAAGGUGGAAAAUGUAGUUCUUCCGGAAAGUUCAGCUGCAGUUUGGAUGGAUAUGAGCCAGAGACUUGCAGACUGCGAACUGCAAUGCAAGAGCAAUUGCUCAUGCUCUGCAUAUGCAAUCAUUGCAAUUGCCGGAAAAAAAUAUGGUUGUUUGACAUGGUACAAGAAAUUAUUAGACAUUAAAUAUGAUAGGAGUUACGGUUAUGAUCUGUAUGUUCGUGUUGAAGCAUAUGAAUUAGGUACCCUUUUUCUGCUCAGUAGCUACUUCAUAGGAUUUUCAUUACAAAUAUUGAUUUAUAAGCGCUUUCCUAUGCUCUUGACUGUAGUUAAUAAGCUCUUCACUGCAGGAAAGAAACCAUAGAUAUUCGUCCGUUUUAGGUGCCAAAAGGGCUGCCCUUCGUCAUAGGGAUUGUCAUAUUUCCAUUGGAAAAUGGGGUGGUUUUUCCUAUAGAGUUAAUCUUUAUUCUUUUCACUCUCAUGCAGCUGACACUACAAGGAAGUCAAAUGAUUCUCGUGAAAAACCGAUGCUGGCCGUUUUAGCACCAUCAAUUGCAUUACUGUGGUUUCUCAUUAGCCUGUUUGCUUAUUUGUGGCUCAAGAAGAGAGCAAAAAAAGUUUUAACUUCUACUGAAUUGGAAUAUUUCAAGCUCAGCACCAUAACGGCGGCCACUAACAACUUCUCUCCAGCUAACAAACUCGGGCAAGGUGGUUUUGGCUCUGUUUAUAAGGUUGAGUUUCUUGCAUUUAGCUAAAAACUAAAUGGCUUCUCAAAACUACAGAUCUGUUUUUCUCUAAUCUGCAUAAUUGUACAUUAGAGGCUCAAUCUUGUAACAUGAUUUUAGGGUCUGCUAGCUAAUGGAAAGGAGGUUGCAAUAAAAAGGUUAUCUAGAAGUUCAGGACAAGGAACAGAAGAAUUUAAAACUGAAGUUAUGGUAAUUGGAAUGCUUCAACACAGGAAUCUGGUGAAACUUCUAGGUUACUGCAAUGAGGAUGCAGAACAAAUGUUAAUCUAUGAAUACUUGCCAAACAAAAGCUUGGACUCGUUUCUUUUCCGUAAGUCUCUUUAUGUUUUUAUUGCCCUGAUUUACACUAGUUGUCAAAUUAUACCUGUCUUAAAAAUAAUUGUUUCAACAGAUGAAAGCAGAAGAUUGUUAUUGGAUUGGCGAAAACGCUUUGAUAUUAUUGUUGGAAUUGCUCGUGGGAUUUUAUAUCUUCACCAAGACUCCAGGUUGAGAAUCGUUCACAGGGAUUUAAAAUGCAGCAACAUUCUAUUGGAUGCAGAGAUGAACCCAAAAAUAUCAGAUUUUGGAAUGGCAAAAAUAUUUGAAGGCAACCAAACUGAAGAUAGGACAAGGAGAGUUGUAGGAACAUAGUAAGUACCUUGGCCUAAAACAAAGACCGAGUGACAAAGUACUAUCAUUGAUUACCAGGAAUACUAAAACUACUAUUGUUUUUCUGAUGCAGUGGCUACAUGUCACCAGAAUAUGCUGUGUUUGGAAACUUUUCUGUAAAAUCAGAUGUUUUCAGUUUUGGGGUCAUGUUGCUAGAGAUUGUGAGUGGCAAGAAGAACAAUAGAUUUUAUCAACAGGAUCCUCCUUUGACCUUCAUUGGAUAUGUGAGUUAUAAGAUAGCCUAUUGUGCUCUUGGCUGAGUUUCAAUGUUCACAAUUUUAGAUGUUGUCUGCUCUCAUUUCUUGUAUGCUAAUGAUUUAUAUGAACAACACAGGUGUGGGAAUUAUGGAGAGAAGACAAAGCAGUGGAGAUAGUUGAUCCAUCACUGAACGAGUUGUAUCAUCCGCGUGAAGCCUUGAAAUGCAUACAAAUUGGUCUUCUGUGCGUGCAAGAAGAUGCCACGGACAGACCAUCUAUGUUGGCAGUUGUUUUUAUGUUGAUUAACGAAACAGAGAUUCCUUCUCCAAAACAACCUGCAUUCCUCUUUAGAAAAUCUGACAAUAAUCCUAUUAUAGCAUUAGACGUAGAAGAUGGACAGUGUUCUGUAAAUGAGGUGACAAUUUCGGAAAUUGGUUGUCGCUGAAGCUGUGCUGUCCGAAAAAAUUGCUAAUAUGAAGUUCCAUUAGAUUUGUAAUGAAAACAAAUAUGUACCCACUGCUACAACAGAUAAAGCUCUUCAGCACUAGACGUACCAAGGAACAAAUCUAACAGCAUCAUCAUAUGGAAUGCUAUUUGGGCGGUGUUCGUCAGCUAUUCUUUUAUGGAUAAUUACUCGAUCUACCUUAUGUUAUGAUGCUUGCUUUGUCUUACCUUUUUCUCCUCUGUUCCUGAGCCACAAAUAUGCUAAUGAUCAGCCAUGUUGAACCCACAGUUGGAAAAAAGAACGGUCACAAUUCCUUUUCAUGCGAGCCAUUUGAUCUCCUCCAUUCCUCCAUUCUUUGAGGUACCGCCAAUACCCCCACCCCAAUUUCAGCUGCAGAAAGCUCUUCAGCUACUCGUACUUCUAUUUAUAAUGCUUUUAUGAGAGCUGGAUAACUUGGGUUAGAGAAUGGAGGAAAGGUAGUCCAUAGAGGCUAUUCUAGUUGGGAGGUUUGGCCAUCCCUUCAAACAUCCUAAUAAUGUCUUAUAAAAGCUACAAUUACCACUUAACCUUUACUAGACAAAUAACCUGUAAUUGUAAUGUAAGAAAUUAUCUUAUUUGACCUUAUUAUUUUAGUUCAUCAUUAUUUUUCCUAAUAAUUGUUUGUUUUUGGUAGACUUUCAAGAUGUGCACACAUUUUAAAAGAUACUAGAUAAUUAAGAAAAGCCAUGUAAGGGAGGUUAUUGCUAAACACACGGUGGACAAGACUACCCUUCAAAGACUAAUAGAUGGGAAGGCUAUUGUAGAUGCUAAACCAAGAGACCUCAAGGUAGAUGAUGCCAUGUUGAAGGACGACAGAAGAGGUCAAGUCCUUCAACUAGGCUCAACUAGAAAAUAGGUUUUUUAAAAAGCAUUUUGAGGGCUUUUAUUCAGAAAUUUAUCUUAGAUCCCAUUGGUCAAAGUUUAGAGGGUUAUAUCCAAAUUGUAUUUCUCAAAUUAAUUCUCCCAUAGCAAUUCAUCACUCACAUUGAGUUAAACAUGUACUCCUCCUUUUUCAACUUAAUCACCUACCGAAACGACCUUUAGAUCAUACUUCAAAUAUUAUAUGGUCCUACUUGCUAAUGUGUCAGGCUGAUUGGACACUAACUAGACAUCUGUCGUGGAAUGAUGAUCUCAUGCUUACAUCAUCCUUUAGUUUGGGUCAGUUCAUAUGGAUGAGGUCGGAUUGAUGGCGGGUAUCUGGUUCAAUAGGUGAAGAAGAUUAACCAACCUCUCCAGCAACCACUUUUUACUGUUGAAAAUGACUACCAACAACCCACCGAACGGUGGCAGUCUUUUGUCUCCACCAUUCUCAGCCGUUAAAAGGUUAUCUAGAAAUUCAGGACAAGGAAUACAAGAAUUUAAAACUAAAGUCACAGUAAUUGCAAAGCUUCACCACAGGAACUUAUGUAGCUUCUAGGCUGUUGCAUUCAGGUUGGAGAACAUAUAUAUGUUAAUUUAUAGAUUUGUUUUAUUAAUAAUAAUUUUAUUUUCAUUAUAAUUUUUAAUUUAAAAAAUAAAAUAAAUAUUUAUAAUUUGAUUAUCAUGAAUAUAAAAUAUUAAAAUAAUUAUUAUAAAUUGUUGUAUUGAUUUUGUAUGAAAAGUAGUUCUAGUUCUAAGGUAUUUUUUUUAAUGGAAAAAUUGUUUUUAUUUUCACCAAAUAAACAUGUUUUUUAAUUUUUUUAAAAAAAUAAAACUCAAAAUUAAAAAAAAGAAUUUUUUAUGACUGAACAAUUUUAUGUGGAGUAUGGAUGUUUAAAAAUGUAGUAGUUGUUGCUUUACAAAGUUUUUUUUUCUUGAAAAUACAUUAAAAUAAUAUAUUUUUUUAUAACAUUAGUUUUAAUAUCAACACAUCAAAAUAAUUUAAAAACAUAAAAAUAUUAUUUUUUAAAAAAAUUAAAUUUUGCUCAAACUCCUUUUGAGAACAUAAUACUAAGUAGGGUUUACAACCAUACUAAACAGGGUGUAGUAUAAAAAGGACUAGACAAGUCUUGGUCUUGAGUUUGAAGAUUGCAAAGAAAACCAAUGAAAAAAAUGCUAGUUAAGCGAGGUGGAUCACAAAAUAACUUCUCUUGUCAGACUUUUCUGCAAGCAACAUUCCACUUGUUCAAAAGCCAAGGUCCAGUUUGCCUUAUCAUGGAAGCUGAAAAACUGUUCCUGCUUUUUUCUCUUUUAAAGCUCCAAUUCUCAUCUUGUAUGUCGCACCCAAAAAAAAAAAAUCAGCGCGCGGUAUCAAUUGGUAAUUUUUUGUCUCGUUGUUGUUGUUUGCUUGAAUUUGGUUCGUUCGAGUCGCCACCUAGUAAUUGAUUGUGGGCUACUAGGAAACCGGAUGUACUGGUCUCGUCAGAGAUUCGUGGGUAAGGGACUGGUUGUGGUUAGGGAAGGUAUUAGCACCCGUAACGCACCCUACCUGAGGUAAGUUGCUUCGCAAAUUUGAUGUGUUAAAAAAGUUUUAAUAAUUGUCUUUUCAUCGGAAAUUAGAAAUAUCACUUACAUAUAAGUUAAUAAUUCUUAACCGUGAUCCGAUCAAAAUAUUAAAUUCUUCUUUAAUAUAUUUGCAAUUUUAUCAUUAAAAAAAUAUAUACAAAUAAAUAAAACAACAUACAAACACCCACAUUCACUUUUACUAUAUUUUUCAUUUUCUUUUCUUUUCUUUUACACCCAAAAAAUAAAAACUAAAAAAAAACUCAAAAUCACAUAAAUAUUACAUUAAACAAUUUGAAAUUACAAAAAUUAACCCUAAAACAAACUAGAAAUUACAGGGAUAGCCUUCAACAGCCGGAACAGUGUUCAACAAAGUUUCUCGGCGCGGGAACAGUGUCGACGCGUGGACCUCACGCACCGCCGAGACUGGCGGCGCGUGGACUCACGCGCCGCCUCGAAAAUCAGGCAACGUGAGGGGGCUGUAAUGGCUUCCUCCUCUCUUCAAUCCCUUGCUAUCCGUCACCUGCAAAUCCAAAAAACACACAGCAAGGGCAGUCGAUUUUAAUUUAUUUAUUUUUGUCUUAGAAUCUGCUUUUAAUUUAUUUAUUUUUUGGUCUGUGGUUCCUUUCUUCUUCUCCGUUUCGGAUCGGCUUCCCUCUGGUUGCAGGUCCGAUUGAGGAGUGUUCGGUGGCGGUGUUGUGGUCGGGUCUGUGGUGGCCGUCGCUGCUGUAGCCUACGACCGCUGGUGCUGCUGCGGAGAGGAAGAUGGUUGUCGAUGUUGAGAUGGAAGAGCGAAUAGAUCGCGAUCUGUGGGCGUGCCGCUGCUGGAGGCGAUGAGCUGGGUCUGUGGCCGCUGCCGGGGACGGCGCUGCUGCUGUUGGAGGCUGAACGGAGAAGAGAUGGUGGUCAGCUCAUGGUGGCUGAGAAGGAGGUCAGUCCGAGCUGAGUCCUUGAUGGCUGCGGGUCGCUGACGGUGAAGAAGGAGGAACGGCUGAGAGGGAGCUGUCUUGGCAGGCUGGUUUGGGUCCGGUGAGGGAGAAGAAAUGGGAAGAAAAGGAAUCGGCUCCGGAAAGGUGGAGAAAAAAAUUCAAAACCGGUGGAGGGGCUGGCUGCGUUUCUUUUUUUUGGGUUGAGGGGAGAUGGGUGUGUGGAGGUUGAAGAUGGGAAACGGCGUGGGUAGAGGCUGAGGGAAGUGGUUGUUGUGAUGUCGGUGACAAAGCUGGCAGCCGAGUGAGGGAGCUGAGAAAAUUAAAACCGGGGGGGGGUUGUCUGUGAGAAGAAGAAAAAUGGCUUUUGGGGAGGGGGCCGGCGGCUGUUUGGAAAAAAAUGGGGGAGAAGAUAGGUUUAGGGUUUUUUCUUUUAUAUUUUUCUGGUGUUUCCAAAAUUAGCCCCCCCCUUUGCAAGUGUUGGAAACCAGUAUUUAUAGGCAAAAAUGUUGCCAAGUUUUCAAACUUGGUCCCUCAACUUCUUUCUUUUUUGUAAAUUUUGACUUUUUCUUAUUUUUUUUGUAUUUUUUUGAAAACGAGCAAUAUCAACGUCGACUCGAUGAGAAAAAUCAACGAUUUUAAAAAUGACGCGUGAAAAUUCGAACGCGUUCGAAAGACCCUUAAAAAUUUUAAUUCUUUUUUUUUUUAGACGACGUUGAAAAUGCUAAAAUGACGAAAAUAUAUUUAAAAACAUAUUUUUUGGAUUUUCUUUGUUUUUCUCUAUUUUUGGAUUUUUUUGAAAAUAUAUAAAAAACAUGGGUCAAAAAAUGGGUAGCAACAUUGUACAUCCCAAGACUCCUUAGAGACCAACCAAGGAAAUAUUUUCGCUCUAGGAUUUUUCAGACCAGGGAGUUCUAGCAAUAGAUAUCUUGGAAUUUGGUACCAUAAAGUAUCAGAACAAAGUGUGGUGUGGGUUGUAAGCAGGAACGAUCCAAUCAUUGGUUCCUCUGGAUUUCUCUUCAUAAACCAAUUUGGUAACCUCGUUCUCUAUCGUAAAGAUAACCAAAAGCUUCUAGUGUGGUCUACCAGUGUUUCAGUGGAAGAAAAUGAUACAUGUGAAGCUCAACUCUUGGAUUCUGGGAAUUUGAUAUUGGUCAGGAAAAGAAGCAGAAAGAUUGUUUGGCGAAGCUUCGAUUAUCCUACUAACAUCUUGCGACCUGGAAUGAAAAUGGGGCUGGAUCGAAAAUUAGGAACUAAUCGGUUCCUCACAUCAUGAAGAUCAGCUGAUGACCCUGGAAUUGGAGACAUUUCAAUUAAGAAUUAGCAAGAUAAAAAGAUAAGACAUGUUAAUAAUAAACUUUCUUGGAUAUAAACAUUGAAGUCCGUGUUGAGUUUAUAUUAUACCUAUUCUAACACCAUUAGUGAAACAUUUUCAUCUUGACAUAAUAAACUUAAUUAAACAUAAUGAAAAAGAUAAACAUAAAUAAACAACAUAAGAACAUAAGUAUAGUAAAUGAAAUAAAAAGCAUAAACAAGAGAUUAAAGAAAAUAUGACAUGAAAUAAAACUUAAACAUUAAAAAAAAUAAAAAGAAAGAAAUAAAAAGCAUGAUCUUGAUCUAAACAAUCAAGAUACCUAAAUGCAUGGAAAAUACCUCCUUUUAUAGGCCAAAAUUUGAAACAAUUGAUUUAAUGACUAAUUGUUCAGUGGGUGACCAACUCUUGACUUGGUGAAAAUCCUUAUCUUCUUGUCUGAACAAAACGACAUUGCUAAUAUCAGAAUUGAAACCAUUACCAUGAAAGUUCUAGAAAAUUGUCUUAUCUUUCCAGGAAAAAAAAUUGAGGUCAUUUGGACUACUAGAACUCGAGAUAUGGGCUGAACACUGAACAGUGUCUAGGCUAUAGGACAAAUUCAAACUUUUCUGUUGUUGUUAUAAUUUAGACUUGAAAAUGGCCUUUUUAAAUCUUAGACUACCAUGAAAGUUGUAGGCUUAUGUCUUACCUUUUCAUUCAUAAAAAGCAGACCUAAAUUUGAGAUUCACAGCUCCAGAUAUGACCCAAUUACCAAAUAGUGUUCCAGUUUGGACUACACUAACAUCUUUUUUCUAAGUUUAGCCCUCUCUUAGUCCUUUCAAUUUCAGUAUUUAAACUCAUCAAUCAAUCCUUUCAUUUAUGUGAUAGGCUUGCAUUUAAGAUAAACAUUUACCAUAAAUUAAAGGUAUCUUAUAUUAUUAGAUAUGUUAAAACAUGUUUUAGUUAAGGAAUUAUUGAUACUUCAAGUGCAAAAUGAUGAUAUAAAACCUUGAUAAAAAUACACUUUUAAGUACUAAUCACACCCCCCAACCAGAUUAUUACUAGUCCCUAGUAAUCAAAGUGUUAAAAUAGAGAAAAAUAAUUUGCAAAUUCCACAAAGCAAGGCAUUCAUCAUUCAACUUCCAUUAAUCUAUCCAGACAAAAAAACUCUCAUUAACUUCAUAUAUAUGCCUAAUACCUCUUAAACAAAAUAUUAAUAAUCCUUCCUUUUUAUGUGCUCAAUGUAUGAAAACAUAGAUAAUAGGGCUUUUAUUGAAAGAAAACAAUAUUUUGUUCUAAUGUUUAAGGUUAAUUUCCUUGGGUUGGGAUUAUUAUCUUUUUUUUUUAAUACAUAUACAUAUAACUUAAAAUACAAUGCAUCUUUAACCCAUGUAAUGAGCUUUUGGCUAAUGACUCCUAGACUAGUUGGUCUUAGGCAUUAGGUGUUAAGACACCCCUACGAGCUUAGUAACUCGGGUUGCAGAUACUGAUACGUAGAUAAUGCAAUGUUUGAUUCCCUUAAGCUUUUCUCCUCAACCCAUGUAACAAGCAUUAGGCCAAUAGCUUCCAAGUCAGUUGACUUUAUGGUAUUAGGUGUUAAAACACCCAUUUGGGCUUAUUUGCUUAGGUUAGGGAGGCUACGAAACCAAACUUAUCUACGUUUUUAUUUAUUUAUAUUUAUUAUCAUUUUUUUCUAUUUUUUUUUUUUUUGCAAAUUAUAUACUAUCCCUUUCCCUUAGUUGUUACCUUUAAUAAAAGAAUAUAAAUAAUGUCAUAAUCCAAUGUGCAACCCACAAUCAUAUGUUAAAGUGUGUGUGUGAAAAUAAAGGUUUAAAAAUACUUGUUAAAUGAGUAAUGAGCAUAAUCAAUUGAUAAUAAUACGAGAGUUUGUAAGCGUGGAUAUUUCAAGAGAAGUAUGUGAUAGACCUUGUUAUGAAUAUUGCAAAUAACCAUUGAAAAAUGUUUACUGAGAUGCGUCUCAAGAGUCAAUAAAAUUCUCCCUUACUCUACCAUCCUAGUAAUAACAGUUUUGUCAAAUGGUUUUAAUAAUAGCAAAAAUAGUUAGUAAGUUUUUUUUUAAUGUCAACUACUACCCCCAACCAAAACGAGACAUUGUUCUCAAUGUUCUAAGGUAGAAACAUGGAGUAUAAAAAACAUCACCUAAAACAACGAACGCUGACAAACCUAAAACACACUUAAACAAAUAUAAGAAAUAACAAAACAAAAUAAUGUGCUAUUAACAAAACCAAAAGACAUUAAGGUUUCACAAAUGAAGGCUCAAAUCCAAUUUAAGCUUUUUACGGCUUUCCGUAGUUGACUAAUUUGUGCGACUCAUGGAGGGAUCAAUUACAGGGAUGAAAGAUUGUAGUUGGUCAAUCAAUUGUUUAGCAGUAGCAGCAAAGAUUAUGAUUUGUCGUGCCGAAGAUGUUAGAAAUUCUUGUUCCACAGCAUGAUCUAGAAAAGACAACAACUUAUCAUAAAAACCAUUAACAUUUAACAGACAUAUGGGUUUAUGAUGAAUGUGUAGUUGGGCCUAAGAGGAAAUAUGAAAGAUCUCUUCCAAUGUACCCAAACCACUUGGUAAGGCGAUGAAGGCAUCAACGUGUUUAAACAUUGUAUUCAUUCGAUCAGAUAUUGUGGAGACCUCUAAUUCCUCUCAAAUUAUUUUUCCAAUGAUGUCCCCUUAUGCUAAAGCUUUGGGGACAACCCCCAAAACUUGACUACCUCUUAAAAAUACAGAUAUUGACACUCCUCCCCAUUAACCCAAGGUUGGCUCCCCCAUACACUAAAUGAAUCUUUCUCUCAGCUAGUACCUAAUCAAGAUGAUUUGCUGAUUCUAAAAACUUUAUUUCCUUCUCAGGACUGGAUCCACCGAAAACACAAAUAUUUUUUAUGUGAUGACUUGAGGAACUUGUCAUUUCUACACACUUCUAUAUUUGAUGAAUAUAUGGGUUAAGUAGAAAUGAAAGGAAGGAAGAGAAGAAUUUAUAGAUGAGAAAUUAAAAAUGCAAUCAUUCCACUUAUAUGUAGGCCAGUUGUAGUCUCACUCAUUCUCUCUCUCUCUCUCUCUCUCUAUUUAUUUAUUUUGAAAAAACAUGUGUAUGUACAGGUAUUUAUGAUUGUGACUCACAUCUUCUCUUGGUUUUACGUCCAUGAACGGCUUAAACACCCUCUAUGGGUCGGGGAUAGGCUUUCCAUCCAAUUUUCUUAAAAAUUGGUAAACAGGGUCUUUUUUAGUCAGAUUCUCAAGACUAUAUCUAGCAUGUUCUUUAUGGAAUUGUGGCCAUAAAUCAUGAAUUGCACGAUACACAUCUCCACUAGGGUGCGUCUCAAGAGUCAAUAGAAGAUUAUCUAAAGACCUCUUACUCAGGCCAUCCUUAAUGAAUUUGUAUUUUAUCUUCACGGUUUACAGAUACAAUUCCUAAAGAACAAAAUGUUGCAUUACAAGUCCAUCUGUCACAGACUUUCAAUCGUUUUGCAGGAUGUUUCUUUGCAAAAGUGAUUUUACCUGUUCCAAGCAUGUACGAAAUGAAAGAAUUGAAGGACUCACCUGAUAAUCAGAACUUUGCUUCAAUCAACCAACGAAUAUCUUCAGGAAUUCAAUGGUUCAUUAACAACUUCAAUCUUGCACAUCUAGCAUGGUAAAUUUUUGUAAUCGUAUUCUGAGGCAGAGCGGGAAAAUACUUUUUCAAUUUUUUAAGAGUGGUGUCCAUUUUCAAAUGAAAAUUGGAGGAGGGAUUCAAAGAAAGGGGAAAGAGCAAAGAAUUACACAAAUAUAUACACAUAUAUCAGUUAUCAUGGGAAACUGAAAGAACCGACUUAAGAGUCACAGAGUACCGUUAACCGCCAUUUGACCGGGGUGAAAGAGACCAGCAAAACAAAAAUCAUACCAAAAAGAAACAUAAAAACAAUGUGAGGAAAAAAAAAGAAUCAAUCUUUAUAUAUAGGAUCACCCAAUUCAAUAGAGUCAUGUUCAACUGAAAAAUUAUCAAAGUAAACUUUCAAACGAUAUCCAUUUACCUUGAAAACAUUGCCAUUAUUUGGAUUCUCGAUAUCACAAGCUCCAUAUGGAUACACAUAUUUCACAAUAAAAGGACCGCUCCAUCUUGAUCUUAGUUUUCCAAGAAAUAAAUGGAGUCGAGAAUUAUAAAGCAAAACUUUUUUACCAACAUCUAAUGUUUUUCUCAAGAUUCUCUUAUCAUGAAACUCUUUGAUUCUUGCUUUAUGAAUUUUUGAAUUCUCAUAUGUAUCAUUUCUUAUUUCCUCAAGCUCAUUUAUUUGUAAUUUUCGUAGCUGACUAGCAUCAUCAAGGUUUGAAUUGAAAGCUUUAAUAGCCUAAUAAGCUUUAUGUUCAAGUUCUACAGGCAAGUGACAAGGUUUUCCACAGACUAGUCUAUAAGGUGACAUACCUAAUGAUGUUUUAUAAAUAGUUCGAUAAGCCCAAAGUGCAUCAUUAAGUCUUAAAGACUAGUCUUUCCGAUUUAGGUUCACUGUUUUCUCCAAGAUCUGUUUGAUCUCGUUAUUAGCAAGUUCUACUUGUCCACUUGUCUGAGGGUGAUAAGGGGUGACAACUUUGUGUGUGAUUCCAUAUUUCUUCAUUAAAGACUCAAAUGGCUUAUUGUAGAAAUGUGUGUCACCAUCACUUAUCAUGGCUCGAGGGAUUCCAAAUCGACUUAAAAUAUUUUCUUUUAAAAACUUUAUCAUUGUUUUGUGAUCAUUGUUUCGUCUUGAAAUUGCCUCUAUCCAUUUUUAAACAUAAUCCACUGCGACUAAUAUGUACAAGAAACCAAAUGAUGGAGGAAAUGGACCCAUGAAAUCUAUACCCCAACAAUCAAAGAUUUCAAUGACAAGAAUAGGAUUUAAAGGCAUCAUGUGAUGUUUUGAAAUAAAUCCCAACUUUUGAUAAUUUUCACAAGUCUUGCAAAAUGCAUGUGAGUCCUUGAACAUGGUGGGCUAGUAAAAUCCACUUUGUAAGAUUUUUACAGUUGUCUUUCUUGAUGAGAAAUGACCCCCACAUGCCUUAGAAUGAAAAAAAUUUUAAUGACACUACUUACCUCAAUGUCAAGAAUGCAUCUUUAAAAUAUUUGAUCAGGACAAUAGUUGAAUAAAUAAGGGUCAUCCCAAUAAAAGUUCUUCACUUCGUUCAAGAACUUUCUUUUAUCUUGGGUACUCCAAUGAGCUGGCAAUUGUCCUGAAAUAAGAAAAUUAAUAAUAUUAGCAAAUCAAGGCAUUGUAGAGACAGAAAAUAAAGAUUCAUCAGGAAAGUAGUCAUCCAUUGGUGUGAUGUCAGAUCUCGAAUCGGUUGUCAAUCUUGACAAAUGAUCCGCGACAACAUUUUUUGGGCCUUUCUUGUCUUUGAUUAUGAUAUCAAAUUCUUGGAGUAACAAAAUCUAUCACACCAAUCUAACCUUAGAAUCUUUCUUAAAGAGAAGAUAUUUCAAUGCUGCAUGAUCACUAAAAACGACAACAGGUGAACCAACAAGAUAAGAUUUGAACUUUUCACAUGCAAAUACUACUGCAAGUAAUUCCUUUUAAGUGGUAGUGUAAUUUAUUUGAGCAUUAUUUAAAGUUUUACUUGCAUAGUAAAUCACAUAAGGUUUCUUAUCUUUUCUUUGUCCCAAGACAGUACCCAUGACAUAAUCACUAGCGUCACGCAUUAUUUCAAAAGGUAGUGACCAAUCAGGAGGUUGAAUGACAAGAGUAGAAGUAAGCAAGCUUUUAAGUUUAACAAAGGUUUUUUUACAUUGUUCAGUACAUUCAAAAACAUUUUUUUUGUUUGAAGGUUACACAAUGGUUUAUAUAUUAUACUAAAAUCUUUGAUGAAACUUCUAUAAAAACCAGCAUGUCCUAAGAAUGAUCUAACAUUUUUAAUAGAUUUUGGUGUUGGCAAGUUAGCAAUUAACUCAAUUUUAGAUUUGUCAACCUCAAUUCCUUUCGAUGAAACAAUGUGACAAAGUGCAAUGCCAUUUGUUACCAUAAAGUGAUAUUUUUCCCAAUUUAGUACAAGAUUCUUCUCCUCACACCUGUUCAAAACCUUUUCCAAGUUAGUUAAACAAUCAUCAAAUGAAUAAAAAAAAACAGAAAAAUCAUCCAUAAAAAUCUCAAGAAAACGUUCAACUAUAUCACUAAAUAUGCUAAGCAUGCAUCUUUAAAACAUGGCUGAUGCAUUACAUAAUCCAAAAGGCAUCCUUUGAUAUGCAAAAGUACCAAAUGAACCUGGUUAUAGUAUGUUGUAAGUUUUUUGAUUUGAAGGGUCACUUGCCCAAUAAUUGUUAUGGUUGAAAUUUAGUCUACCAAUAAUUGUUAUGGUUUAAAUUUAACCUGGUUAUAAUCCAAAAGCGCCGGAUUAUAGUCUACCAAUAAUUGUUAUGGUUGAAAUUUAGUACCUGGUUAUAGUAUGUUGUAAGUUUUUUGAUUUGAAGGGUCACUUGCCCAAAUCAAAAUUAUGAAUUAAAAAUUAUGAUGUUGAGAUGCAAGUAAUUUGGAAUAUUUUUUUUUAAUUAAAGAGUGCAAUUCUCCCUGAAUAUUUUAUGACCUUAAAAAUUGUUGUUUCUAUUGAAAUGUUACUAGGAAAUUUUAGUGUGCUUUUAAUAUUUUUUGAGUAUUUUUAAAUUUAUUAAAAAAGUAUUUUUUAUUAGUGAAAUUUAGUAGUUAAUAACUAAAAUUUAUUUUGAAGAGUGAUGAAUAACUUUUAUAAUUAAGUUUUAAACAUUUUAAUAUGCUACUAUUAAUUUCUUUUCAUGUAGAAUUUGAAUAAGUGAAAAGUAUUUCAUAAAGAACUUGAUUUGUAUAUGAAUUAAUUUAUUUACUAAAUAAAUUAUUUAAAAAAAUAGUUGCGCUUGAUAAUUUUUGACACCUUCACUUUAAUUAUACUUAUAAUAUUGUUUUAGUUGAAAUAAAAAUAUUUAUUAUCCUUUUCUAAUAGAUUGUAUCAUGUUAUUAAAUUUGAACUAUAAUAGUGAUAUGUUUUACAUCAUUAUUUUUUGUAUUUAAUUAUUAAAAAUAGAUAUUUUUAAAGUAAAAUAGGGGGUUGUAAUAACAUGGUUCUAGUAUUGGGUGAUUUUUGGUAUUUAAUUAUUAAAAAUAGAUAUUUUAUAAGAAAAAUAGGGGGUUGUAAUAACAUGGUUCUAGUAUUGGGUGAUUUUUCAUGGGAAUUAUAGGGUCAUUUAAGCAAGUGAUGUAAUUAUUAUUUUUUAUUAAAUUAGGAAUUAGAAACAAGCUCUUAUAUCGCAUUGGAUAUCAGUGAGCAUAUAAUUUAUAAUGAUUGUUAUUGUUAGGAGUGCUUGGUUGUCUCUAAGACUAAUAUUGGAUUUGUGUAACACGCAAGUAAUAUUUCAUCACUUUGGUUAAUUAUUUUAAGUUAGAAAAUAUAUAUUUAUGUACAAAAUGAGUUUUUCAAAUAAUUAUUGUUUUGUAAAUUAGGUGAAUCAUGCAUGUAAAUUAUUUUGUAAAUAAUGUUAAGUGUUUUAUAAAAAUAUGUUUAUGAUUGCAAAAGUUCUUUGAAUAUAUUUUAAGCUAUAUUUAUUUGUACUAUGAUGUCGUGAUCACACAAAUUAAUUACCAUAGCUUAAACAAAUAAGAUAAUAUAGAGCAAACAAAUGGUCGAUCCCACGAGAAAGAUCUAGUUCAAAUCUUUUUGCUAAAUGAUUCAAAGUUGGGGGGUUGAGAUUAUCUAAGCUAUGGUAGGGUAAAUAAAAUAAAGUAAUCAUACUAAGUUAAAUAAACCAAAACUUAUUAAGAGAAAAACAUUUCAAGUAAAUGUCCAACAACAUAAAUAAAAAUUGAUUAUUGAAACGAUUCGUCAAUUUAUAUUUUGAAUAUUUAUAUUUUUUUAAUAUUAAUUAGUUAACCGAUCCACAAUAUAACUAACCUAACCAUUAAACAACCAUUGCAUCCGCACUAGCAAUUUAAUUCAACGGCAGCCUUAAGAUCUAGACAGGUUGAUAAAUCUAAAUAACAUAACUGUCUGCAAUCUAUGUUCAAUUUAAUUGAAUGUUUUCCCUAAAAUUAAUAGCAUAGAUCUUUCAUAAUUAUUAAACUUAGUCACUUCACAAGUUAAAUAUCACAACUCUGAUUUUGAUAGAAAACUUAGCAAUAGAUUGGUUAGAAUAAUAACUUAGAGUCCGUUUUAAUCAAUCAAACUAAACAAUCAUAGAAAAAAGCAUAGAAAAAUAUUCAUACUCAUUAUAUAAACUGAAAAGAAAAGAUAAAAUAGAUCUUAUAGUUUUUUUAAAUGUGAAGGCUUCUAUAUCCUUUCAACCAAGAAAAAUAACUUAGUCUUGUAUGACUAUACAAAAUCUAAGGAAAAGAAAGGAUGAAAACAUAAUUUUGAGUGUAGGAAAAAAGAUGAGAGUUUCUUUCUUUUUUUUAGCCGCCUCUCUCUCUCUCUCUCUCUUUUUAUAUGAUAGGAAACCAUAAUCCUCACAUUCCUAGUAGUCCGUUUGUAUCCUAAAAUAAUAAAAGUCAUUUCAAAUGUAGAUAAUCUUUAUUUAAGUAAUACAAGAACUACUUUCUUAUAAAGAAGGAAAAACAGUCUUGCAUAAAAUCUUCAAGACUUUGACUUUGGAAUUCGUGAAGUUAAUUUGCUCAAAUAAAAACCUUUUUCAUAUGAACAAAUAAUUGUCAUGUUGGUUUGGAUGUUUAAGACUUAUUUCUUCACAAAACUUGUUUGUUAAUAGAAUUUAUAGGUUGUCUUAGAAAUAUCAUAUCUCUCAUAUGAGCCUUUUCUUUUUUCUGGUGAAAUUUGGUAGGUUGAUAGGUCUUUAAGUCAGAAAAAAAAAAUGAGAUUACAUCAAAUAGACUUCUCUAACUCAAGAUAUUCAAGUCGGAAUAAUCUAAGGUUAAAACUAGCAGAAUGCGAGACUUGUUUUUGAAGGUUGUGAUUUCAAAACUCUUUUUUUCUCUUGCCAUAUAUGAUAAAAAGGUAUGGAUGUUACUUUCUAAUUACAUAGAAUUCACUUCAUUUUUACCAAUACAGCUCAAGUUCUGUUUAAAAUAUCGAUCAAAUGCCAAAUAUAUCAAUAUUCGACACUGGCUGGAACAUAGUCUGAAUUUUAUAAGCAAAUUACUCAUUUUUAAAUCUUAUAUCCAAAAGUACCUUCAAAACAUAAAACAAACAACAUCAAGAUAUUUUAUAUAUAAAAUAUGGACAAAAUACUAUAAUAUUUUGACAUGUAGUAUAAAACAUGGGCAAAAUAUUAUAAUAUUUCAAACAUGGGUAAAAUUAUCAAAUAAUAUAGUAGUAUUAAUUUAUAAGUUUUGACAUAUUUGAUCUGCAAAUGAUUUGUUAUUAGUAUGUGCUCACCUCUUAUUUAAUUUUGGAAGAGGCUUAGAAUGUCAUCUAGUUGUUUUAGAAGUUUAUAGUUAAUUUCUAGGCUUUAAUAUUUCAAUAAUUAAAUCAAUUUAUUAUCUUUGAUCACUACAUUUGUUUUUAUUUGACAUUAAAGUUAGAUUUAUAUUAGACUUAAUUAAUUUAUGAUUCAAUGUAUUUUCUUUAAAUUGAAUAUUAUUUUAAACAUAGUUUUUAUUUUUGUAGUUCAAAUUUCGUUAAUGCACAUUGAAUAAUUUCAUGAGUUUUGGUUCAAGGUGUGAUAUUAAGUCUCUCUAUAUUUAUUAUGGGAAAAAUUUCUACAUAACUAAAUUUGGUACAGACUAGAAUUCUUCGAUCAAACCGUGUCAAUCAACAUAAAACCAAUUGGUUGCUAUGGUGUUAGGUUUAAAUAAAAUUAAAAAACUAGUAUAGGCGAGGUUUCUUUUUUUUUUUAUAAGAAAUAGCACCACUGGAAAGGAAAUGCUGAUGUUUUUGAAAAACGAUUGAUCCCAGUAAUGUUUUCUUUCAAGCUAUGUCAUUGAUGUAGUAGACUAUUUUUUUUUUUAGAAUACAACUUUAUUUUAAAGGGUAUACCUUUUAAUUUAAUUAUUGAAUUAGGUUAAAAUUUUGUGCUUUAUUUAUUAAUUAUAAGGUUAAAAUUUUGUAUCAAUCCAAAUGUGGAAAGGCUUUCAAAUAAAUCUAAGAUAUUAUUGUUUGGGAUUUGCAAUAUUUACUUAGUUGAUUUUUUUAAAAGAUUAUCCUUAGUUUUAAACUCUUUUAUUAUAUUUUUCAGUUUUGUUUAAGAUGUUUUUUCUAGUAUAAAUAGGAUUUUUAUCUUGUAUUUUAGGAGAUUACUUGAAAAAAAAUAUUGAAUAAUAAAAUUAUAAAUUAAAGUUUUAUAUACUAUUGAUGCAAAUGAAAGUAACAUAAGAAAAUACAAAAUAAUGCUAAAACAAAUCACAAAGAAACCCUAAUUUAUAAUUUAUAAUUUAUAAUUUAUAAUUUAUAAUUUUAUAAUUGAAUAUUUUUUUCAAAUAAUCUAUCACUUUAAGAGGUUUGCAAUUCCUUGAAUAAACCUAAAAUUUACCUAAACUAACUAUAAAAUCACAAAAUAAAGGGAAAAUAAUAAAAGUAAUAAGAAAACUAGGAAAAACAUCUUUAAUAAAGAUAAAAAAAAUAAAAAAAAUGAAUCUAAAUACAAAAAAAAAUCAUAAAUCAACUAAAAAAUAUAAAAAAUCCUAAAUAGUAAUUUUUUGGCCCCUUUUGAACUAUGAUUGGUAUGAACUUUUUAACCUAAAAUCUUUUACCAAAGGUAUAGCAUGAUUUUUUUAAUUAUAUAUAUAUAACUCAAGGAAAGCCCAAAAGUCUUCAUAUCCAAAAUUUGAGCAUGUCUGGACCAUGGCCCAAGAAAAUGGAAAACUUUCUUUCCAGUCUUUCCAGUUUUUAAAGCAUUUUAUAUAUAUAAAAAAUUAAAAAAUGCAUUGAAAAGACCAAUUAUCCGAUCCCACAAUUUCAAUGUGAAUUUUCUCCCUUUUACCCGUUUUUCCAUUUUCGCUUACAACAUGUUUGAAAUCAAAUAUCAUAAUGUUCUAAAAAAUAUAUAUCAAACAUCAACUACUAAACUGGAAGAAUUACAAUAGAUAUGUGUUGAAUUAUUAUGGAUUAUAGUACUGAAUUUAUUAUUUUGCCCUUCUCAAUCUAAAAACUUUACCUAUCUCUUAGGGGUAAUGUGGUCUUUUACGAAUGAUUCCAAAAUAACUACUUCCGUCACGCAACUUCUCUGGAGACUUGUCUGAAGGCCAUAUCAAUUCUCCACAAAGCAAAAGUUAACACUUUUCCAAACGCCAAGAUCCCGUUUACCCCAUCAUGGAAGCUGAAAAACUGCUCCUGCUUUUUUCUCUUUUAAAGCUCCUUUUCUCAUCUUGUACAUCCCUAGACUCCUUAAAGACGAACCAAACCAUUAAAGAAGGCGACGUUCUUAUCUCUGAAGGAAAUAAUUUUGCACUGGGAUUUUUCAGUCCAGGUAGUUCUAGCAAUAGAUAUCUUGGAAUUUGGUACCAUAAAGUACCAGAACAAACUGUGGUGUGGGUUGCCAACAGGAACGAUCCAAUCAUUGGUUCCUCUGGAUUUCUCUUUAUAAACCAAUAUGGAAACCUCGUUCUCUAUGGUAACGUUGACCAAAAGCUUCUAGUGUGGUCUGCCAAUGUUUCAGUGGAAGAAAAUGAUAAUUGUGAAGCUCAACUCUUGGAUUCUGGGAAUUUUAUAUUGAUCAGGAAAAGAAGCAGAAAGAUUGUAUGGCAAAGCUUCGAUUAUCCUACGAACAUCCUGCUUCCUGGAAUGAAACUGGGGCUGGAUCGAAAAUUAGGAAUUGAUCGGUUCCUAACAUCAUGGAGAUCAGCUGAUGACCCUGGGAUUGGAGACUUUUCAGUUCGGAUCAACCCUAAUGGCUCACCGCAAAUCUUUGUCUAUAAUGGUACAAAGCCAAUUGAUAGAUCUCCUCCUUGGCCAUGGAGAAGUCAGAUGGGCUUAUACAAAAGCACUUUUCUAAAUGAUCCAGAUGAAAUAUACUUGGUCUACACAGUUCCUGAUGAUUCUUACCUGCUAAGAAUAAUAGUGGAUCAUCCAGGACAUGUAAAGGCUCUAACAUGGCGAGAAAAUGAUGGUCAGUGGAAGGAAUACUGGAAGUCCCCUCAGUUUCAGUGCGACUAUUAUAGACAUUGUGGUGCUUUUAGUACGUGUGAACUUGCCAAUCUAAAUGAAUUUGGAUGUGCCUGUUUACCUGGGUUCGAGCCCAAGUACCCCUUGGAAUGGUCUACGAGAGAUGGGUCCGGUGGUUGUGUCAGGAAGCGGCUACAUACGUCUUCGGUGUGCCAGCAUGGAGAAGGGUUUGUGAAGGUGGAAAAUGUAGUUCUUCCAGAAAGUUCAGCUGCAGUUUGGGUGGAUAUGAGCAAGAGUCUUGCAGACUGCGAAGUGCAAUGCAAGAGGAAUUGUUCAUGCUCUGCAUACGCAGUCAUUGUGAUUCCCGGAGAAAAUUAUGGUUGUUUGACAUGGUACAAGGAAUUAGAAGACAUUAAUUAUGCUAGGAGUGAAAGUCAUCAUCUGUAUGUUCGUGUUGAUGCAUAUGAAUUAGGUACCCUUUUUCUGCUCAGUAACUACUUCAUAGGAUUGUCAUUACAAAUAUUGAUAUGAAUUAGGUACGUUUUAGGUGCCAAAAGGGCUUCCCUUUGCCAUAAGUAUUGUCAUAUUUCCAAUCUUUAUUCUUUUCACUCUCGUGCAGCUGAAACUACAAGGAAGUCAAUUGAUUCUCGUGAAAAACCGAUGCUGGCCGUUUUAGUACCAUCAAUUGCAUUAUCGUGGUUUCUCGUUAGCCUGUUUGCUUAUUUGUGGUUCAAGAAGAGAGCAAAAAAAGUUACUGAACUGCAGGUAAACAGCACUUCUACUGAAUUGGAAUAUUUCAAGCUCAGCACCGUAACGGCGGCCACUAACAAUUUCUCUCCAGCUAACAAACUCGGGCAAGGUGGUUUUGGCUCUGUUUAUAAGGUUGAGUUUCUUGCAUUUAGCUAAAAACUAAAUGGCAUCUCAACACUACAGAUUUUUUUCUCUCUAAUUUGCAUAAUUGUAGUCCAGUGGCUUAAUCUUGUAACAUGAUUUUAGGGUCUGCUAGCUAAUGGAAAGGAGGUUGCAAUAAAAAGGUUAUCUAGAAGUUCAGGGCAAGGAACAGAAGAAUUUAAAAAUGAAGUUACGGUAAUUGCAAUGCUUCAACACAGGAAUCUGGUGAAACUUCUAGGUUACUGCACUCAGGACGGAGAACAAAUCUUAAUCUAUGAAUACUUGCCAAACAAAAGCUUGGACUCGUUUCUCUUCGGUAAGUCUCUUUACGUAUUUAUUGCCCUGAUUUACACUAGUUGUCAAAUUAUACCUGUCUUAAAAGUAAAUUGUUUCGACAGAUGAAAGCAGAAGAUUGUUAUUGGAUUGGCGAAAACGCUUUGAUAUUAUUGUUGGAAUGGCUCGUGGGAUUUUAUAUCUUCACCAAGACUCCAGGUUGAGAAUCAUUCACAGGGAUUUAAAAUGCAGCAACAUUCUAUUGGAUGCAGAGAUGAACCCAAAAAUAUCAGAUUUCGGAAUGGCAAAAAUAUUUGAAGGCAACCAAACAGAAGAUAGGACAAGGAGAGUCGUAGGAACAUUGUAAGUGCCUUUGCCUAAAACAUAGACCGAGUGACAAAGUACUAUCAUUGAUUACCAGGAAUACUAAAACUUCAGAUUCUUUUUUUUCUGAUGCAGUGGCUAUAUGUCACCAGAAUAUGCUGUGUUUGGAAACUUUUCUGUAAAAUCAGAUGUUUUCAGUUUUGGGGUCAUGUUGCUAGAGAUUGUGAGUGGCAAGAAUAACAACAGAUUUUAUCAACAGAAUCCUCCGUUGACCUUGAUUGGAUAUGUGAGUUAUAAGAAAGCCAUGUGUGCUCUUGGCUGAAUUUCAAUGUUCACAAUUUUAGAUGUUGUCUGCUCUUAUUUCUUGUAUGUUAAUGAUUUAUAUGAACAACACAGGUGUGGGAAUUAUGGAGAGAAGAAAAAGCAUUGGAGAUAGUUGAUUCAUCACUGACGGAGUUGUAUGAUCCGCAUGAAGCCUUGAAAUGCAUACACAUCGGUCUACUGUGCGUGCAAGAAGAUGCCCCGGACAGACCAUCUAUGUUGGCAGUUGUUUUUAUGUUGAUUAGUGAAACAGAGAUUCCUUCUCCAAAACAACCUGCAUUCCUCUUUGGAAAAUCUGACAAGAAUCCUGAUAUAGCAUUAGACGUAGAAGAUGGACAGUGUUCUCAAAAUGAGGUGACAAUUACUGAAAUUGCCUGUCGCUGAAGCUGUACUGUCUGAAUAAUUGCUAAUAUGAAGUUCCACUAGAUUGUAAUGAAAACAAAUCAAGCUCUUCAGCAAGUGUGAAAACUCCCAACUGAUCCAUUGUUCCCUUGGAGAGAGAGAAUUGUGGGAAAUAAGUCAAUAUUUUGAUUCAAUAAUUUGUGUUUUGAAAGUAAAAAAUAAUUGGAAACUAGAAUUUAAAAAUAAAUAAAUUAUAUUUAUAAGAAUAUGGAUGCCAAUGCAAGUGCUAAAGUACUCUCAAAGCAAGCUAAGUUUAUAUAAAGAAUUUGAUUUUAUCAAUUUUGUCAUGUGAUAUGUGUAAAUGAAAUUCAUUGCCAUUUUCAAAUUGACCUUGGCUCAAUUUUCUUCAUUUUAAGUGUGAAAAAAAUAGUAAUAAAAAAUAAAAAAUUAGAUUUUCUAUUUUUUUUAAUAAUUAAGGGUAAUAGAUAAAUUAGUAAUUACAUAAUAAUUUAAAAGAUAAAAAUAAAAUAAAAUGCUAUAACAACUUAUACUCUAUCUUAUCAGACGAAUAAAACCUACCACAAUAGAGAGACGGAUAGGAAGCUCAAGGAGGAGAUUUGAUUUAUGGUGGAGUCUUUAUUUAUUUUUUUCACCAAUUUAAGGUAUGUGUUUUCUAUCCUUAUAUUUUAAUUGAGUUUUUUCAUGCAUUUUAGAGUUAUUGAGUAAGGUUUAGGAAUUAAGUUUUUUAUGAUAUUUGGUUUUUAAUCACUUUUAAGAACUGGGUGUCAUUACAAGUGAUUUUACAUGUUAUAGCAUAGCAUGCUGUGAGUUCUUUAAUUUGAUAAUUUAUUUGUCCAAAUUAAAAUUGUGGAUUAAAAAUCAUGAUAGUUGUACGUAAGUUGAAUUUGUAAUUUGUAGGUUUAUAAAUACUUAAUUGUUUUAAACACUCUUGUUUAGUUAAAGAGUGCAAUUCUCCGUUAACAUUUUGUGAACUUAAAGUUUGUUGUUUCUAUUUAAUAGGUUACUAAGAAAUUUUAGUGUGCUUUUAAUAUUUUUUUUGGGUAUUUUUAAAUUUAUGAAAAAAAAAUAUUUUUUUAUUAGUGAAAUUUAGUAGUUAAUAACUAAAUUUUAUUUUUAAGAGUGAUGAAUAAUUUUUAUAAUUAAGUUUUAAACAUUUUAAUAUACUACUAUUAAUUUCUUUUCAUGUAAAAUUUGAAUAAGUGAAAAGUAUUUCAUAGAGAACUUGAUUUGGAUAUGAAUUAAUUUAUUUACUAAAUAAAUUGUUUAAAAAAAUAGUUGCACUUAAUAAUUUGUGAAACCUCCACUUUAAUUAUACUUAUAAUAUUGUUUUAGUUGAAAUAAAAAUAUUUAUUAUCCUUUUCUAAAGAUUUUAUAAUGUUAUUAAAUUUGAACUAUAAUAGUUAUAUGUUUUACACAAUUAUUUUUGGUAUUUGAUUAUUAAAAAUAGAUAUUUUUAAAGUAAAAUAGAGUGUUGUUAAAUACAGUUCUAGUAUUGGGUGAUUUUUUAUGAGAAGUUUAGGGUCAUUUAAGCAAGUGAUAUAUUUAAUUUCUUAUUACAUUAAAAAUUAAAAACAAGCUCAUAUAUUAUAUAUUACAUUGGAUAUCAGUGAUUAUUAUUGUUAGGUUGUCUCUUUGACUUUGAAUUCAAUUGGUUGCUAUUGUGUUAGGUUGAAAUAAAUUUUUGGUUCAUAUCCUUUUAUUUUUACUAUAUCCUUGUGUUUUCUUUUUUUUCUAAUUUUUUUAAACUUAAUAACUUUAAAUAAAAUUAAAAAACUAGCACAAGUGGAUAUUAUUAUUAUUUAAGAAAUAGGAUCGCUGGAAAGAAAAUGUUGAUGUUUUUGAAAAACCACUGGUACCAGUAGUGUUUUCUUUCAAGUUAUGUUAUUGAUGUAGUAGAUUAUUUUAUUUUUUUAUUUUUAAAAUACAACUUUAUUUUAAUGGUAUAUCUUUUUAUUCAAGGAUUAGAUUAAAAUUUUGUCAAAAGAUUUCAAAGACUAUAUUUACUAUAAGGUUAAAAUUUUAUAUCAAUCAAAAUGUAUAAAUCAAAAUUUUUAUCUUGUAUUUUAAAAGAUUACUUGAAAAGAAAUAUCCAAUAAUAAAAUUAUGAAUUGAAAUUUUAUAUACUACUGAUGUAAAUGGAAGCAAUAUAAGAAAGAUACAAGCUAAUACAAAAUAAUGCUAAAACAAAAUCACAUAAAAACCCUAAUUUAUAAUUUUAUAACUGAAAUUUUUUUUUUCAAAUAAUUCAUUAGUCUAAGAGGUUUGCAAUUCCUUCAAAAAACCUAAAAACUUACCCAAACUAACAAUAAAACCUGAAAAUAAAGGAAAAACAACAAAAAUAAUAAGAAAACUAGGAAAACAUCUUAAAUAAAGCUGGAAAAAUAAAUAAAAAAUCAAUCUAAAUAGAAAAAAAAAAUCAAUUAUAACUUUUUACCCUAAAGAAAACAAAGUCUCUGAAAUCUUUAACCAAAGUUAUAGCUUCAUCCAACUAUAAAAUUGAAAGUUAUAUUCAUUAAUAUAAAGUUAUAUAUUAGAAGAAAACAAAUCUUUUUCAUUAAUCUCAUUUGGUUAAAAAAAGAAUUUGUUAUCGAGUUCAAAUUGCUCUUGAUCCUAUGCAUGUCAAAUUAAAAUUCUUCAAUCCUUUUUUUUUUUUGGUUUCAAAUAUAUAACAAUUUUAGAUAUUAAUUUUAUUUCUUUCAUUUUAAAAUUUAUAUAAAAAAAACAAUAAUUGAUAAAUUAUUUUCUACUUUGAUUUCUAGAAUAAUAAAAGAAAUCUCUGAUUUUUUUUUAAAACUUUAUAUAUAUAUAUAUAUAUAACUCAUAUCCAAAAUUUGACCAUGUGUGGACCAUGGCCAGGAAAGUGCAAAACUCUCUUUCCAGUCUGUUAAGCAUUAUAUAUAUAUAUAUAUAUAUAUAUAUAUAUAUAUAUAUAUAUAUAUAUAUAUAUAAAUUAAAAAAUGCAUUGAAAAGACCAAUUAUCAGAUCGCACAAUUUCAAUGCCAAUUUUCUCCCUUUUACCCGUUUGUCCAUUUUCACUGACAACAUGCUUGAAAUCAAAUAUCAUAAUGUUCUAAAAAUUAUAUAUUAUACAAGAUACUUAGCCGCCGGUUAAAUAAUUACUGCAAAUACAUCAGCUCCUGAUUUCCAUGUAGAAUUAACAAAAACCUAAACCCCAUGGAAACAUUACUAUAGAUAUGUCUUGAAUUAUCAUGGAUUAUAGUAGUGAAUUUGUUAUAACCCAAUUUUUGAUCUUUUUAUUUUAAUUAUUUUGCUUACUAAAAAAUGAUGAAAAAAAUAAUUAAAAAAACAAGUAAAAAUAAAAUAAAUGAAGAAUGAAUUAAAAUUUGGGUUAAGGGCAACAUGAUUGGAAGUUUAAAGAUUUAAUUAAAUUUUUGACUUGUUUAAUUAAUCAAGUCAAGGGUUUAAUUGGAUAAUUGAUAAAUUUUAAGACUUAAUUAAGCUUGGAAUUAAUUUAAUUAAUCAAGUCAAGGGUUUAAUUGAAGAAUAGAUAAGUUUUGAGACUUAAUUAAGCUUGAAAUUAAUUUAAUUCAUCCAAUCAAGGGUUUAAUUGGAGAAUUGAUAAGUUUUAGAAUUAAUUGGACUUGGAUUUAAUUAAAUUAAUGAAAUCAGGGACUUAAUUGAAGAAACAACAAAGUUUAAGGUUAAUUGGGGGCACAAUUGCAACAGAUUAAAGUUAAAGGACUAACUUGUAAAAGGAAUCAAAAUGCAAGGGCAAUACAGUUUAAACCAGGAGCUUAAUUAUAAAAGUUUCAGAACUUCAAGGGCCAAAACACAAAUGGCCACCUCAUAUACCAAAACAUCGUUGUUUGAAAGAACACUGUUCAUCUUCUUCUUCUUUAAUCAGAGACCGUUUCCAGCAGUAAUGGGCAGUAAUCAUCCGCUCACCUCAGUUAUGGACAUUUUAAUGUUGUCAUCCCUCUACAUGCCGUCCGUUACCACCGACCAGACUCUAUAAAACAGAGGAACAACGAAGAAAUUGGGGCGAAGAAAAACCCAAGAGAGAGAGGAGGAGAUAGAGGACGGACGAUCAGAAAAACUAGAGGAGAAAACACGAAAAAAACCAUUAGAUAGAGAGGAAAGCCCAGGAAAUAAAUACACAGGAAAGAACCAGCGUUUCAUCAUCGUCUUCGUCCCUUCCAUCUCAAUAACUGGGGCGACGAGCAAAGUUAAAAAGCAAGGGAAGAAGUUCAAAACAGAAAGAUAGGGGAAGCAAAAGGAAAACGCAAGCAGGAGACACAGAGACCAACAUUAACAUCCCCAUCGUCUUCAUCGCCUCCAGCAACGUCUGCAGAUCAGGUAAGUUUCUGUUUCGGUGCCCUGUAGUGCUACUACUCCUAGAAAACUACAAGCAAGAAAAUCAUUAGAUGAAGCAAGCAGCAGUGGCUAUCCCAGCGGCAUUGGUCAUAGAAGCCCUGAAACUACUCGGAAAGUGAAAAGCUUUAAUAAAAGCACCCAUCGAAUGCCGAUGCUUGGCUCUGAUAACAGUACUUUGGAUAGAACUCCUAGUAGGGAGAAAUCUGACAAGAAAGCAACUCAUAUUGUGGAAAUUGUGGACAUAAAAUGUGGUAACCCAGAUAGAGCAUGGGCUAACCCUAUAACAAAUAAACUGAAGAAUCUCGGUUUCUCAAAGCUAUCUGAGAGCAUUGACUAAGCUUGCAACUUCUUGACAUCAGAUUUCAGGUUUCUAUAACUGAAUCUUGAAAUCGCAUUUGGCCGACUGCUAUCAGACACUUCCACCAUAGAACAAAUUCUCGGUAGACGCCUGCUGCCUCCUUUCAUUUUCUUUUUCGGGGUUGUUAUUGCAGAUCCAAGAGUGGUUUUGGUUUUCGGGGUUGUUAUUGCAGAUCCAAGAGUGGCUUCUUUGAGCUUUCUCGGCAGCUUAUUUCAAGCUGGCUGAAGUACUUGAUUUCUUGCAUUACGAGGGACCCAACAGUGCCUAUUUGUACUGGGUUUUGUGCAGCCAUGUCUUCGGAGACUCUUGUGGGAAUGAUGCUGGGUUUAUGCAUGUUGUGUUUGUUCAGUUGAAGGAGGCUUGCAGAUGAAGAGCGUUGGUUGAUGGUCUCUGUCUUGGCGGGCAAAUUGCUUUGAGACCGUGCCAUCUAGUGAUUGCCUUUGUACGCGGUGUUAUCACUUGAAUGAUUCUUUAUCUGAAGUGAACAGCUUUACAUUUUAUAGAUUAGAUGGUGACAUUGUCAUUGUAUUCAUGUGCUUGCAGUUAAAACAUUUAAUUUGCUAACCACUGUACUUUUUUUUUAUUGGCUCUCAUUCACAUGUUGAUCUCUCCAUGUUUUGGCUAUGACCUGAGAUUAUGAUUGGCAACAGCACUAAAUUAUCUGAUAACAGCUGCAUAACAGGUCCUUGUCAAAAUGAUUAUGUGAGAGACUCAAAGGGAAAGAUGACUUCUUUCUUCUCCAUUUUUAGAAGGAUGUUAUUUUCUUCCGUCUUGAAUGGUGAGUGAAGAAAGGGUAAAGGAAGGAUUGUAGUUUGGUGCAUCAACUUGAGUGCUUUUGAGGAAUGGGGGGCAGUCGUUGCUUGUUCUGCCCAUCGUGGAAGGGCAAGGGAAAGAUAACAGUGGCGUUCCUCAUCCUUCACCGAUUGUACAUGUGACAGUUGAUUUUCUCAGCUGCUUGUUCUUUACUUGCUUGGUGAGAGAGUAAAUGGUAUUAAAGAAACCACCUCACAAUUUGGUAUGCCUGCAAAUCAAAGGUGACUGUUGGAGUAGUUUAUGCGGCUAAAUUCACCAACACCUCUUUAAUUUUGCAGAACAAAUGGAAACUGUCACGCCCCGAAUCCCGGAUCUAUGAUCAGCAAUAAAGGAACGGUGUUAAAAAGACACCUUACCUACACUAAGUCUAAGAACAGACAUAUUAAAAUAACAAUUUAUUCAAAAAUACGCAGCAUUUUAUAAUCUUCAAAAAUAUUAUAUCAUUCAAAACUGAUGAAACCAAAAGAUAGUUUAAAACUCCUCAUCAAUAAUUAAAACAAAAACAAUAAUACAUAAUAUUCAUUACAUUGUUAAAGUCCAAACUUAGAUAAUAGUGGAGCAUCUAAGACAUCAAAUGAAAACUAAAAAGAAAGCCUCGCAAAACAAGCAAGGAAUACCUACCAAAAUUGAAGAAGUAGGAAUACUCAACAAAGUCCAACUACUAUCAGAAACUAAGAACCUAAAACAAUAUUAAGAAUGAGGGGUUAGUUCAACCAACUUAGUGGGGGAAUAACAUUUAAUAAACAUUUUAGAUAUUUUAGAUAUUAAUAGUUUGCAAGAUGAUUUAUUUUGAUACACAUAUACAUAUACAUAUUAAACAUAUUAUCAUAAAGUAGUGGAAUACAUGACAAAGACCAGAUGACACCUGAAGGUGACCAGAUGACACCCGAAGGUGACCUCUGUAGGAUGAUUAGUCGCCACAUGCUAAUGUCUCUCUCACCAGCUAGGUAUACAUAAUACUAUAUACACAUAGGCUAACUACUCUCCAUUAGUAUUGAGUUAUUGACAAGUCAUAUAUCAAGGCAUAAUAAAUAUUCACAGAAUCAUCAAAGAAACAUAUAUCAUAUAAAAAAGAAUUUAGUUUGACAGAUUGCGAGUGCAAAUUUAAGAAUAAAUUAGCACUCAGAAAUAAAGCAACGCAUAUAAGUAUUCAAUAAAUUAACUAGUUGUACUCAUUGUAUAAUCAACAUACAUAUUUAUAUAUAAUAUAUGCAUAUUAAAGUUAUCCCACUUACCUGGAAAAAUAAAGAACUAAAAGGAAUGUCAAUGAAAGACUCGAAAAUCCUAUUCAGGAUAUUUAGGAGAACCUACACCAAAUAUACUAAAAAAACAAUUCAAAACAACACAAUUUAAAGAUUCUAAUGCAUGAAAGAAAACCAAGUUUAGUCUCCUAAGUUUAGGGGCUCAAACAACAAUUUUCCAAAACAAGGACCAAAACGUAAUUUUACCAAAAUUGGAGGACCAAAUUGUAAAUACAUAAACAUACUGAAAUUCCACCCAUAAAUCAUCCUCAAUUCUGUCUAGAAUGAAACAGUGACCGAACUGUACUUUUUUUAUAAAGUUUAGGGACUAAAAUAUAAAUUCCCAAAAUUGAGGGACCAAACUGAAAAUAUUUCAAUUCAAUUAUCAAAAUGAGAUUCAUCAUCCUUAACCUCGUAAUAACACUAUCCAGAAUCUCAAAAUACAUUUAGGGUUUGAAUUGUAAUUUUUCCAAAGUUUAGGGACUAAAUUGAAAUUUUCAUAAAUCAAGGACCAAAAUAAAAUUCAGUCAUCCUCAACCUCAAGAUCAUUCUGUCUAGAUUUUACAGCAAGGUAAAAAUAAAUUUCUUAACCCAUAAAAAUUAAUUUAAACAAAUCAACUCAUAAAUCCUUAUUUUCAACAAUAUAUUAAUUAAUCACCUAACAUUAAACCCUUAAUAAUCAUAAAUCAAUCUUACUAAUAUAAACUCCUAAUCCUUAUAAAUCCUAAUCUCUUCUUUAAUCAUUCCAUAAACAAACUAUAAUAAAAAAUAAUAUGAAAGAAAACCACUUGCUAUUUUCGCUUUUCUUGAACCAAAAACUUUAGAUCAAAACUAAAAUAUUUGGUUUGAGAAACAACGGCUAGAAGAAUUAGAAGAGAGAAAAGAAAUUCUCUGGCAACUUUUCCUUAAAUACCUAGGUUAACGUAGGCUAGGUUUGGGCUGACUUGACUUGAGCUUAGAUUCGAGCAAAAAGUUUGGAUCUUACAUAAACCUACUUUUCUACCCAAAAAACUUAAUUUGUCAGCACAAGUUGAGGGAACCACCACUGCAUUAUUAGUUUUAGACUGGCUCCAUUUCACCUUUGCAACGCUGUAUCUUCCAGUUCGCUAUCCAUGAAAAUGUAAGAAUAUAUUCUGAAUAAAACCAUUCACAUAGAAGAAAAUACAUAAGGUAUAAACAUGAAUAAUCAUGAAAAUUUUACAUUGUUAGCGUCUCUCGAAUUUUGUUCCAUUUGCUGCCUCUCAAAUGUUUCAUGGAGCUGCCAAAAAACCUUAAAUAUUGUAGGAGUAUGAAUCUCAUGUUCAGCAAUCGCCACUCAAUUUCUUUGAGCUUCUAACCAGUUUUAUGAUAUGGAAUAAUAAAAAAAAAAAUCCUAUACAUGGUUAAGAUAUCUACUAGCUAUAUUAGGUGAUAGAUCAACCAAUAAAUUAUUUAUCAUUAUUACUAAAUUUGAUCUAUCAAGUCAAUCGUAAAUUCUUUUAACUUGACUCAUUACUUAAUUUUGAUUUAAAACUAAUCAUGUAAGAGUUGUCGUAACGUGAUUUAGUUAACUUGAUAAGUUUAAAGACAUCUUGAACAACCGGUAAAAAGUAAUGUUUGAUUUAAAAAAAAAAUUCAAAUAACAUUUUUUAAAAAUAAAUAUUGAAACAAAGAUAUUUUAGAUUGAUCUAAAUUUCACAACUUAACACUUCAAACUCGUGACUUGAAUCAUGGACUUCAUUAAAUUUAACAACUUUGUUUUUUUAAACUAAUUUUUUUUUAAUGAAAUUAUAAUAAAAAUAGAUGCUCACAAAAUUAAAUAUCAAUCAAAUACCAAAAUAUUUUUUUGAGACUGUGAUAACCUUAUAGAAACCAAACAAAAACAAAUUAUGAAGAUCAAUUUUAAAUCAACAAAAUAUUGAUAGAUAAAAUUGAUAAAAACAAAAAAAAACAAAAAGGAUUCAAUUGAAGGAAAAAAAAAUUGGAAGAUGGAAUUAAAAAAAAACUAUUUGGUAUUGUUAUUAAAUCGGAUCCAAUAUGUCAAUAUUAAAACAUCUCAACCCAACUCUUUGUCUAACUUGUGUUUAAAAUUAAUUUGCAUGAGACUUGACUCUAAAAGACCCAGUUGACUUAUAAGAGGGUUAAAAAACGACUCGAACGACCAAUAAAAUCAUGAUUUGACUUAUUUUUUUUAAAUGAUAUUUUUUUUAAUAUUAAAAUGAUGAAAUAUUAAAUUAAUCUUGAUUUUGUGGUUUAACUCACAAAACUCAUGACUCGAAUCAUGAACUGUUAUCCGUGGAAAUAAAAGCCUCAAACACUUAUGGCCUAACCUUGUUCAACAUUUUGAGCUAGAAAUUUAAUACAAUUUUAAUCGUACAUGACUUCUCAAUGUUUAUUUGAAAGUGGCAAUAGGGGGCUGUGCAUUAGAGAAGUGAAAAUUAAAAGGAGCCAAAGAAAAAGAAAGAAGUUGCUGCAAAGCUUAUUAAACACAGCUGCAAUGGAUAAACCAAAACUAGCAAAGGUUGCGCUCGCGAGAGAGGAACAUUGGAAUGGUCAAGCUGAUGCCAAUAAAAAUUGUAUGAUAACAAAGCCUGCCCUGCAAACCAAAAAACCUUGCCUCAUCCAAGUAACUGUGGAGAAAUAGCAAAAAAAAAAAAAAACAGGGGAAAAUCAGUUUGAAAUCCCACAUAAUUAAGAGGAAAUUAAAAUGGUGUUAGUUAGAAGAGAAACUAAAGAAGCUAAGAAGGGUGAGGCAAGAGGGGAGAAAGAAUGAUCAGAAAGGAGAAACCGAAAGUAACAGCAAUGGGACGAUCGUAGACUAAAAACAAUAAUUUCAAAGCAAAAGAUUUUCUCCAUAGAUGAAGGCAUAUAGAUGAUCAUCAAUCACUCAAUCCAAACAUAAAUAUUUUUUUAAAAAGCAAUUAUAAAAUACUUGAUUCACUAAAAUUUCAACAUCACAUAGCUAAUUUAAAGCCCGAUUUCUAAUAACUAAAAAACUUCUUACUGAAAUAAAUAACAUUAUGAAGCAUGAUUUAAAUUUAUCAUGCAAGGGACUUGCUGGGGAAUUAGUAACUAAUCAGAGCUUUUGCAUGCACGACAACUUUUCAUCAUUGAAUAUGGUAAUGUUGUUAAUUGAUGAGCUUUGUGUUUUGGUCCAGUCAAUACACAUAAUAUAGUCGCUAAAUAUAUGUUGCGAAUUUUGAUACUAAUCAUAAGUAUAACAAAAGUGUCAACAUCAAUAUCAAAACCAAAUCAAUAUUCUUUCACGUAACUGGUCUGAAGACCCUUCUCCUUUCUCCACAAAGCAACAUUCAAAUUGUCCAAAAGCCAAGAUCCAGUUUCCCAAUAAUGGAAGCUGAAAAACUGUUCCUGCUUUUCUCUCUUUUAAUGCUCCAAUUCUCAUCUUGUACAUCCCACGACUCCUUAAAGACGAACAAAACCAUUAAAGAAGGUCACCUUCUUAUCUCCAAAGGAAAUAAUUUCGCACUCGGAUUUUUCAGACCAGGUAGUUCUAUCAAUAGAUAUCUUGGAAUUUGGUACCAUAAAGUACCAGAACAAACUGUGGUGUGGGUUGCAAACAGGAACGAUCCAAUCAUUGGUUCCUCUGGAUUUCUCUUUAUAGACCAAUAUGGAAACCUCGUUCUCUAUGGUAACGAUGACCAAAAGCUUCCUGUGUGGUCUACAAAUGUUUCAGUGGAAGAAAAUGAUACUUGCGAAGCUCAACUAUUGGAUUCAGGAAAUUUGAUAUUGGUCAGGAAAAGAAGCAGAAAAACUGUAUGGCAAAGCUUCGAUUAUCCUACGAACAUCCUGCUUCCUAGAAUGAAACUGGGGCUGGAUCGAAAAUUAGGAAUUGAUCGGUUCCUAACAUCAUGGAGCCGCUCGCCACAAUUCUUUUUGGAUAAUGGUUGUCGCACGUGUGCGUCAUCGCGGUGAAAACAUCCCCUCUCAAAAUGUAUUUGAUGAACUCUGGUAUCCUAAAGUUUUUUGGUACUAUGAUGUUUGGUACCAAACACAUUCAGCUGCUCGCAUGGGAUCAAACCAGUCAUUACCCUCAACUACUCUUAAUCUUUCUUCCAAAGCAGACAACUUGUCGUAGUUCAUAAAAUUAGUGGAUCUAUUGCCAGGGGGUCCAUCUGCUGUUAAAUCCACGGUAAUGAGAGCUUGACUUGACGGGAUAGGAGUGAUAGGCACAAAUUGUUGUUCUGUCGUUGAAUUUGCCCCCAAGUUUUGAGAUGUCCCUGGGACGUGGAUUGAUGGUGUUUUCACAGGAGGUUGUGCAAAAAUCCUUUUUCCAUUUUUAGAGCCCAGCACUUGUUCAAGCAGAUCUUUAAGUCUAGUUACUUCAACUUUGAUGCUUUCAAUUUCAUUUUGAUAAUAGGCCUCCAAUUGAGCUCUUUCUUCAUUUUCUAUCUUUCAAGUGUAGCAAAUCUUAAUUGGGGGACCUAUGUUUCAACCUGGUUUCAUGGAUGACAAAUGUAUGAGUAUGUUCCUAUAUGAUGAGUUCAAGAUGCUUUAAGAAACGUUUACUUUGAUGCAAAACAAAAGGUAACACACAUAACCUAAGUAAAGGUUAUAUUCAUUAAGUGAGACAAAAGGUAAGUUGACUAUCUAGUCUCAAAAGGGUCUCAUAUCUGUCCAAUGACGAUCUUCGUAAAGACAGUGUGGGGGCGUUGCAAGGAACAAUUAAGGCACGUAUGCCCACCAUUACCAAGCAGGCACUCAGAUAUGAGUUGGGUGUUUCACGCAUCUGAACCCUGACUAAUAGUCAUAGGGCAGAUCGCUAAUUCCCCACCUAACUUAGAAGCUUGUGUGUGCUUUCCAAAAAUUAAAGUAUGUGAUGCAUGAACAUAAAUGUACAUAAAUUCAAACGUGUAAUAAAUAAAUAAAUAAAAUAAGCUUAUUAACAAAAAAAAAACACGCAAACCAAACAAGACACAAUUAUCAGACAAAAACAAAGCUUAGUCUACAAGGUCCCUAGUGGAGUCGCCAUUCUGUUGCACGUGUGCGUCAUCGCGGCGAAAACAUCCCCCCUCAAAAUGUAUCUAAAUAUAGCAAAUCAUGAAAAUGUGGGGAGACAAGGGAUUCUUGUCUUUUAUUAGUGGAAAAAUAGAAUGAGAGUCGCCACCUAGUAUUUUGGUCACUAGGAAUCCUAACUGCCUCAGAGAUCAGGUACGGGACUGAUUGCGUAAAGGAAAGGUUUUAGCACCCCAAAUACGCCCUACCUAAGGUAAGCUGCAUUGUUUAAUUGUCUGAUAAAAUCUAAAACCUUGUCGUGUUUUCUAGUUGUUGGUCCGUCUAUGGUUUAAGAAAAAAAAAUCAUCUUCAGUAAAGAGAUCCUUAUCUUAUCGGGUAUGACCUAAUGUUCUAACGUCAACAAAAAAAAUUUAAUAUCCAGAAUACGUCUUACGUAUAAGAUCAUAACCCUAGAUAUUAAAGGAAAACAAAAUAAGUAUUUUUUUGGAAUUUUUGAAAUAUUGGCCUAGUUCUCGUGACUUUAAUAAACUGGUUAUUAAAGCCAUAAUGCAUGUUAAUACAAGUUUUUGAAUCUUUGUUGUAUGAAAAUAUGAUAUGAUUUUUUUUUUAUUUUUUGAAAGACUAGGCCGUAUGCAUGAAACAAUUUUUUUUUUUUUUGUGAUUUUGUCGAAAAUCAGGUAUUUUAAUACCAAAUUUAUAUAUUUACAGUAUAAAAAUACAAACCGGUAUUAAUUAAAAUGCAGUAAAAAAAAUUGCGGAACAUCACAGAAUUUUUGAAAUAAUUUUUUUGAAUUUUUUUUUUUGGGUUGGGCCUAGCCCGACCCAUGUGGCUGGGCUGGACCCAGCCACUGACCCCGCCGGUUUUAGGAUGCACGCGUGAGUGCUGACUGUUCAAGUGAAUUAUAAUUCACUUGAACAGUAAAAAUGCAAAAGAAAUCGCAUGCACAGAGAUGAAAAACGCAUACCUGGAAGUGGAAACGAAAGGGGCGAAGGUGAUGGCGAAGGCGUGCUGGCUGGUCUCUUCUGUGCUUUCGCCUGUUUUAGUUCUUCUCCUCUGUUCCUUGUUUUCUUUUCUCUGUUUCUCUUGUUUUAGUUUUCUCUUCUUCAGUUCGUUUUUCUCUGCUCUCUCAGUGCAUUUUCUCUUCUCUCGCUGUCUUUUUUUUUUUCUUUCCUAUGUCAUUUCCCUCUGGUUUCCCCGUCCCUCUGUUUUUCCUUUCCUCUCUCGUUACUUUUCCUCCCACUUGUUUCUCCUCUCUCUCUGUCUCGCCUCUCCUUUCCGUCCUCCUUGGUUUCCUCUCUUUUUUUCUGUUUUAUUUUUCUGCUGUCUCCUCUCUCUUUUUUCUCUCCUGUUUCAGUCUUCUUCUCCUGCUUUUAUAGGCCAGAGACAGCCUUGUGCUGGUAACGGCUGCUUGUAAUCUGCAUGCUCCCUAACAGACGCCAUGCUGCAGAAAACGCCUCAGCCAUUACUGCUAAAAAAACGGCUGCAUGGAAGAGAUAAUGAAUGGUGUCCACGAAACAACGCCGUUUUAAAAUUCAAUUGGAUACUUCUGAUUUGGUCAUUGAAUUUGUUUGCAAUUUUGUAAUCAAGCCUCCCGGAUGAAUUGUAAUUGGAUCCCUUGAUCUUAACUUUUUUCUGGUUUGGUCCUUGGUUUCGAAUUGUUUCAAUUAAGUCCCUAAUUGACCAUCAAACUUCAAUAAUUAUGCAAUUAAGCCCCUAAGUUGACCAAAUCAACUCUUCAAAAUUAUAAUUGGACCCCAUAACUUUAAUUUCUUCCAAUAAAAGCCUAAAUUGACUUAAAACAUCAAUUUUCUUGCAAUCAAACCCUCCAUAAAUUCAAUUAAACCUUGGAUAAAAUAUAAUUGAGUCCAUAAACAUCUGAUUUGGACUUUUCUUUCUCAAAUUGAAUUUUCAUUGUUCUCAGGGCUCUCAUUAGUCAAAAAUAUACUGUCAAAAUUUCAAUUCUUAUAUUUUUGAAUCUCCUCAAUCAAUUUCUAUCCUUUUUUUAGCAUUCCAACAUCAUUUUCUCACUCCUGUUAUUUUUUUAUUUUUUUAUUUUUUUUUAUUCCUUCCGAAUAUUUUUUUGUAUUUUCUUAUUUUUUGUAUGGGAUCCAAAAAUGGGUAACAACAAUGGUAAAAAGCCAAUUAGUAGAUCUCCCCCUAGGCCAUGGAGAAAUCAGUUGAGCUUAUACAAAAGCACUUUUGUAAAUGAUCCAGAUGAAAUACACUGGGUCUACACAGUUCCUGAUGAUUCUUAUCUGCUAAGAAUAAUAGUGGAUCAUCCAGGACAGGUAAAGGCUUUAACAUGGCGAGAAAGUGAUGAUCAGUGGAAGGAAUACUGGAAGUCCACUCAGUUUCAUUGCGACUAUUAUAGACAUUGUGGUGCUUAUAGUACGUGUGAACUUGCCAAUCUAAAUGAAUUUGGAUGUGCUUAUAGUACGUGUGUACUAUCAUUGAUUACCAGGAAUACUAAAACUUCAGAUUCUUGUUUUCCUGAUGCAGUGGCUAUAUGUCAGCAGAAUAUGUUGUGUUUGGAAACGUUUCCGCAAAAUCAGAUGUUUUCAGUUUUGGGGUCAUGUUGCUAGAGAUUGCUAGUGGAAAGAAGAACAAUAGAUUUUAUCAACAGGAUCCUCCUUUGACCUUGAUUGGAUAUGUGAGUUAUAAGAAAGCCAUCUGAGCUCUUCGCUGAAUUUCAGUGAUCACAAUUUUAGAUGUUGUCAGCUCUUAUUUCUUGUAUGUUAAUGAUUUAUAUGAACACCACAGGUGUGGGAAUUAUGGAGAGAAGGCAAAGCACUUCUAUCUCUGAACGAGUUGUAUCAUCCGCGUGAAGCCUUGAAAUGCAUACACAUUGGUCUUCUGUGCGUGCAAGAAGAUGCCGCGGACAGACCAUCUAUGUUGGCUGUUGUUUUUAUGUUGAGUAACGAAACAGAGCUUCCUUCUCCAAAACAACCUGCAUUCCUCUUUAGAGAAUCUGACAAAUAUCCGGAUAUAGCCUUAGAAGUAGAAGAUGGACAGUGUUCCGUAAAUGAGGUGACAAUUUCUGAAAUUGCUAGUCGCUGAAGCUGUGUUGUCUGAAAAAUUGCUAAUAUGAAGUUCCAUUAGAUUUGAAAUGAAAAUACUAGUUGCUAGAUUGGGGAUUUGAGAUUUAACACACACCACCAUGCACAUUACACCAUUAAACAGUUUUACCUACGGAUGCAUUCUGUUGAUGUAAGACACACAAUUUGUCGGUAACAUUUUUAUCCACAAAGUCACCAACAGAAUCAGUCUAUUGGAAUAUUGAUUGCUGGUAAUUCUCUUUUUCAUCGCUAAUUCUGUCAGUAAUAAAAAAAACCAAACACUGACUUUCUUACAGACAGGAGAAGUGUGCCAAAAAAAACAUUCCCGAGAGAGAACUUUCCCUACAGACUUAGUCUGUCUGUAUUUUCACGGUAUAUCACCGACAGACUGGCCGUCGAUGAUUGUGGCCUGGGUAGUAAAUAUUUCAGAACUCUCUGUAAAAUACCGAUGGAUAUAUCCGUCAGCAAUAUCAACGGUAAACACCGAUGGAAUAAAUCCGUCGGUGAUUGUGGCAUGAGUGAUAAUUUUUUUGCAACUCUAAUAAAAUACCGACGGCUCGGUUCUGUCUGUAAGGCCGUCAGUAUUGAUUUAAAAUAUUUUUUAAAAAAUUAUUAAUAGUAAAAAAAACUAAUUAACCAAUAAAAUUGUAUUAAACAUUAAAAAUAUAAAAAUAAUAUUAAAUAAUAUUCAUCCAAAUAUUCAUUAUAAAUUUAAUGUGUUUCAAAAACAAAAUUAAACUAGAUUAACGGCGGAGCAGGAGGAGGAGGUUGGUUGUUCCCGGGAUCGUACGACCAAAAAGGGGUUACACAUGUAUCAUCAACCAUCCUUGAUCUAAUGUCCAUGACCAUUUGACGGAGCUGAUCAUAAUCCGUCGAGAGUUGUUCAUAUUGUUGUUUCAAGGCCAUGAACUCCUCAAACUGGGUGCUCGAUAUUGAUGGAGAUCUCCCAAUAAUUGAGACACUACCAGCCACCCGCAAGUUUUUAGCCGUAGUUUUGGAGAGCCCGUAGACCCGAUUUUUAUCGGGUCCACCAGACGAUCCUACCUCUAUCCACAAAUCUGAAUCAAAAUCCAGAUAGGUCAAUUCAAGAACUAACAUAUUCAAUUCAAGAAAAUAAUAACUUACAAAAUAAAAUGAUUGAACUAACAUAUCAUGAAGUGUUGAGCACGAUUGUCCACGAGCUGUUGCACCCCUUUUUCUGCGAUUGUCCAUUGAGCUCGACUCACGUCCAAAAGACGUAGCCUGUAAGGAAAAAAAGGUUGCAAGUUAAAUAUAUUUAUAAGCAACAACAAAUUAAUUAACGAUAUAUUUCAUUUAGUUUAAUCUUACCAUCCGCUUCGCAUGUACACUAAAUGGGAUGAAGUCGUUGGUGUGUGUGGUCACCGAACCAUGAAUUUGCCAGCUCUAUUUGUCAACACUAGACUGUGAACGUCGUGUGAACCGCUUAGACGUCACGUGCUCAAUAUAUGCCGUCCAUAUAUCCCCUGAGAUGAAUGGUGGUUUGCAUUCCCGCCAAACCGCCACCACAUUCCAUCAUUCAAGACCGUUAUCUCUUGCUUAUUUUUUUGCUUUUUUUUGUGUCAUACCAAAAAUCAAGCAACCUACUUCCAUAGUAACAAAUUAUAAUUUAGAACAUAAAAUUAUAAAACAAAAAUAAAUAUUAUUUUCGAUGUUACCUAGUUGUCGUGUGAUUCUCUCAUACCCUCCUCACAACAUUGUUGUCCGCGCUAUCCCUUUCAAAUUUAUGUUGUGUAUAUAAAUAAUUCAUUUAAAAUAAAAAUAGUACAAGAUAUAAAAUUAUAAAAGUAAUUUAUUAAAAAUAAGUUGGAAAUUAAAAGUUAACUUCUACCUGAAAUUGUCGAAACCAUGCAUCGAUAUUAGGUCUCCACUCAGGAUGUCUGGAAACCUGACUCCAUUGAAACAAUGGAAUCUCCAUCGACAAUUUAAACGCCGAUGUUAUUGUCCAAGCAGCUUCAAUGUUCGUGAACCUAAAAUUAAAUAAAAUUCAUAAAAUAUUAAUUAGUUGUUCAUAAAUUAUGUUAUAAGUAUAUAUAUAAAAAACUAAAACCUAAAAAAACUGACAUUGAAAGGUCAUCCUUCCAUUGUGCCUAGUACUUGCAGGUGAAUUGACUCUGCUGUGAAGGCACACUGCCUUUGCGUUGUGAAACCGCGCUAGAAGAGGCAACAUCACAAGUUGGCGCAGGUGCCUGUUUGUGAUCAACAUCUAAGGAUAAGUCAUCCUCGUUGUUAGAAGAACUAGCUGCAACCGUAUACUGACGACAUCUCGUUGAUUUCAUUCUAAACAUCUACACAAAUAUGAAAAUCUUAUAUACUGGAUACUACCCACAUUUUCAAAACUGAAAAUCUUUACAAUAACCAUAAACCAAUUGACUCCAUUGGAAAAUCUUAUAUAUAACCUAACAUCUAUACAAAUUUAACAUCUAUAUAUUUUCAAUUAACAUCUAUAUUAAUGCAUAAAUGACAAUUAAAAUUAAUGGGAAUAAUACAAAAACAUAACAAUCAAUAAUAGAAUAAAAUUGAGAGAAAACAAUGAAAUUUAAUUCUUCAUUUCCAAUUACCAUUUCCAUGGAAAAUUCAACAAUAACAAUUAAAAGAGACUAAAUUUUCAAAUAAUUAUUACAAUACAAGAAAUAAAAUAAUUAAAUAUUUAUUCUACACAUCUACACAAAUUUAUAUAAGUAAUUAAAUAAUUAAAUUCAAUUAUUUUAAAAAAAUUCACCAGCACCUCCCAUAAACUAGACACUACCCACAGUUUUAAUACCUACAAAUAUUGAUAAUAUUGAGAAGCUAAUUUUUAUUCUAUACAUCUACACAAAUUUAUACGAAAAAUUACACAAAUAUUGCAAAAUCAACUCCAUACAACCUAACAUCUAUAGAAAUCCAACAUCUAUAUAUUUUCAACUAACAUCUAUACAAAUUCAUAAAUAACAAUUAAAAUUAAUCUGAUUUAAUACAAAACAUAACAAGCAAUAAUAUAAUAAAUUAAGAUAAACUAAUUAAACUUAAUUCUAUAUUUCAAUUAACAAUUUCAAGGUAAAUUCAACAAUAACGAUUCAAUUUUUUUAAAAAAAUUCAAUUAUUAUGGCAAAACAAACAAUAAAAUAAAUUGAAAAAAUAAAAAGAAAAAACUAAAAACUUUAGGAAUGAAAAAUGUUUACCUUAAUAUUGUGUUGAUUUCAAGAUUUUAUCUACAAACAAUACACAAAACAAAGAACACCAUAGAAAUAAUCACAAUUAAAAUAAAAAAGUAAAAAAAAAUACAAAGAUAAAGAAAUGAGAAUCAUACCCUUUAAUAUGUUGAAAACUACAAUCAAAACAAUAAAAGUACAAUGAGAAACGCAAAGGAUUUGCAAGAGGAGAAGAGAAGAGGAAUGAGGAGGAUCAGAGAAAAAAUGAACCACGAGGGGGGGGGGCUGGGUUUUAUACUGCAAUGUUACUGAUGGAAUUACCAACGGAACAUAGAAUAAUAUUUUCUUGGGUGGUGGCAUUAAAUUCCGUCAGUAUUUUUUGAAGUUCGCAAUAUAAUUUUGAAAAUCCCUCCAGAGUUUUCGAAGUUCAUCGACACAUCCGUCGGUAAAUAGGUGUCAGAGCACAUGUGCAUUGGAUUUGCCACUUUCAUCGGUGAUUCCAUCGGUAAAUGUGCCGACUGACUUGGUAGUCUGACAGUUGCACACGUGGUUAACUAUGUUACGUAAAUAAAUUUGUAAAAAUAUUAGUUUGCCCCGACAUUAUCCAACAAACUAAAAAAUCACUAUGUUAAAUAUUCAUUAUCAAUUAUCAAUUAUUAAUGUCCAUACAAAUUUAUACACAUAUAAAUUUAUGGAAAUCACAACUCCGCAAUAGAAUUGAUAAAAAUUAAAACGGAACCAUUAAACAAGCUAUUAUUUAUUUCAUUACAACACAAUUAAUUCGGUGUAAUUGAAACAAAGUUUCAACAAUUUACAAACAAUUACAAUUUGACAAAAUCUAAAACAAACUAUAACUACUACAAAAUUAUAAAUUAUUACUACAAGUUUCUUUGACAAAUAACAAUCAAACAAGUACAUACGCUAACAAAAUACAUAUACUAAAAAAACAAUAAAAAAUAAUAAAAUUAACAUUUAAAUGUUGAAACUAAAAAGGAUUAAUUUACUUACAAAAAAUGAUAAAAUCCACAAUAAAUUGCUUGGAGAACGGAUGUUGUGACCACGUAAAAAAAAAAAAACUUGAGUGCUUGUGUUGAGAAAGGGGAGAGUUGGGAUUGGUGGUUGGCUGCAAUUUGGGAGGGGAGAAUUGGGAUGGGGAAGAAGAAGGACAAAUAGAGGAAAAGAGUCUCGGCAGAGUAAGUAUAUAUUGGCUUUUAUCGAUGGAAUCACUGACGGACAUGUCCCGUCGGUAAGUCUAUUGGUGAGCAUGCCACAUCACUGUACGAAGAUCCGGUUUGAAUCCCUCGGUCAUUUCAUCGGUAAAUCAUCUGAAACAAAAUCCAUAUCAUCACUUCGUUGCAACUUUUCAAAAAUCUAUAUAUUUCGUCGGCAAUACAGUUAGUAUAUAUCGACAAAAUACAUCCGUUGAUAUAUACCGACCAUAUUGCCGACUGAUUCUAUGCCAUCAGUAAUGGAAAAGGUCUGUCGGUAUAUACCGAUAAAAUUAGAGAUGGAAUUAUAUCCGUCGGUAAAAAUUACCGACAAAAAAAUAACGUCGAUAAUUCUGUUAGUUUUCGCUGAUUUUCUGGUAGUAUUUACUACUCCAAAGUUCAAGUUCACAAUGUACAUAACCAUAGGAAAUUAAUGUGCUCUCUGUACAAUCAAGGGAAAGUUUUAUUUUGGAGCGUACUUAAUUUAUUUAUUUUUGCUUCAUUUAAGGAAAAGAGAGAUAUAAUGAGGUUAUCCAUUCCUUAUUUUAAGUUAUAUAGUAUUUAUCAUCAAAACUAUAUUAAAAAGAACAUAAAGUAAUAGCUGAAAUAAUAAUCAAACAGGAAAAAAAAGAAGAAAAUAAACAGAGAAAAAUAGAAGAAAAAAAUACAGAAAAAAAAACUAGUGCUAGUCCGUUACCAAAAAAAGAAAAGAAAAACAAAACAAAAAAUAAUGAACUAAGAUUUCAUGUUUUUAUGUCCAUGAUCUCAUCAAAUUUGAACGAGUAAUCAGAUAUUACCUUCAUUCAAUGUCACUACUCACUAGAUACCUCCCCACUCUACUCCAUCUUUAAUCAAAACCAAUUCUUUAAUCUUUAAUUACUCCAUCUAACCUUCAUUCAAUUUCAUUAACUGUGUCAAGUUAUCCUGACGCCCUUGAUAAAGAAUAAUUUUUUUAUAUAUAUUGAAAGGCUUAUUUGACUUCCUACUCACAAUAAAAAAUAAUUUAAUCAUGAUCGAAAUGCUAUUCAAGGUUUUCUUUCUUUCUUUUUAAUUACUAUGAGCUACAAGGAAAUGAUAGACGGGCCUCAAUAUUAAUAAAAAAUCUCUUAUCAAGUUCCAGGUAGAAUCUCUUCCUAAAUUAAACUUUUAUUACGUGUGGUGAAUCAUUUCAAAUUAGAAUAAAAACAUAUGAAUCGUUAACCAGUAAAUAAAAAAAUUUUAAAAAAAAAUCGUGAAAGGUUGCGUCAAUAACCACUCCCUUUAAUACAAUUUGUUUCUUAAAAAACAAUUGCUGGUUGCUGCACAACGUCUGGGAUUGGUGCAACUGUGUUGUGAAUGGCACGACUUUCAGAUUUAUAUUAUUUUUUUAAAAUAAAUUUAUCGUUAAUUUCUAAGAACUCUCCAAUCUCUCAUCCACAGCUCAAAAAACUUGUGAUGAAAGAAAUAAUUGUGUUUGAUCUGUUCCUCGAGAAGGACAUGUCUUUGAUAAACAAAAAAAGAAGAGAAAAAAGAGACCAGACGGAAUAUAUAUACACCAUCUUUAUGUCACCGAUCAUUUGUUUGAUUAUUAUGCAAUCAACAAGCUAUAUUAUUAUAUGCAAUUAAUAUUUCUAGAAUCUUGUUUGAAGAGUUCCCCUUCUCUUUUCUUGCUGGGUUCUAUCAACGCAGGCUUGAAAACUAAUUUGGCCUGGCUCUGGAUACUUUAAACAUACAUUAUCCGGAAUCCUUGCCAUUGUUGACUAAGUCAUUUAUUGCCAGGUUUACCAGUCUCUCUCCCACAGCAGAGGCACGGAGAGAGUCCAUUGGCUAAUUGUUACAUCAAGAACACCAAAAUUCAACGUUCUAGCUAAGAGUCAAUUGAUGCGUUGAGCAGAUUGACAGCGACAUUAUUUCUUCACCAUGCUAUUUUUUUCUUAAAUAUUCUAUUACGACCAGUUGCUUGCCACACAUUCAGAAUUCUAACCUUUUUUUUUUGCAAAAUUUAAAUUGAAUUCUGUGUUCAUUGAUUAAAUAUAUGAUUCUAGUGAUUAUUUAAUUAUAUUUUUGGUUUUUUUAUUAUAAAUAGAAAUUGCAGUCUUAAAAGUUGAUUAGGACAUGUUAUAGGAAGAAUAGACUAUAUAUUUUGGAUUAGUUAAAAAUAUCAGUUGCAACUGCCUCUGCUGCUGCUAAUACUGUUGAGUACUUGUCUUCCUUUCAUUUGAGUCUUUCAUCCUAGUUUUUAUUUAUGGCAUUCUCGUCUUGGUCUUGUUUCGUCUUCUCAUUUAAGAUUUUUAGCAUCCACUGGAGCUUUAGAAAGUUUGAAAACUUGUGACAUUUCUGAUUGUAAUGGAUGUAAACUGGAAAAAAUUUCCGCAUUACCUUUUAAUUGAAGUAUUUAUGUUUCUUCUUCACCAUUUAAUUUGAUUUAUUUUGAUAUAUGGGGACCUUCUCUUGUUGCCACAAAAGAAGGGUCUCAAUAUUAUGUCUUUUUUGUUGAUGAUUAUACUUGUUAUUGUUGGGUUUAUUUAAUGAAACAUCAUCCUGAAUUCUUUGAAAUAUAUGCAGCUUUUCGAGCUCUUACCAAAAAUCAACAUUCUAUCAUGAUCAAAUGCUUUAGGUGUGAUUUGGAUGGGGAAUGCACUUUUAAUAACUUUUGUUAAUUGCUUGCCUUAGAUAGAACUAUCCACCAAACUUCAUAUACAGAUACUCCUGAGCAAAAUGGUGUUGCUGAAAGAAAACAUAGUCACAUUAUUGAAACUGCUCGUUUUCUUUUGUUGUAUGUUUUUGUUCCUAGUUAGUUUUGGGAAGAAGCUAUUCUUAGUGUUGUAAGUUUGCUUAAUGCAAUUUCAUCUUCUCAUAGUUCGGGUCCAUCUCCUUUUGAAAAGUUAUACGGGUAGUCCUUGAUUAUUUGUCAUUUAGUGUCUUUGGUUGUACUUGUUUCGUUCUUCAUCCUCAUGUAAAACACAGUAAGCUAUUCUCUCGAUCCGCUAUUUGUGUCUUUAUGGGUUAUGGUGAAGGUGAAAAGGGGUAUCGUUGUUUUGAUCCAAUAACUCAGAAACUUUAUGUGUCUCGUCAUGUUGUCUUCCUUGAACAUAUACCUUUCUUUUCUAUUUAAUCCACUACUCAUAACUUGACUAAAUCUGAUCUUAUUCAUAUAGAUCCCUUUUCUAAGGAUUCUAGUAAUGAUACCUCUCCCUAUGUUCGAUCAAUUUGUACUCAUAACUUUGCAGGUAUUGGUACUUUAUUCUCUAGCACACCUGAAGCUUCAUUCUCAUCUACAGCCCCUCAAGCUUCAUCUGAGAUUGUAGAUCCACCUCCACAUCAGUCCAUCCACAUUCGUAAGUCUAUAAAACUACUAUAUUUUGCUUAUUCUUUUUAUUUUUCAUCAUUUACUUCCUUUUUAGCUUCUAUUCAUUGUUUCUUUGAGCCAUCUUCCUAUAAAAAGGCAAUUCUUGAUCCACUUUGGUAGCAACCUAUGGAUGAGAAACUUUCUACUUUGCAUAAGACAGAUACUUAAGAUCUGGUUCCUCUCCAUCCUGGUAAGAUUAUUGUUGGUUGUUGUUAGGUGUAUAAGAUAAAGACUAAUUUUGAUGGGUCUAUUGAGCGAUACAAAACUAGGCUGGUUGCAAAAGGAUACUCUCAACAGUAUGGUAUGGACUAUGAAGAGACAUUUAACUUGGUUGCAAAAAUGACUACUAUUCGUACUCUUAUUGUCGUAGCUUCGAUUUAUCGGUGGCAUAUUUCUAAAAAAUAAGGCUUAUAUCUCGAUUUAUCGUAGCUUCGAUUUUAAAGCCUUAUUGAAUGGAGAUCUUCAAGAAGAAGUUUAUGUUGCAUACUUACCUAGAGAUUACCUUCUUUCUUAGUCGAAAUAUGUUGUAGAUAUUCUUGAGCUAGCUAGACUUACUGAUAACACGACUGUAGAUACUCCUAUUGAGGUUAACACGAUGUACUCUUCUUCUGAUGGUUUACCUUAAUCCUAUUUUAUACCACACUAUUAUUGGGAGUUUGGUAUAUAUCACCAUCACUCGUCUAGAUAUUGCAUAUGUUGUUCAUGUUGUUACUCAGUUUGUUACUUCUCCUACUACUGUUCACUAGGUAGUUGUUCUUUAUAUUUUGCGAUAUCUUCGGGGUACAGCUUUUCAGAGUCUUUUACUUUCAUCCACAUCUUCCUUGGAGUUGUGUGCAUACUCUGAUGCUGAUCUUGGUAGUGAUCCCACAAAUCACAUGUCUGUUAUCGGGUUCUAUAUCUUUUUAGGUUAUUCUCUUGUUUCUCAAUCAUCCACCAAAGCAAAAUAUCGUGCCAUGGCAUCUAAUACCAAAGAGAUUGUUUGGUUAUGUUGAUUACUUGUUGAUAGAGGAGUUUCUUUUUCUCAUUUAACUCUUAUGUAUUGUGACAACCAGAGUUCUAUUCAAAUUGCUCAAAACUUGGUUUUUCAUGAGCGAACUAAGCACAUUAAGAUCGAUUGUCAUCUUACUCGUCAUCAUCUCAAGCAUGGCACCAUUGCAAUGCCUUUUGUUCCUUCUUCCUUGUAAAUUACAUAUUUCUUUACCAAGGCGCAUUCCAUCUCUCGUUUUCAUUUUUUUGUUGGCAAACUCUCGAUGCUUGUAGCUUCCACAUCGUGAGUUUGAGGGGAGAUGUUAAAUAAUAUUUAUACAGUCUUAUUUAUUAAGGGUAUAAUAGUACUUUCAAUUUAACCUAUAUAUACUUUAUUUGUAUUUAGGUUAAGACUAAGUACUCAUAAUAUACAGAUCAUUCAGAAUUCUAGCCUCCUUUUUAUAUUUGAUCUUAAUUAUUUUAACAACUUUGAAUCACUUAAAUGCACUGUUUCCGUCCCUGGCUUCCAUUAACCAUGGUGACUUUCUUGCUUCUUAUUUUAUUUGCUUAUUCAUUUGUGCUGGUUUGCUUUCUCUCCUUGCGACAAACGGAAACUUCCUCAUUAGCUGCUAUUUCAUCACUAUUAAAAUUCUAUCUCUCCAAACUCCCUCCUCCCCAGCUAACGGCAUUGAGGUGUUGAAUGAAUAUCCAAUGGAAUGUAUAUGCAGACGGUUCCCGAUUCGUGCAAUAUGGGAUCAAAGCUAUAUAUGUGUGCGCGCGCGCGCGUUUACAUGAGGGUCAUAUGCGCAAUUCCAAUUGUGCAAAUUACCAUUCUCUAGGCACAGUUUUCACGCUGAAGUAGUGUGGGAUUAAUUGGGAUUGGACUGGAGGACCCAAUACAAAAUUUAGUGAUUUAAUUAUUAUUAUUAUUAUACAAUUCAAUAAAACAUUUAGGAUUUUGACGAUAGCAAUUCAUAAUGAAAACCUAUUUUCAUUGUAUUUACACAAGUACUUUGUUGUUGUUUUUAUUCUUUUUAUUAUUAAACUUGUUUUUUAUUGGAUUAUUUCACUUUCAUAACACAAAUUACGAGUUUGACAGAUUAAUUCAAAUAUGAAUACCAAAAACCCUGAAACACCACUCAAAUCAUGCCAUCUCCAUACCAGAAACUCCAGUCAACAAUCUAAGAAACAACCCUCCCAUAAACAUCUAUUAGCCGCCAUUACUCAGGCUAAUAAUAGUUGUGUGCCCAAUAACAACCACUAGCACAACCGCGGUAAAUAAGGAGAGAAAAUAAGCAAACCAACACGAGGAAACACAUAUAUAAAUCUCUGUCAUUGGUUAAUGAUGAAUAUAAUGGCCUUCAUCAAUAAGUAGACAAUAUUAGUUCACCCACAAAGUCCAUUUUUUUUGGACAUCGAUGCAUGUCACCUAGUCCACGUGCCACAAAAAUAUUGAUGCUUGGAUACUAGCGUCACCUUUUUAGUUGAUUUUUUAGCAGCUUGCAAAGUUUUUUUUUUGCCUCAUGUUUGUUCAUUUUGACAUAUUUAUUGUUGUUUCCUUCAAUUAUUAUUUUUUUAAAAUUAAUGAAUUUAUUUUUUCUUUCUAGGAUACAUAUUACAGGGAUAAUCAUUUGAUCCAUCCAGAUAUCGAUCCAAAUUUGUGGUUGGAGGCAUGAUUGUCCAAUGGACCUGAUAGAAAUAGGGUAUAUAAAUUCUUUAACACUACAACCGAGAACUUGCGAACGACUAGUAGUGCUUUGACGGUUAGAUGCCCGCAAUCAAUUCCAAGAGUUCUAACUCUAAAAUUCACGGUGAUGUUAGACCAAGGAUUUAGGAUUCGUAAGUCGCCGGUAAUUGUGACACGUCAUUAUACAGAGAUCCCGGUUUGAAUCCCUUAGUUAUUCCGUCAAUGAAAUCGUCUAAAAAAAAAUUCAUGUUAUCACACCGUUGCAACUUUUCAAAAAUCUAUAUAUUCCGUCGGCAAUACCAUCGGUAUAUACCUACGGAAUAAUCUAUGUUGUCGGUAAUAAUUACCGACGGAAAAGGAAUGUCGGUAUAUACCGAUAAAAUUAGAGACAUAAUUAUUUUCCUUGAUAAAAAUUACCGAUAAAAAGUUUCGUAAAGUAAUUCCGUUAAUUUUCGUUGAUUUUUUGGUAGUGACAUGAACAAUCCAAAUCAAUGAAAAGUUAAAUAACAAUUAUUUCUGACGAUGCAUUGGAGGUGGUUGAUUCAUCACUGGAGGAGUUAUAUUUCCCCUAAAAGCCUUGAAAUGCAUACAAGUCGAUCUCUUGUUCUUAUGUCAAGUAGUGAAACAACAAUUCCUUCUCCUAAACAACCUGCAUUCCUUUUGAUGCAGGAGCUAGAACUGUACUAGCGUUCAUAUAAUUAGUCCUUUUUUUUAAUAUAAUAUUUAUGUUGGUAGUUUGGAUGGCUAAAAUUUGUUGUUUUCAAGGCUCGUUUUCCAUCCAAGUAUCUUAAUUAGUAGCAAUUUCAAUGAAGGGUUUGUGAAUGCAGAUCAAGCUUUUCUCCACUCACAUUGAGUUAAACAUGUACUCCUCCUUUUUCAACUUAAUCACCUACCAAAAUGACCUUUAGAUCAUACUUCAAAUAUUAUUUGGUCCUACACUCCUACUUGCUAAUGUGUCAGGCUGAUUGGACACUAACUAGACAUCUGUCGUGGAAUGAUGAUGUCAUACUUACAUCAUCCUUUAGUUUGCGUCCGUUCAUAUGGAUGAGGUCGGAUUGAUGACGGGUUUCUGGUUCAGUAGGUGAAGAAGAUUAACCAACCUCUCCAGCAACAACUUUUUACUGUUGAAAAUGACUACCAACAACCCACCGAACGGUGGCGGUCUUUUGUCUCCACCAUUCUCAGCCGUUAAAAGGUUGUCUAGAAAUUCAGGACAAGGAAUAGAAGAAUUUAAAACUAAAGUCACAGUAAUUGCAAAGCUUCACCACAGGAACUUAUGUAGCUUCUAGGCUGUUGCAUUCAGGUUUGAGAACAUAUAUAUAUGUUAAUUUAUAGAUUUUUUUAUUAAUAAUAUUUUUUUUCAUUAUAAUUUGAUUAUCAUGAAUAUAAAAUAUUCAAAUAAUUAUUAUAAAUUGUGGUAUUGAUUUUGUAUGAAAAGUAGUUAUAGUUCUAAGGUAUUUUUUUAAUGGAAAAAUUGUUUUUAUUUUCACCAAAUAAACAUGUUUUUCAAAAAAAAUUUAAAAUAAAACUCAAAAUUAAGAAAGAAUUUUUUUAUGAUUGAACUGUUUUAUGUGGAGUAGGGAUGUUUGAAAAUGUAGUAGUAGCUGCUUUGCAAAGUUUUUUUUUCUUAAAAAUAUAUCAAAAUAAUAUAUUUUUUUAUUUUUUAUAAAAUUAUUCUUAAUGUUAACACAUCAAAAUAAUUUAAAAACAUAAAAAUAUUAUUUCUUUAAAAAAAUUAAAUUUUGCUCAACCUCCUUUGAGAACAAAAUACUAAACAGGGUUUACAACAAUACUAAACAGGGUGUAGUAUAAAAAGGACUAGACAAGUCAUGGUAUUGAGUUUGAAGAUUGCAAAGAAAAACCCACGAAAAAAAAUGCCUAGUUAAGCGAGGUGGAUCCUAAAAUAACUUCUCUUGUCAGACUUUUCUGCAAGCAACAUUCCACUUGUCCAAAAGCCAAGGUCCAGUUUGCCUUAUCAUGGAAGCUGAAAAACUGUUCCUGCUUUUUUCUCUUUUAAAGCUCCAAUUCUCAUCUUGUACAUCCCAAGACUCCUUAGAGACCAACCAAGGAAAUAUUUUCGCUCUAGGAUUUUUCAGACCAGGGAGUUCUAGCAAUAGAUAUCUUGGAAUUUGGUACCAUAAAGUAUCAGAACAAACUGUGGUGUGGGUUGCAAGCAGGAACGAUCCAAUCAUUGGUUCCUCUGGAUUUCUCUUCAUAAACCAAUCAUUGGGUUGCAAGCAGGAACGAUCCUAAAUGCAUGGAAAAUACCUCCUUUUAUAGGCCAAAAUUUGAAACAAUUGAUUUAAUGACUAAUUGUUCAGUGGGUGACCAACUCUUGACUUGGUGAAAAUCCUUAUCUUCUUGUCUGAACAAAACGACAUUGCUAAUAUCAGAAUUGAAACCAUCACCAUGAAAGUUCUAGAAAAUUGUCUUAUCUUUCCAGGAAAAAAAAAUUGAGGUCAUUUGGACUACUAGAACUCGAGAUAUGGGCUAAACACUGAACAGUGUCUGGGCUAUAGGACAAAUUCAAACUUUUCUGUUGUUGUUAUAAUUUAGACUUGAAAAUGGCCUUUUUAAAUCUUAGACUACCAUGAAAGUUGUAGGCUUAUGUCUUACCUUUCCAUUCAUAAAAAGCAGACCUAAAUUUGAGAUUCACAGCUUCAGAUAUGACCCAAUUACCAAACAGUGUUCCAGUUUGGACUACACUAACAUCUUUUUUCUAAGUUUAGCCCUCUCUUUGUCCUUUCAAUUUCAGUAUUUAAACUCAUCAAUCAAUCCUUUCAUUUAUGUGAUAGGCUUGCAUUUAAGAUAAACAUUUACCAUAAAUUAAAGGUAUCUUAUAUUAUUAGAUAUGUUAUUAUAAAACAUGCUUUAGUUAAGGAAUUAUUGAUACUUCAAGUGCAAAAUGAAGAUAUAAAACCUUGAUAAAAAUAUACUUUUAAGUACUAAUCACAUCCCCCAACCAGAUUAUUACUAGUCCCUAGUAAUCAAAGUGUUAAAAUAGAGAAAAAUAAUUUGCAAAUUCCACAAAGCAAGGCAUUCAUCAUUCCACUUUCAUUAAUCUAUCCAGAUAAACAAACUCUCAUUAACUUCAUAUAUAUGCCUAAUACCUCUUAAACAAAAUAUUAAUAAUCCUUCCUUUUUAUGUGCUCAAUGUAUGAAAACAUAGAUAAUAGGGCUUUUAUUGGAAGAAAACAAUAUUUUGUUAUAAUGUUUAAGGUUAAUUUCCUUGGGUUGGGAUUAUUAUCUUUCUUUUUUUUAAUACAUAUACAUAUAACUUAAAAUACAAUGCAUCUUUAACCCAUGUAAUGAGCUUUUGGCUAAUGACUCCUAGACUAGUUGGUCUUAGGCAUUAGGUGUUAAGACACCCCUACGAGCUUAGUAACUCGGGUUGCAGAUACCAAAAGCUUCUAGUGUGGUCUCCCAGUGUUUCAGUGGAAGAAAAUGAUACCUGUGAAGCUCAACUCUUGGAUUCUGGGAAUUUGAUAUUGGUCAGGAAAAGAAGCAUAAAGAUUGUAUGGCAAAGCUUCGAUUAUCCUACUAACAUCCAGCUACCUGGAAUGAAACUGGGGCUGGAUCGAAAAUUAGGAACUGAUCGGUUCCUAACAUCAUGGAGAUCAGUUCAUGUCCCUUGAAUUGGAGAUAUUUCAAAUAAGAAUUAUUAAGAUCAAAAAAAUAAGACAUGUUAAUAAUAAACUUUCUUGGAUAUAAAUAUUGAAGUACAUGUUGAGUUUAUAUUAUACCUAUUCUAACACCAUUAGUGAAACCUUUUCACCUUGACAUAAUAAACUUAGCUAAACAUAAUGAAGAAGAUAAACAUAAAUAAUCAAUAUAAGAACAUAAGUAUAGUAAAGAAAAUGAAAAGCAUAAACAAGAGAUUAAGGAAAAUAUAACAUGAAAUAAAACUUAAACAUUAAAAAAAUAAAAAUAAAUAAAUAAAGAGCAUGAUAUUGAUCUGAACAAGCAAGAUGCCUAAAUGCAUGGAAAAUGUCUUCUUUUAUAGGCCAAAAUUUAGAACUAUUGAUUUGAUAACUAAUUGUUGAGUGGGUGGCCAACUCUUGAUUUGGUGAAAAUCCUUAUCUUCUUGUCUGAACAAAACAACAUUGCUAACAUCAGAAUUGGAACCAUCUGUACUCAAAAGUUCUAGAAAAUUGUCUUAUCUUUCCAUGAAAAAAAAUUAAGGUCAUUUGGACUUCUAGAACUCGAGAUAUGAGCUGAACACUGAUCAAAGUCUAGGUUGCAGGACAAAUUCGGACUUCUCCAUUGUUGCUAUAAUUUGGACUUGAAAACGGCAUUUUUAAAUCUUGGACUCCGCAUGAAAGUUGUAGGCUUAUGUCUUACCUUUCCAUCCAUAUAAAAUAGACCUAAAUCCUAAAUCUACAGCUCUAGAUAUGACCCAAUUACCAAACAGUGUUCCAGUUUGGACUGCACCAACAUCUCCUUUCUAAGUUUGGCCCUCUCUUUGUCCUUUCAAUUUCAGUAUUUAAACUCAUAAGUCAAUCCUUUCAUUUAUUUGAUAGGCCUGCAUUUAAGAUAAAUAUUUACCAUAAAUUAAAGGUACCUAAUAUUAUUAGAUAUGUUAUUAUAAAGCAUGCUUUAGUUAAGGAGUUAUUGAUACUUCAAGUGCAAAAUGAUGAUAUAAAACCUUGAUAAAAAUACACUUUUUAAGUACUAAUCAAACUGGGUUCUCCUUCCUAUAGAUAACUUGUAGCCUCUUGUCUUAGCUUUUCAACAACACUAAUCUCGCUUGAAAUAGAGUUCUAUAACUCUAGCUAUAGUUAAAAAUCUGAGAAGAGGUUGGAUAGCAACAGUUUAAUUUCUAGACAGUAACGGUUGGAUAAUAACAACCCAAUGUCUAGACAGUACAAUUGGACAGUAACAAUUCAAUAUUUAAACAGUAACAGUUCAAAUAUAAAGAAAGGAAUGAUAACUAUGGUUGGUCAAAGAACAACAAUAUUAAUAGAUGUAAUGAGAAAAACAUAAAAUAUAAAGAAAUAAAUGAUUGAAAGAAAGAUAUGUUAGUUGUUGAUAUGAUUAUUAUAAAACAUAUCCUCGAAUAAGGAAAAUUUACGAGAUGAGCUUGUGAUUGCAGGAGGGACUACCGGUGUGAUGCAACAACAGCAGGGGAGCACGAGUAGAGCUUCUGCUAUAGGUAGGUGAUCCUUACCUAAGCUUUUUAGUUAAAUUCAAGAAUUUAAUAAGUUAAUAAUGUGAGAUGUGAAUUUGCAACGUUGGAUAUUAUGUGAAAGGAUGGAAGUUAGUGUAAUGAUGUUGUUAUUUCAGAUAGUAUUCUGAAUGUAUGUGUGUGUUCAAGGUGAACUACCCUUGUGUGCAUUGCCAAGUGAUAGGAGUACCUCUAACAAAGAAAAUACGAGAAGUGUAUUAUGUGUUUCGACUAGCAUACAUUUUGUGUAUGUUAAGAUCUUGGAUAAAUGGAUCAAAAUGUAUUGACUAGCAUACGUUUAGUAUGUGUUAGGAUCUCAAGUAAGGGGAUCAACAUGUAUUGGCUAACAUAUAUUUAAUGUGUGUUAGGAUCCCAAGUAAGAGGAUCACCUUGCAUCGUCUCUUACUAGGUGAUGAUGAUACCAGUGAAAUUGGUAUCAAUAACGUGUUAAACGGAAAUGAUCAUGGUUAAUCUUAUGAAAUCUUGAAUGGAAAUUGAUAAUAGAAAAGGAAAUGAUUUUUAGUAAUUGAAGGAGAAAGAGCUUCUAAUAUAAACCAGAAGGGAUAAGUGAAUAAAAUAUAAAUAUAUUGUUUGUCUUUUUAAAUUUUUGAAUAUUUAUGUUGCUAUAUUAUUGAGAUUUUCAUGUUUCAAUAAUAUGUAUUUUGUUCCAAGAUGAUUGGGUCGUGAUUAAGUUAUGAGAUGUAAGAUAUUAGAAGUGUAAACAGGGUAUAUGUCGAUAACUUAGGACCUUCCGGUAUAGGGGAGACUUUACCGAAAUUUUGAUAGACUUUUAUAUAAGAACUGAAAAAAAUAAAUUACUCGUAUUUUUUUACAUACCAAAUCAUAGGAAAGUAACCAUAAAAACAUAUGAAAGUGUGGGGCAUUACAUGUAUAUUUGUUUUCCAUUUUUUUAAUUUGUUUUUGUAUUUUGUAUGUUUAUCUGAGGUCCUAAAAUAAAUAACAACACAGGUUAUGCUCAAACUCAAUACAGAUGCAGAAAAAAAUAAGUGCAACAAAAUACAAUAAAUUGAGAAAGCAAGAUAUCCCUACAAUAUUCAAAAACCUCUUAAGAUCAUGCCACAAAAAGAGGAAUCAACAACGUAGCACAUGAAACACAAAAAUAUAAGAAGAUAGAAAGCCACAUAGCUUAGUUUUUUCAGACCAAACACAUGGAAGAUCAAAUCCUUCCCUAUUUUUUUUUGCGUAACACUGACAACUUUAACUAUUUCUUAGGAACCAGAAUCAAGUUCUAAAAAACUCAGAAACAAAACAAUCCAAAUAUAAAUAUAUAUAUAUAUAUAUAUAUAUAUAUAUAUAUAUAUAUAUAUAUGUGUAUAUAUAUAUAUAUGUGUGUAUAUAUAUAUAUAUGUGUGUAUGUAUAUAUAUAUAUAUAUGUGUGUAUAUAUAUAUAUAUGUGUGUAUAUAUAUAUAUAUGUGUGUAUAUAUAUAUAUAUAUAUAUAUAAUUUUAGUUUUCUUUGUUAUUUUUUUUCACUUGGACAUAUAUGAUCACCUAGCCAAACUUAUGAUGAUAAUAAUAGCAUAAACAAUGAUAGCAAAGUAGCAAUAAUGUCAUCAAUGGUGUUUAUAUUGAUAGGUUAGAAAUUAAAUGUAAAUAGAACAUAGAAAAUGCCCAACAAAAUUAAAUUAUUGAUUUAGGUUAUGUUGAUCCUUUUAAUUAUAAGUUUAUUAUCAUUACAAAGGUAAAAUUGUUCAAGGGUUAUAUAAAUAAAACAUAUAUUAAUAAAGAACUAAAGUUGAUAUCUAGCAUUGUUAUAUACCUUGAGGAAAGAAAGGAAAGGAGUUUUAGAGCUUUGAUUGAGGUCAAAACAAGAACAAUUUAAACUUAAAAGACAAGUUACUUCCCACAUGAAAAGACUGAUAUAGAAGAGAAGAUUUUUAUCCAACGCAUGACCUCAUAAUAAUGGAUAUAAAUUUUGAUUCUAGAAACCAUGAUCCCCAUAUAGGGUUUGAUUUAUGAAGGCAUCCAAAAUUCGUUAAGGCCUCCAAACUAGUACUAGAAAUUAUUAUUUUGAAAAUUUCAUAUUUUACAAAUUGAUUUAAAUUUUUUUUCUAUGUACUUUAGAAAUAUUUUAUUAAUUUUUCAGUUUUGUUUAUGGUAUUUUUUCUAGUAUAUAAUAGUCUAGAAGAGCUUUAAUAUUUAAAUUUGUUUACAAAAAUUAUAAUUUUUAAAAUUGUUUUUUCUAGUAUAUAAUUGUCUUUUUAUGUUGUUUUUGUAUGCGUCUGCAACAUACUACAUAUUUCUAAAACUAGAGGACGGUGUCGUUUCCAAAAAAUCUGGAUUGAUAUUUUAACAAAAACAAGUCAUUGCCUAGACUUCGAAGGUUGAAAAGAGUAAGUCAUUAAAGACCAACCAAACUUAUACGAAUGAUUCCAAAAUAACUACUUCCGUCACGCAACUUCUCUGGAGACUUGUCUGAAGGCAAAAUUUAACACUUUUCCAAAAGCCACAGCUUACCCACUCAUGGAAGCUGAAAAACUGUUCCUGCUUUUUUCUCUUUUAAUGCUCCAAUUCUCAUCUUGUACAUCCCUAGACUCCUUAAAGACGAACCAAACCAUUAAAGAAGGUGACCUUCUUAUCUCCAAAGGAAAUAAUUUCGCACUAGGAUUUUUCAGUCCAGGUAGUUCUAGCAAUAGAUAUCUUGGAAUUUGGUACCAUACAGUACCAGAACAAAAUGUGGUGUGGGUUGCAAACAGGAACGAUCCAAUCAUUGGUUCCUCAGGAUUUCUCUUUAUAAACCAAUAUGGAAACCUCGUUCUCUAUGGUAACGAUGACCGAAAGCUUCCUGUGUGGUCUACAAAGGUUUCAGUGGAAGAAAAUGAUACUUGUGAAGCUCAACUCUUGAAUUCUGGGAAUUUUAUAUUGGUCAGGAAAAGAAGCAGAAAAACUGUAUGGCAAAGCUUCGAUUAUCCUACGAACAUCCUGCUUCCUGGAAUGAAACUGGGGCUGGAUCGAAAAUUAGGAAUUGAUCGGUUCAUAACGUCAUGGAGAUCAGCUGAAGACCCUGGGAUUGGAGACUUUUCACUUAUGAUCAACCCAAAUGGCUCCCCGCAAAUCUUUCUCUAUAAUGGUACAAAGCCAAUUAGUAGAUCUCCUCCUUGGCCAUGGGGAAGUCAAGUGGGCUUACACAAAAGCAGUUUUGUAAAUGAUCCAGAUGAAAUAUACUGGGUCUACACAGUUCCUGAUGAUUCUUAUCUGCUAAGAUUAAUAGUGGAUCAUCCAGGACAUGUAAGGGCUUUAACAUGGCGAGAAAGUGAUGGUCAGUGGAAGGAAUACUGGAAGUACCCUCAGUUUCAGUGCCACUAUUAUGGACAUUGUGGUGCUUAUAGUACGUGUGAACUUGCCAAUCUAAAUGAAUUUGGAUGUGCCUGUUUACCAGGGUUCGAGCCCAAGUACCCAUUGGAAUGGUCUGCGAGAGAUGGGUCCGCUGGUUGUGUCAGGAAGCGGCUACAUACGUCUUCGGUGUGCCAGCAUGGUGAAGGGUUUGUGAAGGUGGAAAAUGUAAUUCUUCGGGAAAGUUCAGCUGCAGCUUGGGUGGACAUGAGCAAGAGUCGUGCAGACUGUGAACUGGAAUGCAAGAGGAAUUGUCCAUGCUCUGCAUACGCAUUCAUUGCAAUUCCUGGAAAAGGGGAAGGUUGUUUGACAUGGUACAAGGAAUUAGUAGACAUCAGAGAUGGAAGGAGUGAAGUUUAUGAUCUGUAUGUUCGUGUUGAUGCAUAUGAAUUAGGUACCCUUUUUAACAAUUUCGUAGAAUUUUCAUUUCAAAUAUUGAUUUAUAACAGCUUUUCAAUGUUAAUAAGCUCCGUACUACAUGAAAGAAACCAUUGAUAUUGGUUCUUACUAGGUGCCGAAGGGGCCAGCCUUUGCCAUAUGUAUUUUCAUUUCAAAUAUUGGUACAUAUUGAUCUUUAUUCUUUUCACUCUCAUGCAGCUAAUAAUACGAGGAAGUCAAAUGUUUCUCAUGAAAAAACGAUGCUAGCCAUUUUAGUGUUGGUGGGAGAAACCACUGGUGGUGGCUUUGAAACACUCGGAGGGGAUAAAACACACUGUUUUAUUACACAAAACCGAAGCUUACAAUUACACAAAGCAAAAGCUUAAUACACGCCCUCUCUCUCUCUUUCUCUUUCAAGUGUUCCUCUCUAUUCUCUCCACACAUAUAACAUAAGUUGGGCACUCUAUUUAUAGACAAAAUCAAAAUACGAAAAUUCAAACUUUCUUCAAGUGUGAAGGCGGCUGGCGGCUGUGGCGGCUGGUGGCUAGCGGCUGCGGCUGGUGGCUGGUCGGCGACUGGUGGCUGGUGGCUAGUUGCCUUCCUUGACCUUCUGGGAGCUUCUGGAUUGAGUUUAAUAUUCAACAAAUCUCCCCCUUAAACUCAAUCGAGGGAUGUCAUGCCAAGCAUGAACUUUAAUCGGAUGAAUGCUUCUCCCUUCAAUGGCUUUGUGAAGAUGUCAGCAACUUGAUCAUUUGUGUUGCAAGAUAUAAGUUGGACUUCUUCAUUCUUCACAUGUUCCCGGAUAAAGUGAUGACGUGUAUCAAUGUGUUUGCUCCUCUAAUGAUACACUGGAUUCUUUGCUAAUGCGAUUGCUGAUCGAUUGUCAAUAUAAAUCUCUACAGGACUUUCUUGAGGAAAUCCCAAAAACUUCAGCAUAUUCCUUAACCAUAUUGAAUGGCAUAUGGCUGAGUUGGCAGCAACAUACUCAGCUUCACAGCUUGAUAAUGUGACAAUCGAUUGCUUCUUGGAUGACCAUGUGAAAGAUGUGUCUCCCAUGAAAAAGACAAACCCUGUUGUGCUUUUUCUUUCAUCCAGAUCUCUACUCCAAUCACUAUCCGAGUAGCCUACAAGAUUAAAGUCUUUACUUGAGGUAUAAAACAUACCUUCAUUCAUUGUGCCUUUGAUGUAGCGAAGAAUUCUCUUGGCUGCAUUCAAAUGAGACUGGUCUGGUGUCUCCAUGUAUCUGCUGACGAGUCCGACUCCGUAGAGUAUAUCUGGUAUGGUACAUGUCAAGUACCUUAAGCUUCCUACUAAGCUUUUGAAGUAAGUUGGAUCAACAUUUCCAACCUUACUCUUCCUCAAUUCCACUCCAUUCUCAACUGGAGUUGAUACCGGAUUGCAGCUUUCCAUCUUGAACCUUUCAAGAAUAUCUUUGGCGUAACCGCUUUGGGAUACAAAAAUCCCUUCUUCCUUCUGCGUUACUUCUAAGCCAAGAAAAUGUGACAUUAGACCAAUGUCAGUCAUUUCAAACUCUUGUACCAUGCUUCGUUUGAAGUCGUCAAACAUGGUAGGGUUGUUGCCGGUGAAUAUCAAAUCAUCAACAUACAGGCACGCAAAUAAGAUGCUGCCAUCUGCUCCUUUCUUCACAUACAUUGCGUGUUCAUAUGGAUAUUUUUCAAAUCCAUUAUCUUGAAAAUACCUGUCAAUUCUGGUAUUCCAAGCACGCGGAGCUUGCUUCAAACCAUAGAGAGCCUUCUUCAACUUGUAUACUUUGCCUUCAUUUUCAGCAUCAAUGUAUCCAAGUGGUUGUUCAACAUAGAUCUUCUUCUAGGAAGCCAUUCAGAAAUGCUGACUUCACAUCGAGUUGAUAGAUCUUCCAUCUAUGUUGUGCAGCUAGUGAGAUCAUCAGUCUGAUUGUCUCUAGCCGGGCUACUGGAGCAAAUACUUCUCCAUAGUCAAUGCCUUCUCUCUGUUUGUAGCCUUUAGCCACUAAUCUGGCUUUGUAUCUUUGCACUUCUCCUUUGGCGUUCUUCUUCGUCUUGUAGACCCAUUUGACACCUAUUGCUUUCUUGUUUUCUGGUAGAUAAGUCAGCUUCCAGGUAUCAUUCUUCUCAAUGACAUGUAUUUCUUCAUCCAUUGCUUCUAUCCAUUUCUCUUCUGUGACAGCUUCAUUGAAGUUUAAUGGGUCACUAUCUGCAAAGAAACAAAACAGAGUUGUAUCUUCCAUGACCUGAGUGGUAUCGUACAACUCUUCAAGAUUCCGCAUCCUUCUUGGUCCUUCUGAUGAGGAUGCUAGUGGUGUUGAUGAUGAUGCUCCUGGUGUGGUCCUCCUGUUGAAUACAGGGAAACUGUGUGCCGGACUUUAUGGUUCAGCUGCUGGCACAAUCGAUUCUUCGACAAGUAUUGUUGGUACUUCUUCACCUUCAAGGAUCAAAUCAAUAUUGAUCCAUCUGACUGCUUCUUGAUCAUCAUUCCAUGCCCAAGAUUUAUCUUCUUCAAAGAUAACAUCUCUACUUGUAAUCACCUUCUUCGUGAUAGGAUUAUACAGCCUGUAUCCCAUCCUUCUUUCACCAUAUCCGACAAAGAUGCAUUUCUCGCUCUUAUCAUCGAGCUUUCUCCUUCUUGCAUCUGGGAUCUUUGCAUAUGCCACACAACCAAAGACUCGUAGAUGAGUAACACUUGGUUUGUGACCACUCCAUGCUUCUUCUGGAGUGACUCCUUGCAAACUUCUGGUUGGGCAGCGAUUCAGUAGAUACACUGCACAUGAUACAGCUUCAGCCCAGUAUUGCUUGGGCAACUUCUUUGCUUUGAGCAGACUUCUGCCAUGUCAAGAAUCGUGCGAUUCUUCCUUUCUGCUACACCGUUCAGCUGUGGUGUAUAAGCUGGUGUCGUCUGAUGUCUGAUGCCUUGUUGUGUACAAUAGGCUUCAAAGUCAUUUGCUGUAUAUUCUCCACCUUGAUCAGAUCUUACGGUUCUGAUCGUGUAACCAGUUUGCUUCUCCACAAUUGCUUUAAAAUCUUUAAAACAAUUGAAUACUUCUGACUUCCUCUUCAGAAAGUAUAUCCACGUCUUUCUACUAAAAUCAUCAGUAAAAGUGAGGAAGUACCUAUUUUGUCCAGUCGACAUAGGCGUAAUUGGGCCACACACAUCUGUGUGUACUAACUCCAGUGGCCUCUUUGCUCUCCAGUUGACUUCUUUGGCAAAACUAGAUCUGUGAUGUUUGCUGAGGACACAACUCUCACAGACUUCAUCUGGAUGAUCAAUGUGAGGCAAACCUUUGACCAUCUUUUUGCUUGCUAGCAUCUUCAGACUUGUGAAAUUCAGAUGUCCAAGCCUCAGGUGCCAAAGCCAUUCUUCACUGUUGGUGAUGGCACUCAUAUUGUUGGAUACUGGAUGUUCAAAGGAAACAUCCUAUUCUUGGACAUUUUCACGUAGGCCAUUAAUCUCCCAUUGUUGUCUCUAAUUGUCAGAUGAUAAUUCUUCGAGUAAAAACUAUAUCCUCUCUCCAAAAGUUGACCUAAGCUGAUCAGGUUUUGCUUUAUGGCUGGGACAUAAUACACAUCGGCGAUGUAGCUGGAAUCGCCGUUCUUCAACUUGACUGGGAUGCUGCCUUUACCUUUGAAUGGAACCUUUGUGGUAUCUCCAAAAGUAACUAGACCUUGCUUGGUCUCAUCUAGAUCACCAAAUAACUCUCGGUAGCCGCACAUGUGAUUGCUGGCUCCAAUAUCUAGAUACCAUAUGUUUUCCUGUUUCUCGCCAAGUUCUUGUUGGACAAGAAAUGCAGAUGCUUUCUGUCAUCUCUUUGCAUAGUUGGCUUGCUCACGUAUCUCCAACGGAGCUUUCCUUCUGCAUUCAGUGCUAUAGUGCCCAAAUUAUUGCAGCUAUAACAUUUGAUAUUCCUUUGUCACGGUUAUUGUAACCGCCUCCUCUUCCUCUAGGAGUGAAUGCUUGUUGGCCUCGGCCUCCUCUGGUGGUGUUUCUACCACCUCUUCCUCUGAAGCUUGUAUUCCAAGAACCUCUUCCUUGGAAUCUCUGGAAUCCUCCUCUGGAUUGUUGACUUCCUGCUUGAGUGGUGUAGCCACUUGAUGAAGUCUCCCCUUGCUCAUAUCUGUCCUUGAGACAGCUUUGCUUGUAAGGCAUGCUCAAUGGCCUUAUCUUCAUUUCGCAUUACAAUCUUCUGCUCAUGAGCUUGCAAAGAACUCAUAAGCUCAUCCACUGUCAACUUGUCCACUUCCUUGGACUCUUCAAUUGACAACAAAAUCAAAUUUUGGAUCUAUGGAUCUCAAAAUUUUUCAAUAAUUCGAGUAAUCGAUGAGGGCUUCUCCAUUUCUUCUCAUCUGGUUGACUAUCACCAUAAUCCUUGUGAUAAUCAGAAAUAGAUCCGAGGACUUCAUUUGCAAUAGUUCGAAGUCACCUCGUAAAGAUUGAAGACGAAUCUUCUUGAUUCUGUCAGCACCUUUGUAUUUCUGUUGGAGAGCCUCCCAUAUAUCAUGUGACGUUUCAGCGGAAGCUAUUAUCUCGAAUGUAUCUUCAUCAAGACCUUGAUAGAUGAUGGUCUUUGCCUUGUUGUCUUUCUUUCUGUUGACUUUGAGGGCUUGCUUCUGUGCCUCUUGUAAAGCAUCUUCUCUUUUUUUGGACUCUGGUUCAUCAUAACCAGUUUGUACAAUAUCCAAACACUCUUGUGACCCAAGAAAUGCCUUCAAUCUGAUGCACCAACUAUCAUAGUUGUCUUUGGUCAGCUUCGGGAUGAGUGUAUGUGUACCUUCUGUAGUCAUUUUUCUCUUUGAAUGACUAUAUCACCUUUCUGGGAGCCAAAUUUGACUAAACGGACACUGUAGAUCGAUCUGGAAUGGUCCAAAUAGUUGGGAACCGGUUUGAAUUUGUUGAAAUCGGGUCAGCAAAUGGGUGAAUCGGUCAAAAAACCAAUUCUGUACGGCGGGCGGUUCGCUGGGUUGAACCGGGAAUAUUCUGUGGAAUAUUCGGGGAAUAUUCUUUCAGCUCGGCUUCGGCUAGAAGGCGGCUCGGCGCGGCUUGUGGCUCGGCUGGACUCGGCUCGGUCUCGGCGUAUACGGCUCGGCGCGGCUUGUGGCUCGGCUGGACUCGGCUCGGUCUCGGCGUAUAGACUCGGCUCGGCGCGGCUCAAAUAUGGCGCGCGUGUGGCUCAGUCGUCUUCAACCUCGGGGCGCGUGGGCUGCGCGUGGGCGAUCUGGCAGAAUAUUCAGGCGGCGCGUGUGGGCUACCGCGGACUCCGAUGAGGCUGAUUUUUGUGGUAGUGAGUUCGUCUUGAUGAGCUCUACACUAUGGAAUGAUCAAAACUUGUGUUUGACAAUUUUGAAAAUUCGGAUAUACCCCAAAACUCUUCUGUUUUCCGACGAACGGGGCUCUGAUACCAAUUAUUGGUGGGAGAAACCACUGGUGGUGGCUUUGAAACACUCAGAGAGGAUAAAACACACUGUUUUAUUACACAAAACCGAAGCUUACAAUUACACAAAGCAAAAGCUUAAUACACGCCCUCUCUCUCUCUUUCUCUUUCAAGUGUUCCUCUCUAUUUUCUCCACACAUAUAACAUAAGCUGGGCACUCUAUUUAUAGACAAAAUCAAAAUACAAAAAUUCAAACUUUCUUCAAGUGUGAAGGCGGCUGGCGGCUGCGGCUGGUGGCUGGUCGGCGACUGGUGGCUGGUGGCUAGUUGCCUUCCUUGACCUUUUGGAGCUUCUGGAUUGAGUUUAAUAUUCAACAUUUAGUACCAUCAAUUGCAUCAUUUUGGUUUCUCAUUAGCCUAUCUGCUUAUUUGUGGUUCAAGAAGAGAGCCAAAAAAGGUACUGAGCUGCAGGUAAACAGCAAUUCUACUGAACUGGAAUAUUUCAAGCUCAGCACCAUAAUGGCGGCCACUAAAACCUUCUCUCCAGCUAACAAACUCGGGCAAGGUGGCUUUGGCUCGGUUUAUAAGGUAGAGUUUCUUACUGCAUCUAGCAAAAACCUAAAUGGCCUCUCAAUACUACACAUUUGUUUUUCUCUAAUUUUAAUAAUCAUCUAAAUUAAAUGCUACAUGAUUUUAGGGUCUGCUAGCUAAUGGACAGGAGGUUGCAGUAAAAAGGUUAUCCAGAAGUUCAGGACAAGGAACAGAAGAAUUUAAAUGAAGUUAAGUUAUGGUAAUUGCAAUGCUUCAACACAGGAAUCUGGUGAAACUUCUAGGUUAUUGCAAUCAGGAUGGAGAACAAAUGUUAAUCUAUGAAUACUUGCCAAACAAAAGCUUGGACUCGUUUCUUUUCCGUAAGUCUCUUUAUGUUUUUAUUGCCCUGAUUUAUUCUAGUUGUCUGAAAAAUAAUUGUUUCAACAGAUGAAAGCAGAAGAUUGUUAUUGGAUUGGCGAAAACGCUUUGAUAUUAUUGUUGGGAUAGCUCGUGGGAUUUUAUAUCUUCACCAAGACUCCAGGUUGAGAAUCAUUCACAGGGAUUUAAAAUGCAGCAACAUUCUAUUGGAUGCAGAGAUGAACCCAAAAAUAUCAGAUUUUGGAAUGGCAAAAAUAUUUGAAGGCAACCAAACUGAAGAUAGGACAAGGAGAGUUGUAGGAACAUAGUAAGUAGCUUUGUCUAAAACAAAGACCGAGUGACAAAGUAGUAUCAUUGAUUACCAGGAAUACUAAAACUUCAGAUUCUUGCUUUUCUGAUGCAGUGGCUAUAUGUCACCAGAAUAUGCUGUGCUUGGAAACUUUUCUGUAAAAUCAGAUGUUUUCAGUUUUGGGGUCAUGUUGCUAGAGAUUGUGAGUGGCAAGAAGAACAAUAGAUUUUAUCAACAGGAUCCUCCUUUGACCUUGAUUGGAUAUGUGAGUUAUAAGAGAGCCAUGCGUGCUCUUGGCUGCAUUUCAAUGUUCACAAUUUUAGAUGUUGUCUGCUUUUAUUUCUUGUAUGUUAAUGAUUUAUAUGCACAACACAGGUGUGGGAAUUGUGGAGACAAGACAAAGCAUUGGAGAUAGUAGAUCCAUCACUGACGGAGUUGUAUGAUCCGCGUGAAGCCUUGAAAUGCAUACAGAUUGGUCUGCUGUGCGUGCAAGAAGAUGCCGCGGACAGACCAUCUAUGUUGGCGGUUGUUUUUAUGUUGAGUAACGAAACAGAGAUUCCUUCUCCAAAACAACCUGCAUUCCUCUUUAGAAAAUCUGAAAAUAAUCCUGAUAUAGCAUUAGACGUAGAAGAUGGACAGUGUUCU
rnacentral:lncRNA from 1 species